AAGGAGUGUACAUCACUUCCCCAAAGCCAUGCAUCACAACCUGCAUCUCUAGCACCCCAUACAUCGUUCCUACGAUCAUCCCCAACAUGUAAGGCAUCCUCAGGUCUCACUCCCAAUAAUUCACAGGCUUUUAGAAAUAUUGUCGGAUUGGGCUUCUCAGCUUCAACCUGUUGGAGAUCAGGUUAGGAAGAACAACUGAAGUAAGUUCAAAUGUACAUGUCAAACAGUCGAAGUAAAGCAGUUGGUAACCAAAUCAAGUCCUAGCGCAUGAAAUACACAAAAAAAAAAAAAAAGAGAAGAGGUAGCAGCAAAAACAUAUACAAGAACAUCAGAAGCAGUGAAAAGAGAUUAAUGAACUCACUUCAGCUGACACUGCUACAGCGUCAAACCAGUGAUCACAAUUCAAAUCCCGCAAAAGAGGUCGUAAUCGAGUGUCGAAGUUUGACACAAUAGCUAUCUUUACACCUGCUUGUCUUAAAGCUUUGAAGACUUUCUCAGCAUCAGGAUCACAAAGGUGCCAAGCCUGCAAGAGAUUUAUCAUUAUCGGCAAAAAUGAUUGUUACAAUAAUAAUAAAAGACAUAAACAAACAGUGGAAUUCCUAGAGGAAAAAGCGGCUGCCAGAAAUUAACCUUGUUAGUCGUAUAGUAGUUGUAGAGUUCUUCAAAAUACUGAGAAUCAGAACAGCCUGUGGAAGAACUGACGAUAUAUUGCCAAAAGGGUUUCCCGUCAUUCACAUAUCUACAGAGUUCCAUAAAAGCAAUUACUUUCAUUACGCCAUUAAUUAAAAAGGAACAGGAGAAGAAUUAAAACAAAAAAACUUUUCGCUCUCUGGAUUAAUCAGACAAAACAAUCCUCAAAAGAUCAAUUAAUGAAUAAAGGAAUCUAGUUAGGAUUAAUGUUAAAUCCUGAAAGUAAAUUUAGUAUGAUAUCAUCUAAAACAGAGUGAAAACCCAUAUUAAUUGGUGAGGACAUAAUCUACCAUUCAAAUUGGAGAUACUACUGCCAUUUGAACUGAUACAAAGAUCCUGGGAAAGGUUUAUUAACCAUUUCCCCUCGGACAAAACAAAAUCCUCAAUGUUAUGCAGCUAGCAAUCAGGAUCUCAAUAGAUCAUUAACGAGUAAGCAAUUUCUCCAAUAAAAAAGAAUUGAAGAAAAAGGAAGGUAUUUCUAAGCCUGGUUUGCCACUAUUAAAGAUAUUUAGACCAAUUUAAUCUUCGGACUGACCAAGAAAACACAAACCAUGACAAUCAAUUUUGAUUAAUAUUUAUUAAAGGUUUUAAGUCCACUUAAUUCUGACAAAAUAAAUUUACAAAAUAAACUAGGAAACUGGAUGGCCACAACCACAAACAUAAAGCUAGAAUUAUAAUGGUCAAUGACCUAACAGUGUGAAAAAAAAUUCGUUAAAUACACAAUAAUUUCCUUGAAACUAUGCCAAUUAAGCCCAAAUAAUUUUACACUAAACUACAAAACCCAAAUAGCACAUGCACUUUGAUGAACAGCUAAUCACCUAAAAGACAUCUAAUUUCUUCUUAAUUAUACGUUCGAUUUGAUCUAGUCAACAACGGUCUUUUGUCAAUGAGGGUAAUGCAUGGGACUCUUCAUUCACAGAAAACAAGGUCUCCAGAUCGAGACCACAACAUUAAGAGUAAUAAAACCAAAAUUAAUCAUAAUAAACUGAAAUUCGAAGAAAGUCGACCUGAGGCGAGAUCUACCCCAAGGCUUCUCAUACGCUCUUCUAUAUCUAUUGAGAAUCUCCCCUUCCGAGUAGUUCACUCCAUACUUCUCACCUAUUUCCCUAUAUAUCUGCGACAAAACACAUCGUAAGUUCGUAACCAUUUAACACAGAAAAAACAGAAAUAAACGAAUUAAGACUUUGAAGAGAGAGAAAGAGAGGGAGACCUGAGCCAUAGGCUGAGAAGGAACAACAAGAGUCCCAACCGCAUCAACGAGCAAAGCCUUAUGAGUGAUAUCGCCAUAGAGAGACCUCCGGUAAUCCUCAUAAUCCUUAACGCCCAAGAUUUCAAACCCGAUACCACUAGAACCUAGGGUUUCGGGUUCCACGGAAGCAACAGCAGAGGAAGCAAAUGAAGACCCGAAUCCUCCAAACGGAAGGAGGCGAGCAGCCGCCUGGACGCCAUUAGAAGGAAAUGGAGGUCGUGAAAGCAAAGUAUUAGGAGAGAAAGUGGAGAGAAUCCUUGAGAUUUUGGUUCUAGUAGAAAUUAGCGCCAUUGUCGAACUUCAUUUGAGUGCAAGCUUUUUCACAGAGAGCUUCUUCUUCUUCUUCGCAAUUCCCUUUGGCAAUAAAAUGGAAAGUGCUUUUGGAGUGUCUUCAAAUAGAGGCUCUGCCAGUGCCAUAGAAGGAAAACUUUGAUCCUUUUUAUUCGGUGUUUCCAAAUUUGCCCUUUAACUUUAGUUUUACUGACGAUAAUACCCCCUUUGAUUCUUAUUCUUAAGCCGUUAUGGACACUUGAUAAGUGGGGGAUAUUAUAUGUCAUAUGUGACAUCUUAGCAUCAAAUUGAAUCAUUCAAUUUAAUCCCACUUUAUUGUAUAAUAAUACAUUCACAAAUUUAUCAUUCAUAAACACUAGAACUCUAUCUAUAUUUAUAAUAAUUCAUGCAUUAAAAUAUGUAUGCUUUUUAAUUAUACACCGUGGUUAUAAAGUAAUAGCAAGGACUUAAUAAACUAUAGAAAAGUGGGGUAGUCAUAGACAUAUAAAAAAUAUCUUUGUAAUUACUUUAAUAUGCUUAUUUAAUAAUUGGUUUUGGUUAUAAAAAAAUAAUUGACUUUGUCUACUUAAAGGACAUUUUUGGGUAAUGUUAUUAGGUAAAGAAUUGAUUUAAAGGUGACAAAAAUUGAAAAUAAAAAGAAAAUUAAGAAACGAAGGUUGGCCACAAGAUAUUAAAAUGGGUCCAUGAUGUACUUUGGCACAUCUCAAGAUUCUUCCAUGUCUCACACAAUGUUACGCUUACCUCCACACAAAAUUAUUAAAUAGUUCAAACGUAUAAUUAUAUUUAUACCCUCCAACUUUUGAACUUCUAUUUUCAUUCUUUAAAUAAUGACCACAUUUUUUAAAUUCUUCAAAGUUAUGUUUCAUACAUUUAUCUUGCCAUUUUUUUCCAGAAAAAUAAAUUGGAACUCAAAUAAUGUACUAUUUAUAUUCUUAAAAAGCUUGUGGGAAACUAUAUGAUUUUUUUUCGAAAAUUAAAUCAUUAUAAAACAAAAUCAAGUUAAAAUUCCUAAUUUUGAUUUUGAAGACUGUUCCAUAUCUAUUUACUUUCAAUUUUUUAAAAUUAAAUUUGUAUUCUUAAUUUUUUUAACCAUGACUUGCAUGAGACCUAUAAAACAAAUUAGAUUUAGAAAUAAGCAAAUAAUAACAAUAAUAAUAAUAAUUUAAACGAUACCAAAAUAUGAAAAAUUAAAUGUGUUUCACUACUGAUAUAUAUUUAGAAUCAUAAAACAAGUUAAAGUUUAGAUAAAUAUUUUAUACUUACAAAGAAAAAGAAUAAAAAUGAAAUUUGGAUUAAAAACUUUGUUAGGUUAGAUUCAUUUGGACUAAUGUAAAUGCUUUUACUUGAGUGGAGUAAUAAUUAAAAACUUUUAUUUAUAUAUAUUUGAACGUGUGUAUUUUGUAUAGAUCUAACAACUCGAAGUUACCAAAAACAACCUCAUUCUUUAUGCUUUAUGCAUGCAGAUAAAACUAAAUAAAUAGUAAUACUAAUAGCAACUGCCUUCUAAAAUCGUAUUUUAAAAAUUGAUAGAGUAAGUUGGAUGUGUUUAAUAUUUGGAGUCAAAUUGAAGAUGACUUUGGAGAAGGAAAAUUGAAAAUUUAAAGAUAGAGAAAAGGUAAAGAUUCUAUUGAAGCUUGAAAGAGACAAAAGGAUAGAAGAUGGAGGCUUUUCAUUCUCCCAUUCCUAUUGAGUAUUGAUUGUAUGAAAGUCUCAUUCAAUGAAGAAAUGGGGAGGGUAGCUUUGUAAUUAUUGCAAAAAUCUUAUCCUUUAAGUUAAUUUUUCUGCCAGCUGUUGAACGCGACACAUCAAACUCAUUGACGUGGCACCCCAUGUAGGUUGUUGUAUCCCACGUCAUCAUUAUUUCCCCCUAUUUACUACCCAUACUUUUUAGCAUUAUUAUAUAUUCUCGUUCUACACUACUAAUUAUAUUAUGAGUUUCCUUCUUCUUUAAAAAAAUAAUAAUAAUAAUUGUUACAAAAUUUGAUAUAUAAAGUAUUAAUCGAAAACACUAUAUUUUAAUCAAAUUUACAAAGUUCUACAAUUUACAAUAUUAAUAAAAAGAUUCCUUACUGUCUCUCCAUCCAUGUGAGUUCGUCAAAAUUUUUGAAUUAAGAAUUUGGGGAGUAUGCAUAAAAUAAGUACACAUGCAUAUGUAUAUGAAAAUUGUUGAAAACAUCGUUAUCUUUAAAGAUAUUUCUCACUACAAUAUUAUAAUUUUUCGUGUCAUAUAUAUAUUGACUUUCUAUCUUAGAAAGGAUUUAAAUAAUAAAUACUGAUUUUUUUAAUAUAAUAAUCUAUUAUUUGAUUUCUAACGAUAUUGUGACUAGCAAAUAUUAUCUAAUUUAGAUUUGAAUAUGAGUAAUAGAGUUUAUUAAAAGUAGAUUUUGAUUGUGAAUUGUAAUUCUUUUUAAAAUGUUGUUAUACAAUACUUAAUUAUAAGUUGCUAUAAUUUAAAAUUAAUGGUGAUUAUGAUUUAGUUGUUCAAUUUUACUAGACAAAUGAUUAUAUAUUUUGGAGAAAUAUUUUUGGUGUGAGAAAUUAAAAUAUUAGGUUUUAUAGUAUGAUGGGGUGAGCGGAUGGGUAUAGAAAGAUUAAAAAAAAAAGUGGUUGCCGUCUGUGUGGCCGUUACCUCGUAAAAAGUAGACUCAUAUGUUUGGGUCUUUCCUAACGCAUUUAAGAUGGAAAAUGACAACCAUAACUUAUAUCCUCAAUCCCUCUUUACUAAAACUUUUUUUUCUUUUUGUUUUCCUUUUGAAAAUAAAUAAAUAUAGACUUUAGUAACUACUUGUUUUUAUUUUAUGAUUUAUAAUAAUUUACGCAUUCAACUACAUUCAUUCAAUUCUUAGUUAAAUUUUAAAAUAAUAAUAAUUUUUUAAAAACUAAUCGUUUUAGUUUUUUUGAUCUAUUGAUUGAAAGUUAGAGAUAGAAAUAAUGUUUAUAAAUUUAAUUUUUCGAAAGAAAACUAAAAUCAAAAUAAUUACGGAACAUGUCUAAUUUUUAUGGGUACUUUACUUAUACUUUUUUUUGUUUAAUUUAUUAGUGACAAUGUUAUUACUUUGGUUUUUAUGACCAACAAAAUUGCCAAAAUUAUAUAGUUAUUUUGCUUUCAACUUUAAUUUAAAAUUAAUGUCCUUGAUGCAUUUAAAAAAAUUAAUGCCAUGCUUGAGUUUAAAGAGAGCUACAAAAAUUAAUGGAGAUUGUGUGAUUCAUAUAUGUAAUGAAAGAAAUCUAAGGCUAUAAAUGCAUGGUUGAGAAAGUUUUUUUUACAAAAUUAUGAUUAUCAUCUAUACCAAUCAAAUUAACGUUCAUUUCUAUAGAAAUUAAAUUUAGUGUAAAUUAUUUAACUUGGAGCAAAAUCCUAUUUCAAAUUGACUAGAAAAACAUGCAUAAUAGAUAUUUAUGAUGUCUAUCAUAAAUAAAUUAAAGUAGUCUAUCAAUGUCUAUAACUAUAUAGACAGUAACAUUUUGUUAUAUUUAUUAAUAAGCUGGUUUAUAGAAUCGUUACUCUCUCAACUGUACUCAAAAUAAAAUAAAACGAUAAAUUAUAGCGAAAUGAUAUAUAUAUAACUUCAUCUUAUUUUUCCUUUUCGUAGAAAAAGGGGAAAGUAUUUAAUAUAUAGACAAACUUUUACGGGUGAAUCUUUUGUCAUUGUCAAUGUAUUAAAAGGGUGUGGUUUCAAUUCUAUAAAAAUAUUUAUUUCUAUCUAUUUAAUAAUAAAAUUAUAACGAAACAAAUUUUUAAAAUAAAAAAUCUACUCAAAAUACUUACAAAAAGUUUCAUAUUCUAUCGAUGAUAGACAUUUAAGUAUUGUUACUGUCUAGUAUUGAUAAAAUCUAAAAAAAGUGUUAUAUUUGAUAAAUAUUUUAGUUUAUUUGUCUGUAUUUCAGUUAUGAAAUGAACAUUAAAGUUUUGAUUCAAAAUUCAAAUUUGAUACCUAAUAACUCCAACUUUCCUUUACGACCUAACCAUGCUAUCUUCUUCUUUAUGAAGUGGUUCUAAAAAUAAAUACAUCUCCACGAACCACCACGAUUUAAUGAAAUUCUAGGAGGGAUUAUUUCUCACAUACAAACCUCCAAGCUAAGCACACUUUACUUUUAAAUUUUAUAGUUUCUUUUAUUAUCUAGCUGUGAUCUCUGUUCAUUUAACGUAUUAUUUUUUAUAAACUUGAGUGUUACAAUAAAUGUUAUCGUUGAUGCUUCUAUUUAUAGGGUUAUUUUUUAACAAAUUAUAUGAAAAUUAUAUAUUUCUUCUAUAUAUGUAUACUUCAUAAAUCUACCCAAUAUAUUAAAAAUUAUAUUAAUUGAUAUUAAUAUCAGUGUGGAAGAAGUCUUCAAAAUACCAUCAUUGCUAUAGAUCAUAUUUAUUAUUCAUUUGGGUGUUUAGGGAUAAACCAUAGCCACCACAAUUAGCCAUGAUCUCUUCUUUUUGUUUAAACUCCUUUCCCAUUUAGUUUUCUAUGUAAUCACUUACAUAAAUUUGGGAUUAUUUAUGUGUGUAAGAAACAAUUAAUUGAAUGUAACGUAUUUAUUUAUCAACUCAAAGUAUGGUCUUUGUGAUUCUUUAAAGAAAAAUAUUCUUAUCAUCCUCCACAUCCACAUUUCAUAUUAAUAAUCUUAAAUUUCUAUUGGACAAACUACAAAUCUCUUCAUGGAAAAAGAAAAUUUUGUAGAUAUCGUUAAGAAAAGUUUAGUCCAAUUCUAUUAAUUAAUUUUAACGUAUACUUCGAAUAAAGUGUUACAAAUAGUUUUUAAGAUGAAUUUUAAAUAAUUUAAAUUUAAGAAAAAAAAACAUUUUUCUUCAUGAAUCAAUAUAAAUGGAGCCUAAAUUAAUUUAGCACGUUAAAGUUUAUUGUUUAAAAAGUUAAGAUCAAUAUAAUUUAACUAAGUCAAGGCUCUAAUUCCUAUCUUAAAUGAUAUUUUAAAAAAAUAAUUAAUCAUUUAAAUUAUUAAAAAUGUGUUUAGCAUGCAUAUAACCUAAUACUAAGAAGGGAAGAUUUUGUAGUUUUUGUUAGAAAAAAUGAAUAAUUAAUUAAAAAAUAUAUGGAACCAUUAAAUAUAAGAAAAUUAUUUUAAAAAUAAUUAUAAAUAUAAUAAGGUAUUACAAUCUAUUUGUGAUAGAUCGUGAUAGACUCAACAAUCUACUAUCGUUGAUAUUUCAGAUUUGUUUUUCUUUUUGUCUUUCUUCUGCCAUUUUUUUUCUUCUUCUUCCAUUUUUCUUUUAUAUUCUUUUAAACGGUUAUUUGAUUCAAGAUCGUGUACCAAAUAUAAAAGAUCUAUUUGUUUGGUUCAAGAUCGUUGAUCAAAUAUAAAGAAUCUUGAAAAAAAAUUCGUAUAGAUUUUGGUAGUCAAAUUUAAACGAUCAAAUAUCUAAACGAACCAAAUAUGAACAAUCUGAUCAAACCUAAACGAUCGUGUACCAAAAAAUCUUUCAAAUUUGUCUAUCCAAUUUAAACAAUUUCCAAAGUUAAACGAUAAAAAAAUAGCCAAAUCUAAAUGACCAUGUACCGAAAAAUAACUAAAUUUAAAUAAUCGUGUAGCAAAGAACGUUGAAAAAAAUCGUUUAGAUUUGGCUGCCCAAAUCUAAAGGAUCUCACGUAGAAAAGAACAGUCAAAUCUAAACAUUGUUUUCCAAAUAUAUUACGCGUGUUGGAUGACUAUUAAUUACGGACAAUUUUUUUGUAUUUUUGAUUAUGUGUGUAUGUAGUUUUUUAAAUUGUUGAAUAAUGUAAGACACUUUAGUUAAUCUUAAAUUUAGUCCCAUGAGAAUUUUUACCUUUUGGAUAAAAAGACAUUUCAAGAAGACAAAUUUAGCCUUAGUAUGAGCACUUAUGAUGAUUCUCAUUUUAUGAUUAAAGAUGAAUAGACAGUGAAGUGUGAGCAAUUUGAAAAUGGAAAACACCGGCAAAUAAAAUGUGGCCAUGGGAUUCAAAAUUGAAAGAUUAGAAGGACGAAAUAGGAAAUGACAGAGCAAAAUAUGUGGCUAAGGGAAGAAGGAAGAAGCAAUUAAGCAUUCACUAUUCUCUUCAUUCAAAAACACUUUGAUAAAUGUGACCAAGAAGCAACACAAAAUUGACCCUUCAACAAAUUAAAUGGGCCUCAAAUGUUUUAUGUGCACAAAUUCAAACGACCCCACUUUUUCCUUUCAAAUAAACUCAACAAAGGAAGUGAGGUGAGGUUUUUGAGAUAAAGAUACUCAUACAUUUGUGACCACAUAUAUCUAUCUAUAACUUUUCCUUUCGUUUACAUAAAUCCCUUUUCCACUCUCAUUUUAAUAUACUACGUUUUGUCGGAAUUGGUUGAAGAAUAGGUUUGUAAGUGAUUUUGAAAUUGUUAUUUAUGUUCAAAUUGCUCAUAUGAUAUGUUUACAAUCACUUGAAAAAUCAACGUGAUGUUUGUUUAUACGCUUUGAAGCAUGAUUAUGUGACAAAACUCAUUAGUGUAUGAGCAAGAUAAAAAUUAAAGGCAUGUUUGUUAAAUUUAAAAUCCCUUCAAAAUACGUCUUUAGUAAUUAAAAUUAACGGUAUACUUCUUAUAUCAUCAAAUUGAUUUUGAAUGUAUGUUAUAAAUAACUUAAUUAAUUUAAAAUCACUUCCCAAACUCACUUAGUCAUGAUUAAUAUGAAUCGAAAUAGUUUUAACCUAUUCUACAUGUAAAAGUUAUAAAACUUGGAUUGAAAGCAAAAGACAGUUGGAGAGUAAAGUCAUGAUAGAGAUAAAUGAAAGUAGAAAGCAGCUAAACUUUAGAUGAAUCGGUCAAAAGGAUCACUAAUAUUCAAUAAGGAUUUUAUUGAAAUAUGUUUUAUUAAUAAUCAUGGUGAAAUUAUGAUUACCAAAAGAUCAAGAUAACCUUUAUAUAGGUAGCUACUUUUGUAACGAUCUAUAACCUUUUUCUGCAACCUUGUAAUCUAACUACGUCAUAUGUCCGUGUCUUGAAUCAAACUAAUAUAAGUUCUUUUAGGAUGCAUGUGAAAGUUGCUCCAAUAAACCAACUUGGUUAUUUCAACAUGUUUUGUUCUUACUCACAUGCAUCCAGGGCAAAUUUCCAAGAGGUCACCAAACUAAGAUCGCUCUACACUAAGCACACUUAACCUUGAAGUUCCUAUGAUGAGUCGAAUGUACACCUUGUUAGUAUAGAUAGUAACUUUUAUGUCUUCAUAAUCCCUUUCAUUCAGAUGCGAUAUUAGUCCAUUCAUGUCAUCCUCCUAAAUUCAAGGUAAUACAAUUUUUUUAAUUGUACAAUUGAGAUAGAGGGGUUUGAAACACACUCGUGAUGAUGUUACUAACAAACUCGUAGGUCAAUAUAGAUUUGGUAUUUAGGAGACUACUUUAUUGAUUAUACUUUGUUGUUAUUUUCAUGUUGAUGAAUUUGGUGGGAUGAGAACCACAAGCAACAACCCAAAAACACAGCUACAAUACUAUUUUUUCCUUAAGCCAAAUGCUUUGACAUUGUCGAUGUUUGUUUAGGGACCAUGGGAAUUAUUUUCUAUACUCGUUAAUUUUGACUCUCACAGGUAUAUUCAUAUUGAGUUGUGAUCUUGUGAUACUUUUAACUUAUGGUGGAGAAGCUAGUCAAUAUAAAUUCUCAACCAUAUACAACAUGUGAUUGAGAUUCAUUCAAACAAGCAAGUAAUCAACAUGUUAUUAAUUGAAUCUAUCGAUAUGCUAUAGUGUGAAUUUAAAUAGUACAGACUAUAGUAAUAGUAUGGUCUCUAAAGGAUGUCUCAUUUUUAUGAUUUUUAGUAAAAACAAAUACAUACAAUUUUGUUAACAAAUCAACCUUUCAUUACAUCUCUCACGCCAUUUUCACUUUAAGGAAUGAGAAUCAAAAUUUUCCUUCUUAUUGAUUAUGUUUAUUAAAAUGCAGAAAUUGAAUCAAUUGGUGAGAUCUGACACUAAUUUUAGAAUUUCUACCAAUGAAAAGGAUAUGUUAUCUUACUCAAAUUUUAUCAAUUCUAAUACUCAUUUCUUGUUUCUUGAGUUCUACCAUAUUGCUAUUGAUUACUUCACGUUCUUACCCUUUCUUUCUUAUCCAUAAAUAAGACUACGCUUUUUAGUUCUUUUCUAACAGGGCUUCCAUUUUUGUUUGAAGAAACCACUGAUAUAUUGUCAUAAGCUGUUUAAGUGGUUAAGAGGAUGGUGUUUGAUAGCUCAUAAUUGGGUAAGCUGUUUAAGUGGUUUGGUACCUUGAGAGGGUGUUUGAUGCCUCAUAAUUAAUUGAAUGUGUUUGCAAUGUAAUUCAAAAUCCAUGUUUGAUACAAAAUUUAUUCAAUUUCAACAGUUCAUACAUCCCCUGAUGCAAAAAGAUAGGCAGUGAUUCUCAUUGUGAACAUAACAAUGUGCAAGAUAACUAUCAAGACACUAGUGAUUCUCAUGAUUAAUCGAGUUUACAUAAUGUUUUCUUUUUUCAUUAGUUUUUUUUAUGAUAUAACAAAAUUGUUUGGUUCACACCUUAUGACAGAGACAUCAACAGAUCAACCAAAAUUUAAUACCAUAGUAGUUGUAGUACAACAAAUGCUCAUACGCAUCUCUACAACCAGAAGCAGGGAGAAGCACUUUUUUCAUCUUUAGGGGAUACAUUAACUUGACGUAAAAAGAAAAGCAAAUAAUUGUAGAAAGGAGGGGCAACAAAAAGAAACAGAUCCUAAAGCCAAAAGAAAUUUACAUGAUACCAAGGCCUCCUAAUAUUUUCUUUUAAUUUAAUCUUCUCUUGGGGAAAGUUGGUUGGUGGUGGAGGGGAAAAACCUCUUCAAGAAUUUUGUUUUUUUCUUUUGUCCAUCAUUGUAAGUCCCACAAUCACAUCCUUGGCGCUGCAUUCACAAUAAAUUUAAAAAUUAAAACAGAUGUCCAAUAUUAUUAACUCAAAAUAAUUUUCAUGGGAAUUCUUCCUUUUGCAAAUUUCAAAAGAAUUUACUUAAUAGUUGAAAUGUCAAAAUUAAUGAACACUUGUGUAAUGUGACCAAUUAUUUGAUCUAAGUUUUGUUCAGAAUGGAGCAAACUACAAGCCCACAAAAACGGAGCUAACUAGAGAAACUAGAAAAGAGGCUCUCUCCAAUAAUUUCAUCACACAGAAUGCAACGAAAGACUAAACAUCUUCCAGACCCUAUCAACAAGUUUUAUUAUUCCUCUCCAAAUUCCCCACAAAACUCACUAGGUGGGAAGUUUUGGCAAUAGGAACCCAAAGAGAAACUGUAACUUAUCCCAUGCCAACAACUUAUUCUAGAAACUAUAAUCUUGUUUCUCCCUAUCCAAGUGCCAAUGUGCCAUUAGUUGAAUAAACCUAUUGCCAAGAAAUUCCAGCUUUCUUCACUAAGCUUGGAGAUACCGAGGCCACAAUAUCCCACUAAAAUGGAAGAUGGACAAAAGUAAGGUGCUUUCUAUAACAAGGUCAAAAGGCCAAAUGAUUCCCUAGAAGUAUAUCUCAUGAAAAGCAUAAUGAAUAAAAAGAUGGUGGUAACAUUCUUUUGCUCUCUCAGAGAGUGUCCAUUCAUCUUCACCACCACAUUAGAAAAAAGAUAAAUCAAAGGACACCUUUUAUGAAUUCAAUCCUUGGGUUGAAUGACCUAACAAGAAGUUAAAUAAAAUUGUUUGUUAUAUGGAUUAGACAUGUUGUAGCCUACCUCCUCCAAUUGUUGCCUCAGGCAACCGCUCAAUCGAAUACUGAUGCCGAGUUAUAUACAUGAUGGGUACGCCAGGAACCUGCAAGAAAAUAGGCGAGUUACUACAUCUAAAUCCAACAUUGUGUGUUCCCAACUAUUAUGAUCCGAUUAUACCUUGCGAAUUCUACGCUUCAAAUCUCUAUCACAAGUAGCAACGAUAUAACACUUAUGCUGCACAAAAAGAAAGCUUCUGUUAAAAAUAAUAAAAUAAUAAAAAACAGGGUGAAAAGGCAGGAUAUAGAUCACCAUCUCUACUUCAACUUUACAACUCAUUCAUCCUUUUUUUUUCUUAUAAUCUUUAUCUGAUAGAACGUGAGAGCCUGGUUCCCCAUUCCUCCAAUAACUUAAUACAUUGUUUUUUUUAUCCUAGUUCAAUAUAUACAAAUAUAAUAAACCAUACCAUUGUUGAGAAAUGUGGAAUUAUUUUGGUUUGAGCUGUGUUAGUGGAUCACAAGAGGUUUGACGGAUGCUUCUAUUAUUUUAACCCUUUAAAGUUCUUCCCAAAUAUUCUGGUUCCAGUCACUCACUCAAAGAUUUAAGGACUACUUAGGAGACAUAUUUUUUCAACAACAAGCUGCUUGGCAAUUUGCUCUCUCUUGGUGUUCUCCUCCAAUCCAUUUUGAAGUUUUUAGUUUGCAACCUUCAGCUGUUUUUGGGCUUCUUGUGGAAAAACUUUUAAGUUUUUUUUUGUUCUUAUUGUUCUUCUGUUUUGCUCAGGGUUUCGCUUGUGUUGUUUUUGUUUGUUCAAUUCGUCUGUACUUUUAUUUGUGAUCACUCUUUUCGCUCUUAGUAUAAUUCUCAUGUACUUUGACGAUUAGUCUCUUUUAUUAGUACAUUUAAUAAAGAGGCUCAUAUCCGUUUCAAGAAAAAGUGAUCCAUUAUCCAGAUUUGAGCAUAUAUUGAAGAAAAAUUAACUAAACAAAGCUCAAAAUAGAACGCUCCAAAAUUACAAGUUGCCCCCAACUUUACCUUACAUAUAAGGAAUAAGGAAUAUAUUUCUUUUAAGUAUUAAGAAUGUCAACCAUCUAAAACAUAGUUAUCUAGAUAAAUGUAUUAGAGUUAUCUAGAUAAAUCAUAAAUGUAUUGGAAAUUAAAUAUGAAGUUGGAACAACUGUGAUCAGGUCAACGAACAUCAUAAUAAGUAAGAAGCCUUCAGUUCUCACCUGAGUCACCCUUUCAACAAGGCAAUCAUCAGCAUAGGUUCCUUUAUGAGUACAGGGUAGUCUCUCAAAACGUGGGUCCUUAGCUAUUCUGCUCAAGCCCAAAAAAUAGUAAAUAAUACCAACUUGAGAGAUGCAAAAGAAUGAAACAAGCAGUAAUCUUUAAAAAAUAUACAGAUCUAAAGAACAAGGAAAAACCAAGAAUAUGGUAUUGUGGAGUCAUAUCCCCAUGAAAUUAAAUUAAAAGCUUCUAUUAUUUCUUUCCAAUCCUAAUAUUCAACUUUUCAUAACCUUUACUCGACUAUUUGAAUAAUGCUUUGCUGGCAUUCCAAAUUAUUUUGAGUGGUUGAAUUUCCCCUUCACAACAAAAUUGAAGAUGGACAAGAAAAGAAAAAUACAAAAUCGUGCAUAGAUAAUUCAUCUUCUGAAAGACAAAUGAAACAUAAAUUUACCUCAGAGCAACGCGAUACUUCUGACCUAAUCGCUCAAGCUCAGCCAUCACGCAGUCUGUUAUACAAGGAGUGCCUAAAACAUGAUCACAAAUAAGUAUCCAUGUCCACAAAGAAUACCACUUCUCGAAUACUGAAUUCUAAUACAUUUUCUGUCAAUGUACGACUUACAUUUAGCAUAUAGACAGUCCAUCAUUCCCUUCUCCAAGUCCAACUGCAAUUAGAAAGGAGAGAAAAAACCACUUCAAUCAUCAAGUAGAAAGAAAUUAUAUCCUUAAUUUUACCUGCAUGAUGUAGUGCUCUCAUCAUAUGAAAUUUGACGAGAGAAAAUCCACUAGUUUACAAAAAAAAAAAUACAUAUAUUUUUCAAAUUAUCCACAAACAUAUUCAUAACAAAAUGGACUUUACAUUUCCAGAGGAAUCACACAGUGAUAAUAUACUAUAUUCUCAUUAAAAAUGUAAAGCACUCACCUUGUUUUGAAUGGAGAAAUUGAUGAAAUUUGUAUCCACCAAAACCCGAUAAGGUGGCCCCAAUGCAGUGUUGUACUUGAAGAAAAGUGCCGAAGGAACAUUUGGACUGAAUUAACAGAAAUAUAAGUAUUCAUUUGUCACAGACAACACCAACAGUAGAAAACAAUUCUUAUGCCCAGACAACAAAGUUAGAAAAUGUUGAUUUGUUAUGGAAAGAUAAAGUAGAAAAUAGUCAGCUCAAGAAGUUCCUUACACAUUUCUUGGGAGGUUUUCUUUUGUUAGAUCUUUUCUCUUUGGAUUCAAGACCUCUUCCUUGUAGCUAAGAUAAGUAACAAAACAAAAUAAACAUAAGCAAAUAAGAUUUUAAAGAAAAGUUAGAUAAAGCUGACAAUUGAAAAGAAACAACAGAAGGUAUACUUUUUAAUCGCUUUGGAGGUGACCAUCUUCUUCAUGACUGCAAAUUUGGGUCCUUUCUUGGCCCUCCCCAUCUCGUUGAUUGAAGGGUAAAAAAUUGAAGUUGUGCUUUCUCAGAUGCAAUUUCAAUGCUUUAAAUCUUAAAAGAGAACUUGCUCACUAUCUGCAACAUUGGUAACGAGGAAACAACUUACAAUCAUUUAUAUGAAUCCCAAAAUCUCAACAGCACAAUCAAAAAGUAAUAUAUUUGCACCAUUUUCCACAUAACUCGUGCAUAUCAUACAUGUUAACACAUAUGACAUAUUGAGUUCAAAUAUAAAAAUAUUGACGAUAAAGUAACGUGAAAAAGACUAAAUUUCUUUCAAGCACUCAACAGAUGCGUCCCUUGUUUCAAAAGAGGAUACCGAAGCUAAACAGUGGUAACUCUAAGGAUUCCCAAGAGGGGGAAACAGUGAUGGCUCCUACAUUACCCAUGUACUCAAUUUCUCCAUAAAAAUCUUUUUUGUUCCUCCACAAUAUUUCCAUGAAACUUAAAUUAAAUCCUUCCAAUUUUUAACAUAUGCCCAUUUUACCAUAAUAUUUUCUACAAUUUCAACAACAACAAAAAAUCCCUUCACUCCAAUUAUAACCUUCAGAUAAUACAAGUAUAAACAAGGGUGAAGUUGUUUGGUAAAUCAAAAUUGCUCCUACAAGUUAAGGAUUAAAAGAGGAUUUCAUAACAGGAUAGACUAUUCAGACUAGUCCUCUGAUAAAUAAAGAAGGGAGAUGCUAGAAAAUUCAUGGUCGGAGAAACAAGGCAAUUUCCAGCAGAAAAAAACGAGACGUUCAGACUAUCAAAGCCUUAAUAGAAAGACAUAGGCAACAAAUCAAUAGACGAAAGAUUAGGAAAUCAGGGAAAACCUGCUGGAGAGAGGCUGGGACGACACGAGCAGAGGAAAGACGGCGACGGAAACGGCGGCAGUAGCACUGAACGGGAGAGAGGGGGCGGCGACAAUGAGCUGCUGAAAGAGAGGAAGAGACGGAGUGAAGAAGAAGAAGAAGGAGGUGUGGUGGAGCACGUGAGAGUAAAGGACGAUGAUGGAGGUUAGGGUUUUGCCACUUUCUAUUGUUAUAUUUAUUAUCUUAUUACUUUUUAAAUUAUUUUAAGUAUCAAAUCUUCUCUAAUAUUUACAAAAUAAUAAAAUAUCACAAUUUAGAUUAAUCGGUCAUUAUUAGUAAUAUGAUAAUUUGUUUUAUUUUAUAAUUUUCUUUUAUUUCAAAAUAGUCCUUAUUUUUAUUUAUUCAAACCUAUUACAAUUCAUUUGAUGGAUAUAAUUUGUGUUUAAGUUUUAAAAUAUUAAGUAUUACUCCUAUUUACAUUUUUACUAUUGAUUCUUUUUAUUGCAUAUCUUUGAUGUUGAUUAAUUUAAAAGAAUUAUACUUAAUUAACUUCUCAUUAUCCUUAAUUUUGUCAUUCAUAAUCAAUUCAAAGGGGAUAGUUUUUUUUUUUUUUUUUUUUUUAUCUAUUUCAUUUGUGAAGCUUGCUUUCUUUCAUGUUGAGAAUCCAAUUGAUCUUAAUUAUAAUAAUAAAAUAUAUAUACAUACACCAUUUGGAUAAUCAUUAUUCUUUUAUAAUUAUUGUUAUUCAAAUUUGAAAGUUAAUGAUUUGAUUUAAUCUCAUUAUAGUUGAACUAUAAAAUUACUACCAAUCUCAAAUAACGUAUUUAUAAAAAGAAUACAUAUAAAACCACUUGAAUUUCGUUUGUAAAACAAAUGAUUGCUUGGAUGCAUCUUCAGGUGUUGCAUUUGCUCAUUAAAAUUGCUCUUCUUCCGUCGAUCAAGAGUCCCUCGUUUUUCUAGACUUUUUUUUUCUUUGUAAUAUUUGUGUCAAAUGUUAAAUGAUAACUUUGACUUAGAUGAUUGAUAUUAUUUGAUAGUCUUUCAACUCUUCUUAAUUAUUACUGCAGAUAAAUGAUAACUAAAACUAAAAUCAAAGUAUAUAAGUAAAAGGUAUGUUUAUAUAAUAAUUCAUUCAAUACAAAUGUCCGUUAUGACAAUACACUUUAUUCAAAUGGUGAUAGACAAUAUCAUUGUUUCAUAAUUUAAAUUUGUUUCUUCUAAAAUCUAAUUAUGUUUAUAUAUGUAUAGGCACAUAAUUAUUUUAUAAAAUUAUGAAUGUUAUUACUGAUAUAAAAAAAAUCUAUUAUAUACUUCAUUUAUAAUUAAAAGUUUGUAUAAUAAACGGUGUUGUGAAUUUCUAAGAAUUAGUCCGAAUAUUUUAAGUCCAAAUCUACCUCUUUACAACAACAAUAAUAGAAAAUCAUCAUGUUAUGACUUAUGACUCCCCAAAAUGGAAAGUUGGAAACUUUCUUUUAUUCAAAUGGUUGGUUAAUGUCAAAAAAUAAAAUUAAUUUUUAAAAGGAUGGAAACAAUCGAACAUCCUCAAAUUUUUAUUUUUAUAAGUGUAUGAUACGUCAAUUACCUUUGAUCAGCUACAACCUCUACAUUAUUUAUUGAAACAGAAAAAUAGAGAAAAGGAAGAAAAUUUUGGCAAUGUAAAACUUUCUUUUUAAAAAAAGUUCAACAAACUGAAGUGUUGGAAACUCUUAUAUACCUUAGUUAAUUAACUUGUAAUUGUUGAACUAUACCCAAAUUGACGGUUAAAUUUAAAAGAUGGAAUGAAUCGUUAUUGUUUAAUUAUUUUUUUGUUCACAUCUUAAUCUUAGCAGCAAAAGGAGUAUUAAUAGAGCCAAUCCAAACAACACCAUCCUCUCUUUCUUCCACUUCAGAAAAAGACUUCCAUUUCAAAUCUCCUUUGCCUUCAAUAAUCUCCAUUACUUCACCUUCUUCACUAACUCUCAUUCCAAUCCCACCAUUCUUUAUCCAUUUUCCUAAAAAUGAAUGCACUUUAUCUAUAUCCAAAGGUAGCUUCAAUAGCACCUUCCCUAUCCAAGGUUGAGAUAAUAUCAACCUCAACGAUCCCCGUUUUCUCGAGUGAAUUCCAACCCAAAACCCACCUCGACGACUCGCUUUUAUGUUGUCUGGGAAGCCAGGGAGCUCAGCGAUUACGUCGUAGCUCCCGGCUUUUACAGUCUUUAGCCAGUACUUGAGAAUCCUGCACUUGGUCGUCUCGGCGAGUAGAAGGAAGUCGCCGUUUUUGCUCAGUGAAACUCCAUUUGGAAAUGAAAGGUUUGCUAAGAGAAGAGAUAGUUGUUUGGUUUUUGGAUCAUAUUUCAUUAGCCUUCCUGUAUUGUCUCCACUUAAUACCGAAGAUGCAAAGUUCCUGCCAAAAAAACAAAUCUUUGAUGGCUUGGUCAGUGUAUUUGAAUUUUCUAGCCUUUUUUUAUAAAAAAAAAAUGUAUUAAAUUAUUUGUCUGUUUGUUUGUUUUUUUCCAUAAACAAAUAAGGAUGAAAAAACCAUGUAUUUAUAUAAGCUUCAUUUUCACAAACUAAAUGGCUAUUAAACAUAGAACAGGUCUUUGAGCUAAAAGUGCAUGUGUGUGUGAUAUAUAUUACUUAAUUUAAAUCUUGCAUCUACUUGUAAGUCUUUCAAUUUAUUCUAACAUUUUAUAAAAUCACUGUGUAAUAGAUUCGUUAGCUUUUUUAAAAAACAUAUCGUGUAUUUAUCGAGCACAAAAUUAUUCAUAAACACCAAAAUUGGACAUUUAAGGUACAAAAACUAAACUACUUAUACUUCAACAACGACCACUGCAGCCUUCAAAGAAGAUAGGUCGAAUGUUUUGUUUCGAGGACUAGUUUAGAGACUAUGAGACUUGACGUACGAAAGUGAGAGAGAAAGAACUACCUUCUUUGAUAGUGAGAAGAGCUAUCAGUGAAAUAGACAACUCCAGAGAAUUGAUCAAUGUCCAAGCCAUUUGCAAAGGUUAAUGAAUCAAACCCACGAAGUUGAUCCUCUCGCGUCUGAAAAUCAAGCCUUUCGGCCAAACCCCCAUUAGAGCCAACUCGAAGCAAUCCCAUGUAUGCAUCAGCAAUGUACAAUUGAUCGCCAUCGCCACUGUCUUUGAAUUUGAGGCCUAAUGGCCUCCCACAUCUCUCUUCUCUUUCCUCCCUUCUCUCUCUUUCUUCACAACCUGUUCUGUUAUUUUUCAUUUUUAUCAUUUAGUUUUUAAUCAGCCAUUAAAUUACGAAUUCGUAUUCAAAUUACAUUCAAUAAAACCUUCAAAUGAACGACAUAUAAUGAUUGAAAUUAAAUAGAGAAUCCAAACUAAGCAAAAUCAAACAAAUUAUAUAUUCUUGUGCCAAUUAAUAUAUCUAACAAAUAUGUAUUUGCAAUAGUUUAAUUAAUAUAUAAAGGAAAAAGAAUAAUUUUGACGAUUAAAUAUUUUCAUUUCAACCUAAAACUUUCCAUUUUGAUUAAAUUUUGGAAAAUUACACAUAUUAAUAACAAAUUAAGUAAAUGAAAUGUAUAAAUUUAAGAAAUUUCAUAUAAUUAGAACCCAACAAUGUAGCUGGAAAUAUAUCACCACAUAAAAAUGUGUGACGAACCAAGAAAAGUGACAAAACGUAACUUACACGUGGAGAUCAUGCAAAACGAGAGGCCAAAAUCGUAAUAGAAUUUAAUAUUUGUUAUUAAUUUAAUGUAAUUUUGAAUAAGAUGAAGAAAAACAAGUCCUGAAAUAAUCCAACCCUAUUUGUUAAUUUAAUAUUUUUUGUCCAACUAAUCAAAAUCAAAUCAAACAUUAUAUAACAUUAAUAAUGUGAGAUUCCUUUGCUAUUCUUUGAAAAGCUGUUUCUACUUUGACAUCUCAGCCUAAUAAAAAAAUUAAAUUAAACCCAUCCUCUUAAUUCCUAUGAAAUAGUAAUAACAUUUCUAUUUCCAACUCUUUUUCUCCCUUUGGGACAAAAAUUAUCAAUCAUAGAUCUACCAGCAAAGAGCCAACAGCCACAUUUUUUUUCAAAGGUACUAUCACACAUAAUUAUUAGUAUGGAACCAAUAAUAAUUCACUUCAUAAUCUUAUCCUUACAUUAUAGAUUUUAGAAAAAUAGCCUUUCUACCCUAAAGGUUGUAUCAGUGACCAAAUGUUGUAUUAAUUAAAACUUUAAACUAAUACUUUAUAAAUGUUGAUGGAUAAAAAUUGAUGGAAAAUAAUAAUUUAUAUUAGUGAUUAAUUUUAAUUUUGUAUCGUUAAAUUAAUCCAUAUAGAUUGAUGGAUAAAGAUGGAGUAAAAAUAAUAAUUCAUGUCAAUUAAAUAAUUCUCUUAUACGCGUGUAAACUUAUUCAUUUUAUACCACUAGAGUUCGAUCAUGGGUGAAUCUCAAAAGAAAUUCUACCCAAAUGUUUUAAUUGAUUUAAAAACAAAAGUUUAAUUUAUAUAAUUAUAAAUCUCAUACUAAAUAUAUUUCAAUCGAACAUGUAUGGUGUGAAUUGGAAGUUAAAAUGGAAGAAUUCAAACCUAAGCUCAAAUGUGAUAGGUCUAAGUUUUAAUUUUGUUAAUCUAUUGUAUUAGGCUUUUAAAAUUGUUUUGGAACACUCAAAAGUCAAUAAAUAAAAUAAAUUCAAUUAUGACAUUGAUUCAUGUGAGCUAAUAUAGUAUCAAUACUUUUAGUUUUAGAGAAGAACAUAUGAGAGAAAAUUAGAGAUUUUAAAAAGAAAAACAAUGAAAAAAAGGACCAAUGUGUGUUGCCUAAGCAAAAAUAAUAAGAGAAAACUUUUAACAAAAAGAAAAAAAAAACAAAUAUUAAAAAUACUGAUUACAAUUCUAAACAUAAUAAUUUAAAUUUGGACAAGAACAUCAACAAAAUAUAUAUAUACACAAAUAAAAUAAACUCAAACGUGCAUUUGAUUAAAUAAUUAGAAGAAAGAAGAAAAAAAAGCAAAAAAACAGAGAGUUGAAAUUACCUGUUUGAAGAAGUAACGGCGAAAUCAAUCCAGGUUUGUUGUUGGGGCAGCCAUUUGAUAAUUCGGCCGUCGGAGAUGCCGGUGUAAGGUCCGCCGCCAGAACUGUCGAAGGCGAAGCUCUCCGGCCCAACGGCACCGUGAAUCGGCACGUAUUCCGUUUUCCAAUGAUCGAAAGUGGUCUCCGGUGGCAGGGAAAAUCUGGUGAUGUUGAUGGCGAGUAGGGCGAAGAGGGCGGAGAGGGCGGUUGCGUUGAGGCAGAAAUUGAAGUUCAUUGCUCUUGUAAUGAGAGAAAGAGAGAGAGAGAAAAGAAUUUGAGGAGGAGGAGAAGUGUGAGGAUGUGUUUAUUCUGUUUUGAAGGCGGAGCAGUGGCAGUUUUGUAGUUUAGAAAAAACGUUGGGAUUGUGUUUAGCAGUUGGCACGUUUUGUAAUGGGGGUUAUUUUCGUCUUUCGCUUUAACUCUAUCUAUUGUUUUUACAUUCUUUCAUUUCGGGGAUUGGGAAACCCUAUAAACUAUUUGGGGCAUUGAGUUAAAAUAAACUCUCUCAACUUCUAUCUAAAAUUUGCCAACUUCUUUGUACUUAAUUUAUAUGUUUGUAUUUGAGAAUUUUCAUUAGCUAAUAACAAUAAAUAAAUCGAUACAAAAAAAACAGCUUGUAACUUUUUUUAUACAUUGUAAAUUUGAUUUGAUAAUUUAUUAUUUUUGUAAUUUAAAAAAUGUAAGUGACUAAUUUCUUUUACUAUUUUUUGUAAACUUCCUUUUGUAUCUUGAAUACACACUUAAAUUUUAUAUAUUUUGUGUAUAAACAUUUUUUAAAAUAGCAAAAUAAAUUAAAAUAUUUAUAAGUUAUAGCAAAAUGUUAGAUUCUAUCUAUGAUAGUCAUCGAUAGACUUCUAUCACUGUAGCAUAUAUUUUGUUAUAUGUUGUAAAUAUUUUGUAAAAUUUACUACUUUUGUGUUAAAUAAAAUAUAACUUUUCUAAUUUUUCUUUUGGAAUUUCACCAUUUUCAUUUUUCUUCUUUUUCUUUCUAUCGUUGAUUUAUAUUUUUUUAUCUCGUGUAAUUUUUCUUUUAAUUUAAUCUCUCUCAUCAUCUUAGUAGUCAAUCGAAUGCGACCACAUUUUUGCAAUAAUUUCGCAUUCAAUUAUAUUCCUCCAAAUUUGGGGAAUCAUCAUAGUUAAUAUUAGUGUUUGUUUGGUGCGGUAGGAAUUUAAAAUCUAGAGUUUGAUUAACCUACUAAACUAAGUACCACACGGGUAAAAAGAGAACCUCUCUUUGUUAAAGGGAAGGAAUUCAUUUCUAUCGCUAUUUUUAUCAUGCAAAAGAGUGUGGCUCAUCUACCCCUAUGUAUAAGGUAAAAAGAAAAAAACAAGUAACAAACCAUUCAUGACUCUACCUAUCUUUUUAUAAUUCAUGUAGUCCACUAGUCAAACUAUGCAUAACUGACCAAAAAAACUGAAAGUAAUUUUUAAAAAUAAAGAAACAAUAAUUUUUCAUUUGUCAUGUAGUAGUAAGUGACAAUUACAAAUUUAACGAUUAGAUUCAAAUGAUUAGUAUUUAACAAAUAAAAUUACAAAAAUAACAAAAUUUAUUAAAAUGUAUCACUGAUAGAUCAUAUUGUAAAUAUUGAUCCGUCAUUAAUAGACCAUAAGAAACUACCAACUAUAGAAAUUUAUCAUUAAUACAAGUUGCUAUAUUUAUAUAAUUUUAAAAAUGAUCUUGCACAUACACUCAAAUAUUAUCCCUAAAAAAUAUCUAAUGGAAUAAAAGAGUUACAUGGAAAAUUGUGAAUUUUCAAAAGUAAUAUGAAGUGCUUCAUUUCUAGUAGGUUGGAAAUUAUAUUUAUUCUCUCCCACCAAAUUAAAACCCUUUAAAAUUUUCUAAUUAAACAUUUAAAUUUGUAGUCCAAAUUCAAAAACAAUCUUUUUUAAAAAAGAAUUAAAUCUUAUGUUGGAUUUUAAAAAUAUUCCGAUGAAUUAUUAGAUAACAAUAAAACAUAAAUAUUCAUAUAUGAAAGUAUAAUACUUAAUUAAUUCUGAUAAAGAAAAAAUGAAACUAUUCUAUUUAUAACCAUUUCAUUUUUGAAAAUUAAAGUUAUCAAUAUUUUAAUUUUAUUAUCUACUUUCUAUCUAUUUAAAAAUUGAGGCAAAGCUUUAAUUAUAAAAAGUAAAUAGUUUUUGAAAACCUUGAACUUGUAAAGCUUGCCAAAAAUGGAGGUUGAUAGUAUAGGCUCUUUGCUACUUUCAUCUACCAUUGAUUACAAAAAUCACUUUACCUCACUUUCAAAACACCUCAUCUUAAAUUUAAUUAAAUUUUUGUAUAUAGAUUUAAAAUUAAUUUAUAAAAUUUUCAGGAGUCAUACAUACAUAAUAAAAUGGUUGUCAAAGUUAACACUCAACGUAACUAAAAUAAACUUUCUAUCUUUAGAGGUUAAAUGUCGGAUCUUCUACUCUUUAGUUGUUUUACUUAGAAAAACAAAAUCAAGUGUAAAACAUAAUUACCUGGAAUUAAUUACAUUUGAAAUAAAAAGAAAAUAAGUACGGAGAAAAACUAUACUUUAGUUAAGAUAUAGAUGUUUCUAAUCAAUUGCAUCUCUUACCAACAAACACUCAAAUUUAUCGAGUAUUAAUAUGAUUUUACAAGUAUAUAUUUGUAUGUAUACAUCAUGAAAUUCAUCCCUAUAGUAAGUUUUGACUCUUUGAAUUUUUCGAAAUAGGUGUAAAGUAGAAUUAGCAUCUCGGGUCAUUAAUUAAUUUAUCUACACCAUGUUAGUUUGCUACAUGUCUUCACAUUAACACACCAUCAAUGCCCGAUAGGAUUGUUGUAUGUAAUUAUCAUAAACACAAACAUUUAUUGACAUUAUUAGUGUGUCAUUUUAUUUGUCUAUGAGUUUGUAGAUAUGCAACUUUAGAAAUUCUUCAACUGUGUAUUUAUUCUAUUAAUACAUUACCAACAGAUAGACUACUAUUAUCAAACAAUGGUUUGGUAAAGUUCAUCUACAGUGAUAUUAUACUACUAUGUUUCAAAAUAAUCCUAUACAUGUAUUUUUGCAACAAAAUAUUGUUGUAUGCACUAUUGUGUUUAGUUAGUUAUUUGCUAGCUAGAUGUGCCAUACCUACAAACAAUAGGGAACAAAUAUUAAUUAGAAUGAAUGCUCUUUAAUUUUUGUACUAAAUUAAUUUGGAAGACAAUUAGGAAGAUUCAUCUUGUGUUCAAUUUGUAAUGCUAUUUAUGCAGCUUCAUUUAUAAGAUAGACUUUAAAAUAAUCAAAAUGAAAAAGUAAUAUUCCGCUUUUAAUUUUGUAUUAAUAAGGCUCUAAAUUUUUUUAAAUUAAAACCAUUUUCGAUUUUAGUAGACACAAUUUUAAUUUUAAUCCAGAAUAAAAAAAAAGAAUGAAAAAGAAAAUUAUUUUAGUGUAUGAUUAAAAUGAGACAGCACAAAAUAUUUCGUUCUUAUAAAUAAAAUUACAUUGUUUAUGAACAAACCCAACAGUACAAUAAUGUUAACAAAAGUUUUUAAGGGUUUUUUCAUAAAAUAAAAUAAAAGUUUUUGAAGGUUAGCAACUUGAUAGAUUUUAAUUUAAAUGUUCAGUAACUAUAUGUACCUAAUAAAUAUAUGUGUGUGUAUAUAUAUACACUCCACAACGAUGCUUAAAAGUUAUGAACAAUAUUUUGAAAUUUAAACCACAAUCUCUUAAACACAAGACCAAAAUGAAGAAAGUUUCAAAAUCCAUUAAUAUAUUAACCAGAAGUUAGAUCACCAAGAGAGCUCCAGCUUUCUUCCAAAGCCAUUUUUAUGAUCUUCUACGUGAAAGUUUAUCUAUUUCAAAAAGGGAAAAAACUAAAAUUACAAGAGGAAGAAGAAGCGAGAGUGAAAAUUACUAUCUACUCGAAUCGUGUUUCGAGAAAUAGCUUAGGAAAACAAGCCUAUUUUUAUUCAUAAACACCAAUGAACGGCAUUAAAACCGAUCCGAACCACAGUUUUCCAUCCUUCUCUUCAACUUCACUAAUGAACUUCAAAGUGUUUCCUUCACAAUCUUCUAAAACCUCCAAAACCUCUCCUUCCUCACUCAACCUAAUAGCAGUUGCAUGGGCCUUCCCUCCCACCAACAACCCAUGCAAUCGCUUGAAAUCAAUUGGAAGCUUCAACAGAAGUUUCCCAAACCAAGAUGUUGAAGUAACCAAGUUCCCAAUAAUUCCCUUUUUCGAAUGCAAAGCAACCCAAUAUUCACCUUUCGGAUUCCUUCUAAUGUUGUCAGGAAAGCCUGGAAGCCGAGCAAGAACAUCAAAAUUUCCUGCUUCAGUACCUUGAAGCCAAAAUCUGAGAAUCCUGCCAGAGGUAGACUCAACCACAAGCACGUAGGAAUGGUCUUUGCUUAAUGCAAUACCAUUGGCAAAUGCAAGGCCUUGUAAUAAAACCGUAACUUGCUUACUAGCUCGAUGAUACUUAAAUAACCUUCCCGUACUAUCUCCGCUCAAUAUCGACGCCAUGAACUGUCUUCAAAUGUAAACAUUCAUCAAAACCAAAGUUUAACAAGAACACCACAGCCAGUUAAUGGACUAUGAAUUUCAGAUUGCGGUAACUGUAAUACUAUAAGCAGUUCCAGUUUCAAAUUUAGUGAAGUGUUAUGCUAAAGAGAGGUGACCAGUGACAUUUAGAAACAUAUAAGUUUAGUUGAACUAACAAAUAAAUUAAAAUUUAAAAGUCAGAAAUUUCAGAUUCAUUAAUCAGAUUUUUCUACUUUAAAGAUCAGUUGCUAAAAUGAGGUAUGUUUGAGUCUGAGUUACCUUCUUUGGAAAACUGUACUACUGUCAGUAAAGUAUAUGAUAUCGUUGUCCUCAUCAAUAUCAAGAUCAUUUGUGAAACGAAGUGGCUUGCCUUCAAAUUCACUUACAAGUUUUGUUGCCAAACCUCCACUAGGUCCCACAACAUGAAGACCGAGAUAGGCAUCAGCGAUGUAGAGAUCUCCAGUUGUCUUAUCAAAACGCAGUCCUAAUGGCCUCCCACAAACAUGCUCCAAUUCAGGUGCAAAUGGGCGAACACACUCACUCCUUCGAGGACAUAAAACAAAAUGAAUCAACAAGGGAAACGUGAAAAAUGAACAAUAUUUGCUAAACAAUAAAUAUGCACAACCCUGUUUCCAGCAAGCAAAACACAAACAUGCACAUCUAAAGACAAAACAGACAUUUUCAUAGUACAAAGAAAUGUAUGAGGCAGAAAGUGAAGUACUUCAAAGUUCAAAUCCAACGUCAUUGGCUCAAAUUCUAUAGGAGCAUAAAGAUGUUUUCUUAGGCUGAGGAGAUAGUUUGAUUUUAAAAGCUCCAAGGCGGGGAAUUGAACCUUCAACCUUUAGGGACAGAGGUCAUGUCAUUACCACUUAACCAAACUUUUUUUGGCAGGCCUAAGAGACGGUUUUGAUUUGCCCUUUCCUAGUGUCAAUCCCGUUUCAAUCUCCAACAGAUCUUAUUUGAUUCCAAAAACCUGAGUUUUUGGCUUUGGUAGGUGGGAUAGUCAUGCCCAGCCCUUUCAUGAUACUAAGCCAGGCAAAUACUAUGAAGGGAUAAAAUCUAUUCACUGAGAAAAAUGAGCUGAGCGAUUUAAACCUGUGAUAGUUCUUUUUUAUUUAUAAAAAAGUUUUGAGACCAGAGCAACUCACCCAGAGUCCCAGACACAUGAAAAACAAGGCCUUGAAAUGAUUCCUCAACAACUUGAUAUCCAAUUAUAAGGGCACUAGAGGUAGUUGACUCUGCCCCCAAAUCCUCCUGAAAUGGGCUUUAUGGCAAAGAGCAAGAAGAAAACAAAGACCAGGUCCAGGCAGGAGAAUUUGAAAAUCAAUUCUCCAAACCAAGCUUAUCUUACAACAUUACAUUAAAAAGUCCAACCAGAACAUAUUCCAUCUAUAUUUAUAUCUAUAUCUCAAAAUCACUCCCAAACAUAAAAUAACUCCAAAAGUCCAACCAAAACAUCUAGCAUGUGUGUGUUCACCAUUUUUAUUAAAGGAAAAACAAGUGAUUAAUCAGCCAUCUCCAAAUAUUUUAUAUAAAAACAAGAAUUCAACAAUGAUCCUGCUUAAAAUAAUAAUAAUAAUAACAACAACAAAGGUCCAGCCAAGCAACACCAUUCCAUGAUCAUAUUACAGAAUAUUUAGCUUAAAAAAACCUCCCCUUAAACAAUUUUUGUAAAAAAUCAAAACCCAAAAUUAAUUAACCAAUAUACAAUUGGACAACAAGAUAAUGAUAAAAUUGUACCUCUGAGAGCUAGUAACAGCGAAAUCAGUCCAGCCACGGCCAUCACCUUGCCACUUGAGAAUCCGGCCAUCAGCAACCCCAGUGUAGGGACCUUCACCAUUCUGGUCAAAAAUCAAACUCUCCGGUCCGAUUGCUCCAGUGAGAGGAAUAACGUUGGCGGAACGAAGAUAAUCGUGGGUUCCAGGAAUGUGCGGCGGCGCAAAGACCUGUUCGAGCUUGAGAAAAGGGGUUUGGAGGGAGAAGAUGAUAGCAACAAGGGCAGCAACAGUGGCCGCCACAAAGAAUGUAAGCAUGGAAUACAUUGAAUUUGAUUUGGUGUGAUUGUGUGAAUGGAGGAAUGAAAAUGGUGGGGGGAAAGUGGAUCCGGUAGAAAAGGGAAUGGGUGGUGAGAGUGGAAAGACGGACUUUACAAUAAGUCUCUCACAAAGAUCAAAGGUGAAAAUAUUGAUUUUUUUUCCUUCCAAAACCUUAUUUUAGUAUUCUACUUUCUAACAACCUUUAUUCUAUUUUCAACCUUACUUUCUAUUAUUUAGUGCAACCAUUUUCGGGUUGGGAGAUUGAACUAUUGAUCUUUUGAAACAGUAGUAGCUAAUUUUCUUUUAAGUGUAAUAAAUAUGGAACUUCAAAUUUUGAACAUCUUUGAAUUUAUUAACUUUUUAACUUUAAUAUUAGUUCGGUUAGUUUUUGCGUUUGUACUUGGUUUUGUAUUUUCAAAAUGUUGGACUAGAACCAAGACAAAUCAUGAUGGGCCAAAGAAGGAGACUAGCACGAACUAGAAUCACACAAGUGUGAAGGGUUUUUUUAUAGGUCACACUCUUCCUUCCUUGAAACAAAUGGACUUUGGUUUCAGGUAAGGACGCCUGCGUUUUGAUUCUUAGGCUUCUUUAAAUGAUAGUUUUGGUUCCUUAAGAAAUAAAAAUAGAAAGAGAGAGAGUUUCUUUUUAAAAGUAUCAAGAACACAACAAAAAGUUAAAAAGAUAUGGUUCAAAAUAAUCAUUUUCAAAGGAUAUGAACACAUACCCAUUUUAGUCAAAAGUAUAGAGAUUAAAAUAGUAUUAUCGAUUUUUUUUAAUUUUAUAUUUUAAUCUCUCCAACUUUUGAAUCCCUCAUUUUUAAUUUUGGGCUUGAAAAAGGAUUGAAUGUUAUUAAAAUUAAAAAUGGUGUUAUUUUAAGUAAAUCUCUUUACUAUGAAUGUUUUAAAUGUGUUGGAUUUAGUUUUGGAAUGUAUUGAAAGUUCUAUCUUUUAGUCUUUUCAAGGAAAAAAUAGUUAAAAAGAUGAUAUGUCAUUGGAUCAGAUCUUGUCGAUGGCCAAAUUAGAAAAGUUUUGAAACCUUUUAAGAUUUUUGAAUAUAUCACUUUAUUUUGAUUUUAUGAGUAGAAAAAAGAAUUUGAUGCCAAUGCUUUUGCAUUAUUUCAUCUACUAAAGUUUGCUUUUAUAAAAUUAAGAAAAGUAUCUUUACAAAAAAAUAAAAAAAAAAUACAUAUUUGUUACAACCAAGUAAAUUUAUAAUGCUUUGGUUUCCCCAUCUAAUUUUUUCUAUAAAUUCUAUGCUAUGUUAUUAUGUAAUAAAUAUAUAUAAAAAAGGUAAUAAAACAAAUUAUAAAUCAAUUUCAUCUAAAUAAUUUGGAGAACAUUAAAACGUGUGAGACUCGACGAUUGUUGGCUCAUUGUCAAACAUAACCUUGAUUAUUUACUUGUUAUAGUUAAGAAACUUUAUAGUAUAGCAGCAUAAUCAAAUUUGAUGGAGUUGAUGAAGAUUUUAAAUAAUGUGCUGAAUCAAAUUCAGCUUAAUUUAAUUGAUUCCUCGACUACACCAUAUUUACUACACAAGAGACGUUAUUAUACGGAGAAAUAAGAAAUUUUUAAUAAAAAAAAAGCUAUCUAAUGUAAUAGCAACUAAACUUCAAUAUGGGCUUCCAAAUAAAAUGAAAAGUUAGUAUAUGGGCCACCAUUCAAAGCCCAAGCCCAAAAGGUGCACUAAAGUGAAUUCGAUAAAAGUUACAACUUUAGUCCCUCAAUUUUAUAUAAAUAUCUAUUCUAAAGUAUGUCCAUAAAUCUCAAAUCUAAACCUCUAACAUUUUUCGUGACACUCACAUCAAACUUAUUCAAAAUUUUCAAAACUUAGAAACAAAAUAAAUCUAAGAGCCUAUAAAAUAGAAUAUAUUUUAGUCAAUGAAUAUUUUUAAAAAACAUAGUAAUUAUAAAUACUAAAGUCAACAUAUGUUUUAUGGUCUUUUUUAAGUAAUACAUUUUUCAAAUAUAAAAAAGCCAGUUCGUAUAAUUCGAUUAUAUAAUAUAUAGUUUCAACUCCAUUCCCUAAUAAAGCCUUAAUUAAUGAUUCAGGUUUUGUUGUCAUAAUUUUAGAAGCUUCAAAAUUAUUAUUUAUAUAUAUAUAUAUAUAUACAAAUUUUGGAAAAAUGUACACAUGAGUAACACUAAAUUCUAAAAUAAUCCAAUUUUUGAAAUCAACCCACGUUUUUAAUAACAUAAUAUACUAAAAUGGACUAUUCAACGCCAUAAUUUUUUGAAGCUUUAUAGUUGACUGUACCAUCAUAUGAUCUCAAACUAUAAUGUUGAAUAUCUAAAAAUUAAUUAAUUUGAAAACAUUAUGAAGAUAUGUAAUAAAUAUCCCCUACUAAAUCUGUACAUUAUAAAGUCAUAAAAUUAAAUCUUAUUUUGGAAUAUAAAUGCAAGCAAAUAUUGGGUCAUAUAUUCUCUUGUUAAAAUGAUACUUAAUUGAUUAGCAUGUGAUGAGAAAGCUAAAUUAAGUUGGAAUUUUGAGAUUGAUUUGGUGACUCCAAGGGGUUUCCAAAAGGUAUUUGAGGAAUAUUGUAUUAUACUGUUUGCCCUUUAGAGUUGUUCUCUAACCCAUAAUUCCAUUUUCUUUAUUAUUAUUUUGGCAACAAAUUAAUGAUGAAAAUAUUUGGUUUCUGAGUUUCAUGAUCUCAAUCUUAAAAGAUAACUCUAUCACAUGAAUACUUUAUAUAUAUAUAUAUAUAUGAAUUCAGAAGUUUAAAUCCUAAACUUUAAUAUCAUGAUAGUUUCUAUAUAAUUUUUGUAUUAAAAUACUAUGCUAACGGUAGUUUAAAGAAAAAACUAUAACCAAAACGAGGAAUAGAGCAUUAGUUUUACUUUCAAUAUUUUCCUUUCUAAAAUAAAAAUCAAUUUUGUAAGAAAAAUAAAGUCGUUAAUAUAAUGUUUCAUUUUUAAAAAAAAUCUAGAAUAAAAAAACAAAUAAAUUAUGUUAAAAUAUAUAACUAGAAGCUACUAAAAUAUUAAUACACAUAUAUAUAUAUAUAUAUAACAGUGGUGGGUUCUUUUCAUACAUACAAUAAUAUCAUAAGUUUAUUCGAUUUUGUCAAUUUGUUAUUUUUAUUAUAUUUGAAAAUAUUUAAACAAUUUUAUCAUUUAAAAUAUUUGAUUAAUUAAAAAAACUAUCUUACUUUUUUAAAAAAAUUAUAAUAAAAGGAUAACAAAAUCACAAUAAAAUUUAUAGGUAGCUAAAAGGUUUAAAAGUUUAAAUUUUGAAAAUAAAAACUAAAACAAAAAACUACUUUUUUUUUUCUCCAAAUGAAAAGUAGCUUUGGAUUUGAAAUGACUAUUUAUGAGUCGAAGAUUAUAAGUAGCUUCGGAUUUGAAAUGACUAUUUAAAACACAAUCAUUAUUCUAAGGAAGAAGAAGAACAAUUAUACUUUAGCACAAUUCAAGAUUUAAUUCAAGAUUUAGGUUCAAUUUGCUAUAAUAAAUCGUAAAAAAAUGUAAAAUUACAAAAAAAAAAGGUUACAAAAUAGUUUUAGUAAACAAACUAUUAAUUUUUUGUAGGUUUUAAAUAUGUUUUUUAGAUUUCUGAAAACAUUUGAGGAAAGAGAAUAGAUAAAAAAAAUGGUUAAUUUAACAUUGAAUGAUUCAUAAUUUAAACAAAUGAUCGAGGAAGAUUUGUGUUCAAACAUUUAUUAAAAGAUUUGCAGUUUGUGUGUUAUAAUUUUAUAUUUAUAGGAACGAAAGUGAAGGUAUAUACAACAUAACAAAAGCUCGAUUGUAAAUUGACUCAAUAGAUAAAACAUCAAUUAUUAUAAAUAGUUGCAAAUAUAACAAUUAAGUUUAAAAUAUUAAUAUGCAAUAAUAACAUUUUUAAAAAAUUACAAAUAUAAUAAAAUCGAUAAAAGUUUAUCGCUAAUAGAUUAUAAGAGUCUAUCAACAAUAGAAGUCAAUUAUUGAUAAAUUUUAGUCGUGUAUUUGUAUACCAUUAUUAUUUGGAAAAGGGUUGAUUCAUAGUUAGCUUAAGGAAUAGAAGAAAUGACAUCAUCCAUCACAUGGGGAAUUUUUAUUUAAUUCAUCUUCAUCACAUUCCUCCAUUCAAGAAAUUCGAUGAAGUACACAAAAUCUUGAUUCAUGGAUUGAGGUUUCCUAAACCAAUCCAAAUUCUCUCUUAUUUUACUUUCAAUUUUUUUAAAAUAUCAAAACUAAUAUAUAUAUAUAUAUAUAUAUACACACUUUCUUAUUUAAAAGUUUACUGUCUAAAUUAUUUGUUACAAUUAAUUGGUGUUUAAAAACAACUAAUUAUAAGAAUUAAGAAGAAGUGGAGUCAAGUGAAGAAUUAAAAUGUUAUUGAUGAUAUAUGGUUUUAAAAUUAAAAUGAAGAAGAAAGAGAGAGGUUAGGAAUAAUGGGAGGGUCCAUAUUAUUAGAGUAAGAAAGAUGGAGGGAAGGAAAGGCAUCCAUUAUUGAUGAAAGAAAAGGGAGAGAGAAUGAUGGGUUUUUUGGUUGGGAAGAAAAGGAAAGGACAAAACAAAGGCAUCCAUAUAAUGUUGUUUAAAAGUUAAGAGUUUGAAGGGAUUCUGGGAAACAUAGUUUUCCAUUUAAAUUACUAUUGGAUUAUUGUAUGAUUCUUAUAUAUAUGUCUGUGUAUGUCCUAUCACACACUUAUUUUUUCAUAUACCAAUUUUGGGGGCCCUCUAAUUCUUCAUCAUUUCCCCCCACAAAUUUUGUAUUAUAUAUGUAUGAAUUACGAAACCAAAAAAAAAAAAUGUUGGGUAACUUUUUUGUUUUUUGUUUUUUGAAAUUAAAUUUUGAAAAACAAGCUGUUUAAUUUGGUAAAUUAGAAAGGAAAAUUGAAAGCGAAAAAAGAAAUUAAAAUGAUAAAACUUUCUAUUAUCAUUAUAUUAUAUCUUUUCGUACCGUCUCAAGUACCAACUAUAGAUUUUUUUAAAAUUAUUUUUCUUCAAAAGUAAGAUUCUAAAAUGUUUCUUAAAAAAUCAAAUUCUCAUUUAAAUAGUUAUUUAUUUAUUUAUUAUAAACUUUUUUUACUUCAUUUAUAUUUUGUUAUCUACUUUUUGACAUACCAAAAUGGUUUAAGAGAUACACUGUUUCUAAUUUUUUUCCAAAAGUAAAAUGUGUUUGAAUUUUGUGCAAGGAAUUUUCACACAUUUAUCAAAUUACAUGAGUAAAAGAACAUUCUUUUAUAAUUCUUUUUUUUUUUUUUUGCAUAAAUGAUAAUACCUAAUUUAUUUCGAGGUUGAUGGAAUUUGUAAACAAAGUAAAUUUUGCAAUAAUGUGCACUUAUAUAUUUUUGGAGCAAUUAGCAAUUGAAAUUAAGAUAUAUUUAGUUUAAUUUAUAUAUAUAAAAUAACCAUCUUACAAAUUAAUAAAAUAAAAAGGUAAAGUUAUCAUAACUUUUUAAGGAAAAAAGAAAUUAUAUGAUUAUCUAAUGACGUGCUGUUUAAAGAAAUACUUUUCAAAGUUUCCAUGUGAAAGCAUUAGACUUGUGCUUUUAUGAUUUAAUAAUGUUGUUACAAUUAAAAUAAUAAAAACAACUUAGGGAAAAGUUUCUCCAUAUUAAUAUGAUGUUUAUUUAUAUAUUUAAAAAACAUUGUAUUUUUGGAAUUUACCUGAUUUUAUUCAUGUUGUCAUUAAAAAAUUUGAUACUCCUUGAUUUCAUGGUGUCAGCUACAACUUGAGAUUACAACCAAUAAAAUACAUAUAUAUGUAUGUAUGUAUUAAGUAUAUUUUAUAUACUUAGUGGAUUGAUUUUUGGAAGUUAGGUUAAAGUUAUAUAUUUAGAUGGUUUUCUUUGGGCUAAGUUUGUUUAGCAUUUAUCUGUUUUUUUUUUUUUACGAUACUUAAGGUAUAAUAUGUUGAUUAAGUAGGUAAUUACAAUUUUUUUUUCUUAAGAGAGAUAAUAAUUACUUGCAUUUAGUGAUCAAUUAUAGCUAUGGACAUAAAUUUACUGUAUGGUUGUCAUGCAUAAAAAUGUAACUAUAUUUCAAAGUUAUAUGUCUAGAGUGGAGUGUUAUUGAGUUGUAUUAAUAAAAGAGAAUAAUUAAUUUAAUUAAUUAAUUACUAAUGUUGUAUUAUUGGAGCUUAUAAUAAGAAUGUGUUUAAGAUCUUUUUGUUUACCUAAAAGAACGUUAAGGGUUCUUUUUUUAGUAAAAGAUAUGAAGUUGUAAAUGUUCAACUAAGAUCAUUUUUUCUAUCAUUGACAAAUAGUUAAGAAACCCGAAACUUUGACACGUAUUAAUUGUGUUAAAAAGUUAAUAAUCAAAUCUUACAACGAGAAAUUAAAAUAUGAAACAUUUUUUUAGUGGAAUUUGUAUGUUCUAUACAAAAGAGACGUAACGUGGUUUAAGAAAACUUGUAUGUAUAAAACGUUUGAUACAAUUCUUUAUAUAUCUAUUUUAUUCCGUCACUUUUCUAGAUUAGUUCAUAGGAAAAUAUUUUGAAAAGUAUAUAAAAAACUUAUGAGGAAAGGUAUGAAAAAUUAGAGCACAAUAUCCGUGUGUUAUAUUCCUUUUGUUGCAAUUCUUUUUCGAACUUUCAUUCAAUAUGCAUGAGUACCAAUAAUCAGUGUUUGUUAGGGUUAAUUCAAUUAUAAUUUAUAUACAUUUUUGCUUGUGUGUUAUAUAUUGAAAUAAAUUACAAAAAUGGUUGUUGAUAUUUUUCAUUUCUCGUUGUUUGUUGCUUGUUUUAUUUGUUGAUUUUUUUCUCUAGCUUCUUUUUUUGAUUAAUUAAUGUAAUUUGAUACUCGAUAAUUCCUACUUAAUACAUUUAAACGAAGGACAACUUGAAGAAAAAUAUCAAAACAAUAACAAGUACUAAAAGUGUGUGAGUUAAAUAUCAACACAUGUGUACACAGUAAACAAGACGAUUGUUUUCGCAAUAGGUUAUACUACAUACAUUUCAAACGUGUGGCUACCAUUCCAUAUUACUCUCUAAAAAGAAAAUUAAAAUGAAAAGAAUGUCAUGUGCAAUUCUUGAACACAACUUCUACCAAAUUUAAAUAUGUUGUCGUUACUAUGAUUUCUCCACGUUUGAUAAAGAAAUAAACCCUACAAGCAUUUUUUAAUAACUCAAAAAAUUCAAAACGAAAGGUUGAGAUUAAAUCAACGAUUAAAAUAGUAGUAAUUGUUUCACUUAUAGAUAUUUUCAAGAUGGGAUAAGAUAUAUAUGUGGUUUAUAUUGUGAUCGUCCUCCUCUAUUCCAUUAACUCCUCUCUUGAAAUUAUUUGUUUUUACAGAUAUAUUUUAAAUCUCAAUUAAAUAAAAUAAAAUUGUUUUACUUUAAUUUUUUUUUGUAUUUAAACGAGGGAAGUUAUGAUACUAUUAGAUUAAAAUUAUAAUAUGGAAUGGAGUAAAGAUUAUAGAUUCACGUUAGAAGGGUAAAGAUUAUAUAUAUAUAUAAAGUGUGUUUGAUAUGUUGUGGAGACAUAAGUUUUGAAUAGACGUAAGUGAUGGUCUAUUAAUGGGGAAGGAAAAUUAGAAAAAGGAAUAAUGUAGGAAGGCAUUGACUACAAAUAAAUAAAAAGCAUCAUAAACACUUUUCACAUAUUUCAUUUCAUAAUGCCAUCAAAUCAAACCGCAAAAUACGGAAACAAAUCAAAAGAUUUUAACCAUUCUCAAAUCAAACUAUCAAAAUAAAUUCCAAUAUAUAUAUAUUAUUAAUAAAGUUUAACACUCCAUAUUUCUAUUUAAAUGUUUAUAUCACUAAAACAAAAUUCUUUUUUUUAUUAUUAUUAUAUGGGAGGAGGGCCAAAAUUAGAGGAGAGAGAAAAAUGUCAUUCAUUGAAAAUAAAAAUAUAAAAAAUGACAAACAAAAUCAUUAAAAAGACUUUUUUUUUUCUCUUUAUUUAUCAAUUAUUCUAUUUUUGACAAUUUUGUUUUUGAAGAUGAAGACUUCUAAAUUAGAAAAUGUAUGAUAAUUUCUUUUAAUUAUUUGCUGGGCGGUUUUAUUAUAUCACAAAAUGUAUUACAUUGAUCAUAAAGGAGAAACAAAAUAUCAUUAAUAUAAAUAAUAAUUAUUUUAAGAGAAAUUGUUAUCUCUAAUUGAAUUUUUGUUAUAUUAUGCAAAUAGUUUCAAUAUUUUGCUAUUUUUGAAAAUGUUUGGAUACAUGUGAAAUUAAAAAUUAAAAAAUUUGUUUGUAUAGCUUACCUAUAACAUCAAUUUUAUUAAUGUAUGUAAUAUAUCUUGAAAGAAGAAACAUUGUAAUAAAUACAUUGAUUUAAAAUUAAGUAGAACGAACUUGUUGACUUGUGAAAAUAAAAUUAAAAGAAAAAAAUUACUUUACAUGACUUGACCUCACCUCAAAACAUAAUUUUGUUAAAAGGACAGACGGCUGGAAAAAGUAAUUAGAUCAAAUUAAAUUAAACUCACAAAUUAUAUAUCUUCUUGAAAUUCAUGCAUUGUCUUCUUUUUUUCCUUCCUCUUUUACAUUUGUUGGCAACUUUGGAAACAAUUAAUAUAAAUCAACUUUUUAAAAAAAUCAUAUAUAUAUAUAUUAAAUAGUUAACACUUAAUUAAGAAUAUAUGAAUUAGAUGAAAGUAAUUUUUCGGAGUUAGCACUUUCAUAAUUUAACAUUCUUGUUUCAAACUCUCACAAUCCUAUAAUCAAUGGAGGUUGUAGUAGAUAGUUUACAAAAAUAUGAAAAGCAAUAACUAUAAUUAUAUAGUGGUAGCAAAUGUAUAAAGGAAUGCAUUAUUAAUGUAUCCUAUGGAUGGAGUUUUUUUUUUUUUUUUUAAUUACCAUUUAUUGUGAGAGGAAGAUCAAACAAUCAUUCUUUAAAUAGUAAUUAAUAUUGUUAUCUACUAAAGUACAUACAAUUAUUUGUUUAAUUGAUAGUUUGCAUACUUAAUGAAAUUAAAAGAAUAUGAUAUGGAUACUUUAUUCACAUGCGCCUAAGAUACGUUAUAGUGUUAUUUCAUCUUUUCUACUUUAUGUUAAAUAUGAUUAAAUAGUUAAUUGAAAGAAAUUGAUGAUUUGAAAAUGAUCCAACAAUAAUGGAGUGUUAAGUUUGUUAAGAGAAAUAAAAUAUUGUGUGUAUUGAUUUUAUGAGUAUAUUAUUAGAUAGUUUUAUUUAUUUGGUUAUAAUGUGGGUAACAGUUAAAUGUCACAAUUUUCAAAUCUUUCAUCUUUAAUGGGUGAAUCUUUGUGUGGGGCUGACUUAUAUGUGAAUAAGAUGACUUUAAACUCGAAAAGGAAGUUAAUUUAUAAAUUUUGAUUUGAAACCCAAGUCACUGUCAAAAUGAUUUCUCUCUAUUUUUCUUUUCUCCUCUUUGUUAUGAUUUGGUGAUUAAUAAGCUUUUGUUUUUUCCCCUAUAAAUGUAUAUGAUUAUGAAAACUAUGUAUUGUUUAAGCUUAAUUUAUUAAGAUCUUAUUCACUUUCAACCAGAUAUCACUUAACUAAAUAUAUAAACGAGAGAUUGACAUGGACAAAAUAUAUAUAUAUAUAAUUUACAAAAUAAGUAUAUUUAAAAUAGUUUCAUCAUUUUGCUAUUUUUUUAAAAAUGUCCGCAUAUAAAUAUUGUUAACAAGAAAAAUAUAAGAUAUUCUAAAAUUUUAGUGGACAAUUUUACGAGAAAUAAAAAAAAAAGAAAGAAAAAACCAAUCUAGAAAUAUACUUUUUGUUUUUGUUAGUAAGGUUUGAUUAGAAGUAAGAAACACGUACAAUUUGAUUUUAUAAAUCUAGCAUAAUACGAUUCAUAGUUUUUAUAUUCAAUUGUUUUUAAAAGGUUGGUAGCUAAAAAUAAUCGUUAGUCACAAAAUUUCGAACCAAAGUCAAUUAUAUUAUUUAUAAUGAUUAAUAAAUAUGUAAAUGAAUUAGUAAUGGUUAAGUUUGUAGAUACUUUAGUACUUAAUUAAUAAACGGGUAAUAUCCUUCUAAAACUAAUCUUCAGUUUUAGUUAUUAGUGCUAAUUAGUGUCUGUUUUAAUUAAUUGUAUAACGUUUUACUAUUCUCUCGUUAUAGUUAAAAUAAAAUUUAAAAUGUCACGUCACAAUAGUUUAAAUUGAUUAGUAAAAAUUUGAGGUUAGGAAUAUAAAUAUUGAAAUUAAAAUAACACUUAAAUUUCAAAUAUAAAACUGUAAUAUUUUGAAAGAUGUACAUGUAGUUUUAUUAAAUAAAAGAAAAUAUAGAAACAUCAAUAUAUAAUGCUCUUUAAAACUAAUUUUGUCUACACUGGACAUAUUUUUCAAGGAGGAAAAAGAGAGAAUGAAAAUGUGAAUUGGUAUUUGCUAAAAGAAUGCUAAUUUUUAAAAAUUGAUUGGUUUGAAUAAACUUCAGGCAUUUUGUGUGGUCUCCAAAUUAUUCCUAACGAUGAUCAUACCUCUUUGGUUUAAGUUUGGAAUACCAAUUCUAACCACUACUAUUGAUUGUUGGUUUUUUAUUCUUUCUAAUUUUAAUUUUAGUCCAUUUUUUAGGUAUAAAAUUAAAAAUAGGUAAUAAGAGUUAUUUAAUUAAUUAAAAUAUAAAAGAUCAAAAUUAAGGAGAAAUAAAAUCUAAUUACAGUAUUAAUCAAUCUGAAAAAAAAAAAAAACUCAUUAUUUGAAAGUAAAGAUACGAAUAGAAAGAAAAUACCAAAAUAACUAAUUGCAUGUUCCUACCAACUUUUUAUUUGUAAGAUGUGCAAAUAACUUCAAAAUAACAAGAGGAGUAUUUUGAAAUAUUAAAUACUAGGUCACUUUAUAAACAAUCAAAAUGAGUAUAAUUCUGAUAAUUGAGGUGCAUUGUCAAUUAUUUUUAUUCGUGCAAUAACAUCAUAUUUAGCCUAUUUUUCCAUACGUUUUUAUAAUUUUAAGAACUAAAUUUACUAUUUGACAAUAUAAGUAUGUAAAGUAGAUUUGUUAAAAAGUGUAAAAAAAAAAAAUCCUAUAACUACAUAAAAGUUUACUGUGCAAAUUGUAAUUAAAAAAGAAACAUUUGGAUGAAAACAAAUUUGAUAGAAAGUUAAAGAAAGAAAUCUUGGAAACAAAUCCCAAUUCUUGUGUCCAUUAUAUACAAAUAAUAAUAAUUGAACGAAGCAUGUCCCACUUCCCGAUCACUUGGGAAGAUAUUGGGGACGAUUCGUCUUAUAUAUAAAUAAUAAAAUACUAUUCUCCCCAUUUUUUUUUUAUUGUUUUUAAAUCUCUCAAUCGCUUGCUUCCAAUUCAAUAUAUAUUCGUAUUUAUUCAUGUAUGUAUUUAGAGAAAAUAAUUUAUUUUACUUUUGUAGAUGGAAGAAUCAAAUAUUUGAUCUUAAACUCAAUAAUAUAAGAUCCAUCAUAUAUCUUUCAAAUGGCUUUCUAAAAUAUCAAUGUUAUUCUUUUAAAAAUAUGAUCUCAUAGCAAAUGAAAGAAAAAAAAAGUUUUUAAGGAUUGAUAAGAUCCUAUUUUAAAUUAGUUGUGUCAAGUUGUAAGGGGUUUCUUAAUAAAAAUGUGUAAUAAGUUUCUAAACAGUAGUUUAAAAUUUGAACAAUAAAUCUAAAAUAUUCCAAAAAAAGCAACUUUUUUCUUCAUAAUUUUGAAGUUUUAAAAGUAUAUUUUAUCCAUCUCCUUCCACUUAUUUGCUAAUCUUCUUUAAUUAUUAUUUUCAAUUUAAAGUGUAAUAUCAACCUUUCAAAUAGUAAUUAAAAAACAUUAAAGUUAAAAAAAUAGUAAAAAAUACAAAAAAAACUAUUUACACUCGUGAAUCAAGAUUACAUAUUUAAAUUUAAUAUACGAUUAACAAAAAUUGUUGGAUAUUGAUACACAAUUCUUUAGAUGUGGGUACAAUAUCAUGUACCAAAUCUAUAAGAUCGCGUAUCUAAUAUAAAAAGAAGAUUGAAUACCAAAUAUAAAUACACGAUCUUGAAAAAAUGGUUAAAUAUUGAUAUUUGAUCAUUUAGAUUUGGAUAUCAUUUCAUACCUAAUUGCUAUUAUAAGAAGAAUGACACAUCGUGACUAAUUAAUUGCAUGUUGAUUGAGGCAUUAUUGAUAUUUUUCAUUGAAGACAUAUGGUGACAAUGUAUACCGUGUACAAAUUUUGGUUUUUUAAAUAGUUUAUUUUUCCUAUUUUUAAAAAACCAAAAAUUAAAAAAGUUUAAUAUUAUUUUAGUUAUUGUUUUCUAAUUCAAAACCUUAAUUUUAAUUCCUAUACUAUCAAAAAUUUGGUUGGUUUUAGUUUUUAUAAUUUACUUUUAAAAAACAAUCAAUUUGGUUGGAUCAAAAUAGUUAACUUAAAAAAAAAAAAAAAGUUCAAAUAACAAAAUGAAACAGGGUUUAAAAUUUAAGAAAAUAUGUGAACCACCAAAGUAAUCCAAAGUUAAGAACAUAAAAGAGAAAAAUAAAUAUUUGAAAAGUAACGUGACGAAAGAGACUAAAAUCAAAUAGUAUUUUUAUUUCCUAAAAAAAAUAAAAUAGUAUUUAAAAUUUUGAAUAAAAUAAAUACAUAUGAAGUUAGAAAAAAAAAUUCGGAAGAUUUGCAACAAAAUCCGGUCGGAUCUUGCUUCGUGUGAUGUUAAUCGUGGUGGGUCUUUUUUUUUUUUUUUUUCCUUUUCUUUUAUAUAAUUUUUUUCCCUUCCUCUUAAAACCAACGCAAACCCACCAAAUUUUCCCCCUCUCUCUCUCUUUCUUUCCUGUGAUUCUGAAUUUGAAGCAAAAUGGUUAUGGCUGCCGAUUCCCAAUUCCAUGUUCUUGCCGUUGAUGAUAGCCUCAUAGAUAGAAAGCUCAUCGAAAGGCUUCUCAAAACCUCCUCAUAUCAAGGUAUUUUUAAUUUUAUUUUUUAAACUUUUAUGCAUAUAUUCUAAAUUUAAAUUCCCAAUUUCUUUUCAUUUUUUUUUUUUCUGAUUUGGAUUUGUUUUUCUGUAGUUACUACGGUUGAUUCUGGUAGCAAGGCCUUGGAAUUUCUUGGUUUGAUUCAAGAACAUCAACCUACAAACUUCAAAUCGUCUUCUAAUUCUUCUUUUUCCUCCCCUAAUAAUCAUCAUCAGGUUAUUCAAUUUCAGAUUUGGAUUCAUUUUUUUCUCAUUCCAAUCUAUUCCCUUCCCCUGUUUCUGAAAUUUUGUGUUUGUUCAGGAAGUGGAAGUGAAUCUUAUCAUCACUGAUUACUGUAUGCCUGGAAUGACUGGCUUCGAUUUACUCAAGAAAGUUAAGGUAAAAAAGCAAAAAGAGAGAAAUUCUAUAGUGUUUCUUAGUUCUACUUUUUUUUUAAAAUUUUCUGUAGAAUGCGUUUGUCUUGUUUCGGACACCACUUGUUUGAUGAAAAAUCUCAUAGAAUAUUUUUCUCACCUAACUUUUCUAUUCUAAUCAAUUAGAUCUGAAAAUUCUGUUUUCCUCUGUAACUAAUUAGGAAUUUACCUAACUUUCCUGGAAAAUCUAUUUUUAUCGAGAAACAAACAGAGAAAUAAGUAAAGAAUUUGUGUGAAAUUGCAGGAAUCAACAUCGCUAAGAAACAUACCAGUGGUGAUAAUGUCAUCGGAAAACGUACCUUCAAGAAUCAACAGGUAACGAUUUGCAAUUUUGAUUUGGCCUCGAUCUGUGAUAUCGCACGAUCGGAAACUGAUGGAGUCGGAUUGGAUUAAUUUGAAAGCAGAUGUUUAGAAGAAGGCGCGGAGGAGUUUUUUCUGAAGCCAGUUCGAUUGUGCGAUGUGAAUAAACUGAAACCGCAUAUGAUGAAGACGAAAGUGAAGGAAGAUCAAAAUCGAGAAGAAGGAGAAGAAGAAUCAAGAACAGAGACCGAAUUGAAGUUGGUACAAGAAGAAGAAGGGGAAAUUGAGUUUGAGAUGAUGAGUAAGAAGAGAAAGGGAGGUACGGAAGAAGAAGAAGAAGAAGGUUUGGAGGAGGAGAUGAGAAGAAGAAGAAGAAGAUACAACAACAAUGGCGUCGCAACGGCGAUUUGAUUAAACGAUACGGCAACGGAGGCGGGGCAUUAGAGAAAUUGUAUAUAAGAGAGAGAGGUUAUUGAAAAGAAAUUUAGAAGAAGAUGGUGAUUCGUUUCUUACAAUGGAAGAUUUGUUAUACAUCAAAUUCAAUUUUGUUUUUCCAUUUCUAAACUCAAUAACAAACUCUCCUCCUCCAAUUACCAUUUUAAUUUUUUAAAAACUAUCUUACAAACUAAAAUGUACAUUUGGACACACAAACUCUAUACUCUAUGAACUAAAAGUCUAUUUUAUCAUAAGUUUUCCAAACUCAUCUUUACUUUUAUUUUUUAAAAUAAUUUAGUCUUAGAACAUUCAAAAUUACAUUAAAUAUUUCAACCUUUUAACUUUGUAUCCAAUAGGUAAUUGGUAAAGUUGGAAUCUUGAUUUAUAUAGUUGGAAAAUGGAAAAAAUAAAUAUAUAUUAAUUUGGGGUAAUUUUAUUAAAAAUUAUAAUUUAAACCAAAUUGAAUUAAUGAUAUAUAUAAUCUUAAAAGUAAUCAUUAGUCCUAAGUCUCGACUAGUUUUUUUUUUUAAUUAUUAUGGUGCAUGUAUGUAUGUAUAAACAUAUUUGUUUAGAAAAAGGUUUAAUUAUGCACAUCCAAAAUAAAAAUUAAGAUAAGUUUGAACUUAUGGUCCUACAAUUUUAACUUAGUUUUUGUUUGUUUCGUAUGUUUUGAAAACUAACACUAUUAAAUUUUAAAUUCGAAUUUGAUUUGUUUUGUCUCGAAAAUGGUUUGUUUAGUUCUUAAAUCAUUAUUAAUGGGUCACUACGUUUAAAUUUUGGGUUUUAUUAGAUUAUCAAUAUCUUAUUUUAACGAGUUUAAUUUUAUAUUUUAGAUUAAAACACCAAAUUGUUUUAGUUGUAGUUCAUCAAUUUUAAAUUUGUUAAAUUUUGUUUAUAUAUCUUCAAAACUGUGUCAUUGGGCUUUUUAAUUUGGGUCUUAAUUGUUGUGUUGUUUCUUCUGCCAUAAAUUUGCUUUGCUUUGUAUAUUCGUACCUUUUUUUAAAAAAAAUAUCAAUUUUGCCAUUCACUUUCCUUCCUCCCAUGCUAGUGGUGAUGACUUCUAUCAAUGAUAUCAUGUCUAAUAUAUCAAUAUGUUUUUAAUAAAUUUAUCGUUAAUAACUUGAACUUUAAAUUUCUAAAUGAUAUAAAUGCUGAUAGGAUAACCUAAAAUCAAUAAAUAAUUUCAACAAAAGUUGCAACUAUAUCAAUUCUAUCAAUACUAUUAGUGAUAGAAGCUAUCAUAGGGACAAUAUGUUGUUGGUGAUUCAAACCUAUUAUUGAUCUAUUUUCUUUGUCCAUUUAUGCUAAAAACAAAACACCACGACAUCAAUUCAUAGUAGUAUUAACUUGAUAUCAUUGAUAUAUAGUAGCCUAUUAAGGAUGUUACUUAUAGAUGUUAUCAGCGAUAUCCUUAUGUUGCUAUCACUGAUAGAUAUUCUUAAUGAUAGCAAUAGAAAAAUAUUAUUGAUAGUAGCUAUCAAAAGUAUCAAUUGAUACCCCAAUUAAACCUCAUCAAUUAAAAAAUGAUAUGUUCACCAAGGAUAUAUCACUUAUAAAAAAAUAUAGUUAUAAUGACAUCGCUUAUAAUUGCUAUUAGCAAUAUCCUUCUAAUGCAAUCAUUGAUAGAUAAUGUUAGUGAUAUCAUUUUAUGUUGAUAGCAAUAUAAAAAAUUACUUACAGAAGGUAUCAGAUCAGAACUGUCAAUUGAUAGCAACAUUACUAAUAAGAGAUAUCAUUCGCAGUAACUAAUAUCACUUUUUUUUUUCAAAUUGAAAGUUAUCGCUGAUAGUAAUUAUAUAAGUGACAGUAGCUAACUAUAACAAUUGAUACCAUAUUUCUCAAAUUGAAAAUUACUUUAUCCUUUAAUGGUUAUCAUUGAUAAAAGUUAUAUAUCGUUGAUACACUUUAUCAAUCGAUUAACAUAUUUAUCAAAUUAAAAGCUAUCAAUGACAACAAUGUAUAACAACUAUCAAUGAUAGCUUUCGAUUUAAGAAAAUUGGGAAACAAUACUCGCAAUAGUGACAAGUUAUCACUGAUAGUAGUUAUUAGUCAUUAGUGAUAGUUGUUAUUAUUGAUAAAUGCUAUCGGUGAUAGUUUUUAAUUUUAGAAUUUCGACAGAGAACGUCCAAAAUGGUGGUUGGACAUGGAGAUUUUUAUAUUUUACUAGUUUUUGUGCUAUAUAUGCAAUUAUUUUAUCCUUGUGCUAUAUAUUAUUUUAGGCUUGUUUGCCAUUUAUACAAUUAACUCAUGCAUGUGCAAUUUAACAAAUAAAAAGUAAGGAACAAAAUUGAUAGCAUGUGAGUGCGAGCAAUAUAUUAAGUAUGAGAAAAUGAACCAAAAUGUUUAUAAAUAUGUGAAGACGUUAAUUAUAACAUACAAACUAAGUAAGUACAAGGGACUUUUUUUUGUAAAUGGGUAAGGUAGAAUGUGUGUUUUGGAUGAUAGUGAAAGAGAGGUGUUGCAUGAGGGAGAGAGAAUAAAAUGUACAAUGAAUUAGAGAGAAAAACUGACUUUGGCUUUGUAUGCAAUAUGCAUGAGGGAAAUUUGGUUUUUUCUUGGAUGCAUUAUUUAACUUUUAAGAGGACAAAAUUCAAGUACUAUGCAUGAAGGAGAGAGAUUAGAGAAGGUCACCAUUAUAUGUUCCCAUUACUUGCAUGGUGUGAGGGAGAGGUUUUUUUCUUUUUUCUUUACACUUUUUACCUUUUCUUUUUUAAAAAAAUGAAAAUUAAUGAAAAUAAUACUUUGUACAAAAAGAAGAAAAGGAAUAAAAUGUAAAUUUGGUUGAUUUUGAAGUUUGAAAUCUGAGUUUCUGCCUUUAAUUUGUUGUUGGGAACAAAACUUAUAGAAAGAAAAUUAACAAUAACAUUCUUUCCUCUUCCUUUUCUCUUCUCUAUCUUCUCCUCUCCAUCUAUCCAUUUAAUUUCUCAUCCUAUCAUAUCAUUGUUGUCUCUAUGGCUUUCUUUAAAAAUAUAAAGCAACAGGUAAAUCUAUGUUUUGUGUUGAUCCCAAACAAAUUGAUUUCGAAGAUACCUUUAAUUAAUAAGUUUGGUGGUCUGUUUAUAUAGGUUAGCCGAUGUGUAAUUAACGUUUGGGCUCAUAAUUGUCUCUCUUAAAUUUCUUGAAUUAUCGAUUCGUUACUUAUUGUACAACUACACUACCACCAUUCGAGGUUGUAACUGAUGGUUAAGUGCAUUAUCUCUUCAACAUCUCAACAAUUUCUUUAUAGAUCGUCUUUUGAUAAUUUGAAAUUUAAUCACUUUGAAGUCUUUCAAGGGAACUCUUUGAAAUCAUCACUCUUAUGUUCUCCAAUAGACUUUCUAAUAAAUCUAAAAUACUUUUAGGGUCCUUCAUUGGUGUUCUAAGUUAUAUGUGAGCUAUCUAUAAGUCUAUUUUGUGCUAUCGCUAGGCUUCUUCAUGGAUCAUCUUAGCCACCCUUCCGUGGGUAUUGCCAAGGGCCCUAAACCAUUGAUUCCUCCAGGCUCCAACUCGCACAUAAGUGGGCCUGUUUUCCCUUUUUCCACGUGGCAAAGUUUUUUCUCAUUCUCCAAUUUGGAACAUUUAAUAAAUACAACUAGUAAUUAAUAAAUAAUAAAAAGAAAAGUAUUUUACGGCAUAAUCGUAUGGAAAGGAAAGGAGCAGCCGAUCAAAACACCCAAAAAAGCAAAAACACAAAACCGCUAUUCAUUGAUCAACCCAACAAAAUAUUACAUAUAAAUUAUAAACAAAAAAAAAAGCCACAAACUCCAAAUCAAAAUUCCCUUCUUCAAUUUUCCCUCAAUUUCUUCCUCUUAAUCAAAACCUUCCCUCCAAUUCCUUCUCUCCUUCUUCAAUCCGAUUCAGGUAUGAUCCACCCCGCUCUCCUACUCCAUCUCUCUAAUUCCCUCGAUUCCUUUUUUUUUUUUCUGAUUUUUCAUUCUCCCUUCUCCUUCUUCCGAUUUUGUCUCCGUUUCUGCCUUUUUCCGCUACUUCUCUCUUCAUUCCUACUGUUUCUUUUUUCCUCUCACUUUGAAGCUGGUUUAGGGUUUUUUUUUUUUUUUUUGGUUCUCCCCCCCUGUUUUUAGUUUUAUGGUUCUUGGCGGUCAUUGCGGUGGAAUCAUUGACAUACUAUGUGAUCUCUUUGCUAAUGACUUUCGUCAUAAGUUAUUCUGUUGACUAUCGGGGUUUUUCGUUGUUUGUUAAUCGUUAUUCUUGUUUUGUUUUUAAGAUUUUUUAUUGUUUGGGUGGUUUAUUUUUGUUGGGAUCAUUUUUGGGAAGGGGAUUUUUAGACUGCUGGAAGAAUGUUCGUGCAUGCAGAAUCGAUUAACUGUAAAGCUUGUGCAUCACUGUUGUAAGUUGAGGGUUAAUGUGAAGAAAAAAGAUUUGGAUAUUGUAUGUGUCCAAAUCAUUGUUUGAUCGGGUCAGGUGGUCAACAAAAAUGACAGGGUUUGGUUAAAUUUGGUGUCGUGAGAGCCUUGUGGUUUAGGUUUGAGGUCGUUUCUGAAUGGUGGUUGUUGUUGUUGUUUUUUUUUUUAAUUUUUUUUUAAUUUUUUUUUUUAUUUGGUAUUGUUUUUGUUACCAAACUCAAUGAUUUCUCAUUAUUGGUUUGCAUUGUUGGAGUGGAUUGUGUACUUUAAGGCAGUUUGACAUUAUUGUAACCUAUUCUUGUGAAUCUCUUCAUCAAGUUAUAAGCAGACCAGAGUAGUUGCUGUUUCUUGACAUAGGUUCUAUAUAUUUUUUUUAAAUUCUAAAAUAUUAUUGUUUCAAUAGUGUUCAUAUUACAUCUAGUUGGUUUAAUGCAAGCCUUUAUAUCAUUCCUCUGUUACGGAAAAAAGUUGUCUUCAAUAAUGCUUUUUAUGGAUGCAUUAAUUAUAGGAUUUGACUUGAGUGUAAUAAUAGGAUUUUCAGAGAGGUUGAGAGGUCGUUUGAUGAGGUUUAAUGCAUCUUUUAGGGCUUUGGUUAUUAGGCUUUCUAGUAAUUAUGAUUUGUGUGAUUUUAUUGGAUCUGAGUUCGUUUCUGUAGAUAGUUCUUGAACUUCUUUUGUCAGGCUUUCUGUAUGUCCUUGUUAUUCUAAUGAACGUCCAGUUUCUAACCAAAAGAAGGAGUAAAUUAAGAAAAGAAAAAGAAAGACGAUGCCCCUAUGCAGACUGUGGAAAUUAGAGAAAAUGAAAAUGAAAAGUUAAGGAGCAAUGCAAGAAAUUUCUGGAACAUGUAAAGUAUAUCUUGAUUCCUUAUAGUAUGCCACACAGGACAAGUGUUUUAGUUUCUUCCAGAAGAUAUCUUUUUCUGAUUAUUUAAUUUUUAACUUAAAAUUUAUUCCCUCAGUCCUUUUUUUCUACAGGAUUUCUGUUGAGUGAAGAAUAUGUCAAAUUGCAUGACAUGAUAGAUUUGUUCUUUCAUUUAACAACUACUUAUUUUAGACUUGACAGUUGGCAUGAACCUUGGUUAUAUUUUGCUUCUGCAGCUCAAAGCUCUUUGCAUCUGAAAGUUAUAUGGUUUCGUCAUUCAACUUAUAUUUGGUGCACUGAACUGCUUUCCUUAGUCCCAAACUAUCCAUCUCCGGUAAUUUGCAUUCAGAUCCUGCAGUGGAGGAACAGUGCUGGAUAGAGUCUUUAAGAAUGUCAAGUGGACCGAUGAGAAGAGUCUCACGCCAAGAUAUUCAGUUGGUAAGCUGAAGUGUUCUUGGUCCAGUCCAGCCCUUAUCAUCACUCUAUCUCUCUCUCCCCUAUUUGUAGGCGUCAAAAUUGUUGACAAACUAAGCUUCACCAAAUAAAUAUAAAUGGGGCGCUAUAUGUCAAUGUUUAACAAAAACAGGAAAGCAAAAGAUAGUUUUGAUUUCUCCAUUUCUUUUAGACUCUUUUUACAGAUAAAAGAAAUUAUAUUCCGCUGCAGUUAUGUUUUGAAUCGUUAUGACACUUUUUUGUUCAACCAUUCAACUUUUCUUUUAUGAGAUAACGGCGUGCUACAUUAUUUCCAAUCUUUCUGAUGCUAGGUGCAAAAUCUUAUUGAACGAUGCCUUCAGCUAUACAUGAACCAAAAGGAAGUUGUGGAGACACUGCUGAAUCAAGCUAAAAUUGAGCCUGGUUUUACAGAACUUGGUAACAACGACUUCAUAUUUCUUGCUUCCCUUUUUCACCCUUGCUUAUGCAGUUAAUAGCGAUUGAAAUCGUGAGAGAUGUUAUGAGAGGAUUAUUAUAUCAGAACUAAUAGGCACAGUAUUGCUUUCCUGGUUUUUUUUCUCAUAGAAAUUUGAUCCUAAUGCUCAUGCCAGGCUCACAAAUUUCUUAGUUCGAUGUUAUAUUUGCUUUGUCACUGAACUUUCAGACAGUUGAUAAUUCUGGAUUGGUCAUAUUCUACAGUAGAUAUUCCUGUUGUCUUACAGCAAUUUAAUGAAUUUCCUGCACUCUAGUUUGGCAAAAACUUGAAGAAGAGAAUCGUGAAUUCUUCAGGGAGUAUUAUCUGAGAUUAAUGGUGAAGCGUCAGAUAGUUGAAUUCAACAGGUUGCUUGAGCAACAAGUUCGGAUGAUGCAAAUACAGGAAACUGGAGCUACUCCAUUACCCACUUCCAAUGGAUCGCUAGUCCAACAAAGUGAGUGUGCUUUGCUAUUAUCUUACUUUCUUUGCCCUUUUUUCCCUUUUAUUCUUUUGUUUUACUGUAGGAGUUUGCCUUUUUCCAUUUUUCUUCUUUUAUUACACUUCUUAUGGUUUUCACCUGGAAAUGUCUCGUGUAUAUAAUUUAUUCUAAGUUUUAUUAUAUUAGGCGUAACCUUGCUUCACUUGACCAAUAGUUUUUGACAUUCAAUCUUUGAACAGUGCACCAGAAUCCAACAUAUUCGGUAUCUUCACUGAAGCAGAAUAAUGUGCAGCAUCCUUUUGGUAACAGCAUGCCUAACAAUGCAUAUCUCAACGGUGCUAUGUCAUUGCAUUCGAGAAUGCAUCCCACAGUUGACAUGUCUGCACAUCCAAGUAGGAUCGAAGCACCACCGUCUAUACUACCAACCCAAAGCUCGAACAUAGGGUUGAAUGGUAGGACAAUAAAAUCUGAAGCUGGAUAUUCAGGAAAUUCCUCUUAUAUGUUUGGUGGUGUUGAUAGCAAUGUAGUGGAACCACGCCAAACAAUAGGCGAUGUAUCGGUGGCACCUUUCUCUGGCAUGGAGUCCAAUGCUCAAGCCAUGAAUGAACCACUCCUGGAACCAGAUACUUCCUCUUUUGGAUUUCUUGGUCAGAUCCCUCGGAAUUUCAGCCUAUCAGAUCUAACAGCCGACUUUUCGCAGAGUUCAGGUCUGUGGUGUUUUCUUGCUGUUUUAUAUGGAAGCUGGAAAUUUUAUGUUCAGCUUAUAAACAUUAGAGAGUGUAUAACUUGUUUGAUGAUGUAUUCAGCUUAGAACUUCAACUGUUUGUAAUUAUAUAUUUUAAACACUGCUUGAUACCAUCAGAUAUACUGGAAAGCUAUGCCAGAUCUCCUUUUCUAGCUACAGAAACCGACAACUUCAUGGAUAUUCGUCAUAGAGAACACCAAGGUGCGAAUCGUUUUUACAUACCAAAUCUUACAGUUCGAUUGCUAGAAAGAUUUACUGACUUCAUCCAUCUUCUUUUACAUACUUAGAAGACAAUAAAAGGUCAUUGGAUACCAUAUCAGAAGGCUUGAGUUAUGAGGACUUUGGAAGUGACUCAUGAAAUCAUAUUCUCUGUUUGAUUAGAUUAAGGUACUCUUUUUUAAACUCUAUUUGAUCAUGCUUAUUCCAUCAGUCAUUUCCAAAUUUUCUGUUUUAGUUCACAACUCAUGAAAUUUAAUGAACAAAACAGUAGUAGGAUUUUAACCUCUUUUCUUAGUUUUAUUUACACAUCUGCUGAUGCUUAAUUUGUGUUCAUUUUAUGCAGGUCUUUAUUUUAUUUUGGAGGAAAGGGGGGUUUGACUAAUAAUGUUUGGGAAGUUUCAAACUGAAAAUGCAUCAGAUUUGGGGUUUUCUUAUAAAAAAAAAAGCAAAUGGAAGAAAAGCACAAGCUUCUGAUUAUACUGACAUAAAAAUGUGUAGUGGUAAAAGCUUUGAGUCGACUUCAGAAAUGUAUGUAAAGUCAUGAUUUUCUUUUUAUCAAGUUUGGUUUUGGCCUCCAUUAAUGAUCUUUUGGUAGGAUUUGUUAGCUGUCUUGGUUCGUUUUUUUUUUUCUUAAAUCUUUGGUCAAAAUUAAGUGUAACAAUAUUUAGAUGACGUUUUCGUUUGUUUUGUUUAGCUUAUGAUUUGAAUUAAUCAAAUAGUUUGGUGCCUUUUGAUCUCAAAUUUCAACUAUUUUAAUAUACAGAUUCCUUUUGCUUUGAUUUGCUUUUGUAGUUUCCAAGGGUACGUUUCUGUCAUAUAAAGAUUUCUAUUUCAUAUUCGUGUUAUCACGUAACUUAAAAUUAAAUCAGACGUGCAAAACUUACAAUUUAGAUGAUAUCAAUAACACUAAAAGAGAACAAUCUUAACGCCUCUACUCUUUCAAAUUCUAUAGGAAAAUAUAGGAAAAAAGUUUAAAAUCUAUCAAUAUCUAUACUUAAAAGUUUCUCAAAUUUUCCUAUCAAAUUAGCAAUUGUGUUGAAAAUUAAUGAAGUUCAUAACUAUUUCACAUAUAAAUUUAUUACAAGUAUUCAAUAUAAUUACUAUGCUAAAAUGUUAUAGAACUUCCAUUAACUUCUAAUAUUUCUAACAUGGUAAGAGCUAAGUUGACAAUGUUGAUUUUUUUUCUUUUGGUUUCAUAAGUUGGACAGUACGGGUGGGAAUAGCUAGUACUAGUAAUACACAACAGGACGUUUUUGCUUCACUAAACAUUUGAGAAUAUAUAUACAUAUAUAUAUAUAAUAAAAGUAUAACAUCAACCUCACUUCAUAUUUCACAUAAUCCACAAGUUUUGAUUUCAUUCAUUGCUUCUCAAUUCCUUGUAACUGCACAACCUGAAACAUUAUUCAACCAUGCAUAUUACCUUAUUAUAUUACAAAUAAGAUUAGCUUCAAACUUAAAAUACCAACUUAAGAUAAUAUUUAAUAUAUGAUACAACCUUGUAACUGAAGGCAUAAAUGAUAUAUCACUUAAGCUACACUCAAGACUAAGUUGACUAACUAGGCAUAAUUGGACAGAUUAAAGAGGAACCUUACUUAAAUUAAGUCGUGAAAUCGAUGUAAUUUAAGCUAUAUGAUGUUUUAAAAGAAAAUAAAUUCAUUAAAUUUGUUGCAUGGUCAGAAUAUUGUCGUAUAACAGGAAGCGAAUAAUAACCACUAGAGGCAGAAAUCAACUUACAAAAGACAACAUUAAGUUCACGAAGAUAUGCCUCUUCUACGUGAGCUUCUUCUCUUAACUCGCAAAUUGGAGGUCCCUACAAAGUGGCCAGAAAUGUAUCAAUUGAAACUCUUGAUUCUUGAAAUCUUAUAAAAAAAACAAUAAUAAAAUAAUCAAUUUUUUGGGCGCAUGAUACCUUCAUCAUUCUCAACUUGGGAUGAUUGGAUUUCAGUUUUACAAGUUUCCGACUCUGUCAGCUCACUGGAAGCUCCAGUAUCUUCCGACUCAACUAACUUAGGUUCUGAAUUGUCAUUUAUAGACUCACCAUCUUCAGAUGAUUCAGUGUUUUCAUCUGCAAGAAUGAUGUUUAAAUGUCAAAGUUCCUACCAAUGAUGGUAUUAGACUACUUAGAAAUUAGAACAUACAAGAACAAUAGAAAUGAGUUGGUGGCUUAAACCAACCUUCAGUGAUUUCGGACUCUGGAGAAUCUUCAUUUUUCACUGCCACAAAAGUAGUUUCAGUAUUAUCAAUUCUCUGUUGAUGAAUCUUGGCAUUUCUAGCAGUAACUUCCUGCUCCUUCCUUUCCGCAUGAGCCUUGUUAAGUUUUUCUUCGAAUUCUUCGACGCACAACUUGAGUUCUGGUUUAGCAAAUUUCUUACUCUGAAAUAAAAAAUGAAGACAUGAGAACUUUCCAAUUCUAAGGUUAGUGGGGUGUGCGAGUUCUAGCGAAUAAGCUUGUACCUUGUUUAUGAUGCUUUUGAAAUGCUCCAUUACCGAGUCCUCCGAAACAACAUGUUCGUAUGUCUUGAAUGAAUCUAUCAACUUUUUCAUUCCCUUUUCGGUGAAGCCGAGCUGAGUAAGGCAAUAUGAAAUAUAUUCCCACUGUCUAACAUCUGCAAAUGGAUAAUUGUCAUAAGCUUCAAAACACCAUGAUGCGGUUAAUUUGAAAACUGGAUAUUUGAUACACAGCUUAGUGCAUUGAAACCAAUAUAUAUAUAUUUUUUUGGUUCAGCUUAGUGCAUUGCAACCCUUUCCUCACUCUUUAUCUUUCUUUUGCUUGCAAGAUUGCUAUUUUCCAGCAAGCUUUUCAUAUAUCUUGAGUGAUCUCUCUUCAAUUCCUAACUUCUACUCAGAGUGAGCUUGAAAUGACUUAUGAAAGUAUUGACUUUCUAUAUGAAAUAUAUUUUCCAACGAUUGCUCCAUUUACCAAUGGAACAUUUUAAAUAAAUAAUGCAUUAUAAAACUAUAAAGUGAAAUCUUCAACAAUAAUUCUCCUUUGUCAUAAGUGAAUAGUAUGUGACUGACAAAAAACUCAUCCCACUAUUACUAGACUUGAGUGCCUAAACAAAUUAAAAAUUACGUCAACAAUAAUAAAGUAUUGGGUAUUAAUAAUAAAUGCAUAUUAGAAGUCAUACCAAGAGAGCAUGUAGGCAAGUACAAAAAUCAAAACUUUCUAGUUUUAUAGCGGGAAAUUAUAAAUUGGAAAACAUGCAUGCAGAGAGAAGAGUUGAAAAUUAAUACCUGAAACUCCACUAAACCUAUUGCAUAGCUUUUCGACAAGUGACUCCAUUUGUUUAUCCUACAAAAACAUAAUAAGUAGUAAGUUUUAGAAAUAUAUUAGUUAGAUUCCCUCAAUUAAAUUUUCAUACCCUCUUGAUGGAGCCAAUUAAGAAUUGCAUAAUGUUACAAAAUGACUCUCUCUGUAGAUUUUGAUUACAAAGCUUUCCUAAUAUAUCUGGUAGUAGAUUGUAUAUUGGAUUUGCUCCUGUAGAAAAGGGAAUUAGAAUAAGAAAUUCAUAUGAGCAAAAUCCAGUUCAUUUAGUGAAAAAAAUGUGAGCAAUACCUUUCUUAGACAACUCGUGAAAGAACAGUUUGGCCAGAUUUGAUAUUCUCUCAUCCUCAUCUUCUAAACGUAAAGUCAUUUCAUUUAUAUAACCUUUUACCUAAGCAUAAAUAUCAAAUCAGUAUCUUUCGAAUAUGAUAAAAACAAGUUAAGGUAAACUAACAAUAUUGCAUCAAUCAAACCUUCAUCAUAUCGUUUAAAAUGAGAUGAGAUAGCACCAAUACAGCAUUCUUCCUAACAGAAUUCGAAGGAUCCUUUAACCUUACAUACAUAUUCUCAGUCCAUGGCUCCAAGAGAUUAGGGAAACGAACAGCCAAAUCUCCUAAAGCAAUAGUACAAUUGGAACGAACAAUAUCUGAUGGUGCAGUUUCUACAACGGUGAAAAGAAGUUGGAGAUUUGCUUGGCUGAAAGUUCAUUUACUUGAGAGUUAGGAAAGCUUUACAUUGAUUAUUACACAUAUAUAGAGAGAGUGGGGUCUCACCAAAAAUCUGCAUCAAUGAUCAUUAAACGACAUAGAGCAAGCAUUGCAGAUGCUUGUAGAUCUGGAAACUGCAGAUGGAAAUAAUAGACAAUAUGAACAAUUCAAAAUUAAAUUUUCAUCUUACCGUAAAUAAUAGAAACUAAAAAGAACAUUGGUUUUAAAGUCUGAAAAUAUGUAUACAGUGCACGAAACUACUAUGCCCACUAACAUGUCACAAAGAACUUUCCACACAAAACAAAUGAACCAAAAUCUCUGUGGUUUUGCAAUUGCCAAAAGAAUAAACUUAAUGUAAGAGUUCACAAGUAAAAACACCACAACCAAAGAGAAACAGAUGAAGAUUCCAACAAUAUGGUUGAUCCUGGACCGUGUCUCAGUCCAGUGUGGCUGAAAACACCAGCUAAGCUAGCAACAAAAAAAUCAAUAAUAAACUCUUCAUCAAAAGUAUAGCUGUAUAGAUAUAAAACAGAUCACAAACAUUCACCUUAUGCAACAAGCUAAAAUUUCUGCAAAGCUUGGAAAGAAACGGUGCACAGUGUCCUAUUAAGUUCUUCCCUCUUGAAUUACCAAAAACAAUUUCUUUUUCUGCCUUCUCUGAAAGAGAAUCAACAAUUGCAUCUUCAGAAGCAGCAAGGCCUAGCUCAGCAUUGAUGCCAUCUUCCUGCAAGAAUUUAAAUGUCAAAUUUUAUAUUACAAAAAAAAUGUAACAAAACAAUAGAUAGACAACUGUAUCCUGGUCCCAUAACUGAUUCUUAUACAAAAGGAGAACUCACCUUCUCGCCAUUAGCUACUGUUCCACCAUUACCGUGUCCAGUCUGACCAUCAACAACCGUUUUUUCCUUCGCUUUUUGUUUCUGGAUUUUUCGGGUGCACAAUUCGAUAUAUACUAAUUGGUUCAUGGCUACAUGACUCGCGAUAAAUAAAUAUCUACUAAGUUUAUCUAUGUGGACAGUAGUUAAUAUGUCCCCAUUUCCACUUUCAAUGUCAGCUUGCAGUUCAUCAUCCUUGUUACCAUUAAAAACAGAAGUAAGAGAAUUUUUAACCAAAUUUGCUGCUAAGAUUUCAGGGGAUGGAUGAAUUGAAUAUACAGCUGCUAUGGCUUUAUCAGCAGCAGCAUACCAUAUCUUCUCUGGAAGCCAAGAACUAGUAAUCAAGCUUUCCAGCUUAUCGAACACCCGGCUACCAUUACCAGCCAACAACCUUUUCUUGUCAUUUUCAGACAGUCUCUGGAGGGCAAUGCACGCUGUUCUGGCAAGUAAAGGGUCCACCUUAGACCAUCGACCAAACCCAAUGUCGAUAAUGUCCUGUAUAUGAGAGCCAAGAAUACCAGCAGAUGAUUUUGAUGCCAUGCAAAGAACAGACAAUGCUCCCCGGCUUUGCUCUGCUGUUGUUCCACCAACAUUAAAGCAAAAAAAAUCCCAUAAAGCUGAUAUCUGGAGAAAAGGGGGGACAAAAACAAAAUACACUUAUUAAAAUUCUUCUACAUUCCAUUGUAGAAACAGGCACACCAUCAAUAAUGGUGGGGAGAUCAAUGCGCCGUUAACGAGUAUGGCUCGGUAAAAUCGCAACAGUUAACAAUUAACACACAAGCUGUUCAGAUGCCAUCAUACAAGAACCGAAUUUAUAACUUGUACCUCAAUACAGGAAUGCCGAUCUAAUUAGUAAUAUCUGAUAACUCCAAGUAAUUGAAGACACAUUUAUCCAUAUUUUUUAAAUUGAUGUGGUAGUACAUGACCCACAUGCCAGUCUAAAGUUAUACGUCUGUUUCCACGUCCCUUCAGUCAAUACAAUGAAUAUCAUAGAAAUGAAUUCAUUCGCUAGUAAUUUUACUUCUAGAAUCCGAGCCCGUACCCAACUCAUUCAGAUGCCACUCAGGCCGUAGAAAAUAAUACGAAAUGAAUUUUUGUCGACUAAGUUCCUUAAACCUUACAACCUCUUUGCUAUUUUUUUAAACAUUAUGUCCUAAAAUUAACUGGCCUAUUACUCUCGAUGAGGACCUAUGAAAGUCCUUUUCGUCCCUAAACGACUAGAGAACUAUUCGCUUUAAAUUUUUCACUGUCAUAAGACACAAUUGUCAGGCUAAACUUUCCAGAAGUUGUUAACUUGCUAAGAAACGAUAUGAAACAGAGAUAUAAAGCGAGGCAUACCGUGCUACUAGAUAUAUCACCUUUCGACACCAAGGCAUCAAUCAUAAACUCCAGAGCGGCAAGAUCUCCAAUGUUUGAAUCAAUGGCAAGAUGUAGAAGAUUUUUGGCAGUUUCAAUUUGGUUUUUUGUUAUAUAUAUUGUUAUGAAGGCAUUCUCAACAGCUUCAUAUAUAGAUUUAUCUUGAGAAAAUGCCUACAAAAUAAAGAGAGAUAAAAAAAACAAAAAUUUAAUCUACAAAAUGGAAAAACAAAAAUUGACAACUUUAAGCCCUGAAAAAAGUUAAAGCAUACCAAUGGCAACAUUUUACGGAGGCAAGCCUCUGAGCCAUCUAUUUGGAAUUGUCUGCACCUCAUCAACAAAAGAAUUGUAUUCUCAACGUCAGUGGCAGAAGAAGAAGCCAUUAACUGAACUAGUAUUGGCAUUGCUUCUGAUAUACAUGUUGAAAACCUCAAACCAGCCUCCAGAGAUGCAACUAAAGCCCUGAUCUGCUCCGUGUUUCCAACAUCCAAAGUCAAAUUGUCCUUCUGAACAACCUCCUCUUCCAUUUGAGGAGGAUAACUAUCAGUUAAACUAUCCUGCCGGUUCCCUCCCUCACCUUUUAUAUGGCCGUUAUCAACCUCACCAUCACCAUUAAAGAUAUCGCCAUCAAAUGGCGAGCCACCAUCCACAUUUUCGGAGGACUUAUUAGGUUCAAGCUCGUCUAAUUUUUUCUUAUACUGCUCUAGAGUUGCUUCAAAUGAAACUACUCGCAGCUGUGGGCCAAAUGGAUUGUGCUGCAACAUACUGAUGAGCAAUUGCAAUGCAGAUUUUCGGACAAUUGCACUCUUAUCCUCCAGCCUUCCAGCUGCAACUGCUGCCACUUCAUUCCACAAACCGAUAGAAACAGAAUGUUCUUCACAUAGUUCAGCCCAAACCUGAAGAACUCGACUCCUAGUGUAAGCUGAAACAUCCCGGCAACGUUCAAGCAAGAUUUCUAGCAUUGCCUGCUUGCUCCGAAGACGAACUGAUUUACAACUCUGUUCACCUUCAAUGUCGCAAAAUGCUUUAACAGUCAGCUUACCAAGAACCCCCACCAGAGCAUUUCUUAUUUUAUAGGAUUCACCACCAAAAUGUGGAAUUAGAAGUCCAAUGUUGGUCGAGAACAACUUUGGGAGCCUGUCAGCAAGCUCUACUAGGAAUCGCCCUAUGUUUUCAGCCCCAGCUGUAUCUUUAACAUAUUCUUUCGGGUUAGUCCUUCCAACAUCUCUAAUAAGAGAGAUUGCAAGGAUUCCAUCGGAAUAUUUCUUCUCUGCCCCGGCAACAGCAUCAGCCAUAUGGGUCACAACGUAAUCAUACUUAUGAAUAAGGUGCAUAAUUGAGGCACAUGAUUGGGUAGUAAAGUGAUAUUUUGUUGAACAAGCACCAAUUAUACGACACAGAGCAUCCUUUGUGUCAACGUCCUUCAAAAGGACUGAAUUCUCGAACAUUGAGAACACGUUUCUAUAGAAAACCCAAGUUAAAAAUGUUCAAAUUACAAGUAAAUAAACAUGGGAGUUGUUUUCACCAAGCUAAGGAGUAGAACGUACUUUGUAACAAAAGACAGAUAAUUCUCAUCUGGGUCUGAUGAACCAAAGAGCAACGAGAUAUUGAUCUCCAGUGAAUUAGCAAUCAAGUUUAAUAUACGGCCCCUCUGCAUUUCCCAAUCCCACGAACUUUUGGGCAUUUUCUUCCGAGUACUAGCAGUCACCUACGGUCAAAAUUGAGAAAAAAAGGAUGAAAUUCGAAUAAAGCUAACAUAACCAAAAAAUCUAUCAAACCAUUUCGAAAGCAAAUAAUAACCAGCAAAAAGGAAUUAGAAGAAAACCUUUGAAUUGUUACUACUACUACCAUUGGCUUCCUCACUGUUGACGAUAUUGAGGAGGAAAAACGUAUAGAUUUUAAAAGCAUUACGAUGGGACGCAAUCUGAUCAAGCACCGGAGCGUCGCCAUCAUUGUUUGGGGAAGCACGAGCAAGCGAAUCAAUGUUGGGAAGAAGAACACUGAAAUUGGAGCGAAGACUCUCAACAAUAUUCAACUUACAAGAGGGAGAGAGGUGUUUGUAGUCUCGAAUCAAAGAGUAAACACGGUCGAAAGUAUCCUGCUCUUCAACGCAGAAGAGGUCCUUAUCGGAAAGAUCAAAGGAAAUGCCUAAAGAAAUUCAAGGAAAUGAAGAAUGAAGAUAAGAAAUUAAGGGUGGUGAUAUGGUAUGAUAUGUGUUCCGAAAUGGAAGAACAAAAAGUAGUGAAAAGAGUGGAAGAGGACGAACCUUUGACGAAUUCUUCGAGUUGAGAUGGAGGAAGAGAGGCGAUUUCAGUGGGAUUCUGAACGGAGAGACGGUUGUCUUCGUAGUCUUGUUCGAGAGAACGAAGAGUUUGGGGGAAAACGAAGAGGGGAGCCAUUGGAGAGAGAAGAAGAAGCUCCAGAAGAGCUAAAAGAAGAAUGUUGAGUAUCCAAAUUCAAAUCGUAAGGGCUUUUCAAGGAGCGGGAAGGCAUUUUCCGGUCGGGUCGGGUUGUGAUCGCUUUAUUUCUUACUUUAAUAAAUACAAAUGUUUUUAAAUUCUAAAAUAAUAAGAAUAUAUAUUAAAAUUUAACUUUUUUUUUUUAUGUUUUUUUAUGUCCAAAUAAAUUAAUUAAACAAUAAAAAAAUGUAAUGAUAUGUCAAACUUUUUAUUUUAAAAAAUUGAUAAAUAGUUAUAUAGAUUAAUGGAUAAGAAAUUGAUUCAUUUUAAAAGUGGAUGAUUCCCAAUUUCCAACCAUGAAAAGAAAAUAUACUUUGAUAAUAAGUAAAUAGAAUUGUAAAUGAUAAAAUUUCGAGAAAUAUUUAUAAAAUAUAGUAAAAUUUUAACUUCUAUCCAUUUUUAUCAAUACCACCAACAAAAAUUGAUAGAAGACAUUGAAUUUUAUUACGUUUCAUAAAUAUUUUGAUUCGUUUGAUGUAAGCUAAAAAAAUUUUCCAUUUCAUAAAUAGUUUGAUUCGUUUCGCUAUAUUUGUGAGUUUGAGCUUUUCAAAUGGAAACAGAGUUGAAUUUUAUAUAAUGAGUUUUGAAAAGUGUAACAAAUAAAUAAACUUUCAAUUUUGCUUUUAAUAAACUAUUAAUCUUUUACUGGAAUCAUGACCUACAUUUUUUAAAAUGACACAAAAUUGAAAAUAUUAUUGUUUUGAUAAAUACAAAAUUAACUUUAUAUCUUAUAGAUAUCUAAAAAUACUGAAAACUUUUUUACACACAAAAUUGAAACAUCUCUCUCUAAAUAUAUACAACCUUGGUAUAGGGGUAAGUUUUUUAAUCAAAGAAGGGAUUUUCUACGAGGAUCAACUUUUCCGUGGUAAAAAUAUGUAGUUUACAGAAAUGAAAACAUAACGGAAAAAUUCAAAGGUCCAAUGCAGACCAGAGAGUUAGGAAUUGAUGAAAUUGAAGAAGCCUCCGAUCAGCCAAUGUGAAAAGCGCCAACGUCGCCAGUUCUGGUGGAGCAGGUGACUUCGUGGGCAAAGGCCAAACAAGAAGAAAUACAGCCGCUAAGAGUCCAACUCAUACUUAACAACUUCCAACCAUAGUCAAAAUCCGAAAAACAUGAAGCUGUUUAAAACGGGAGGAGUGACUCUGAUUAGCGAAGCUCAUGCUAGAUGGCAUGCUUCAUUGGCGCGGCAGUGAGUAGCGAGAUUGACUGCUCAAACUUGGACAGAAGGACAACACAACAUGGCUCCGCACUCAACCACAGACCUGAUUUUGUCAACCACAAACGUUCUGAUUCUGUUGACCACAUUGAGCAUAACGAGAUGGAUCCAUGAAGUUCUUCGGUUCUGGAGUUCUGCCGUUUACAGAUUAAAAAUUAGUAUAUGUUUUAGCCAUUUAGAAGGCUUUUAUAUAACUUCUAUUAGCUACAGGUUUAUUAGCCCAAGCUCAACCCACGCCCCGGCUCUAACUUCUCAUUGUUUAUUUCUAAUAGGAAUCUACAUGAUCUCUUCCUGUAAUACAUGUUUGUUUCUUCCGCAUGAGAGCAUAUGAUUUAUGAAUGUAUACUUUAAGGAUAUGAAAAACAAUAGAUAUAUGUUCUAAAAAUCAAAAGCAAAAGUCAUAUGAAUAAUCAACGUACGGGAUAUAUUCCAAUUAUCAAAGCACAAAAGUAUGGCUUUGUUGAAAUAACUUGAAAUAAAAAGUUAGAAAACACAAAAAGAAGAAAAAUGGAUAAAUUCAUCCUUUCUUUUAAAUAACAUAGUUUAUAGACUAAAGAAGACAGACCUGUAACGAAGGACAGAGAUAUAGCUUAGUUGUUGAUGGUGGAAGCAAUCUCAUCCGUACAAGUUGUAUGCUUCCCUAUUUGCCAUUUGCCCGUGAAUAUGGCUGGCAAGAGAGAUGAAGUGGAUAUUAAUAACAGGAAAUUUGAUGUUAUAAGGAAGCAAUAAUACAAAGUUAUAAACAUACCAAAUGACAAAUCAAAUGUGAUUUUAACAUAUUUUUAUGACUCUAAAUCUAAAGAUUAACUGUGAACUGCCUGCUUCCAAAUACUACAUGAUCUUUCACAAACAAAUAAUAGAACAUACAGCAGACUCAAUGAAAAGAGCUUGGACUGGCAAACGAGAUUUUCCAUUUCAGAAGCAAAUUUUAUGUUUGUUUUACACAUUUCUCCACUUUUUUCUCUUGAUUUCUCGGUUUAAAUAUAAGGAUAUAAGGAUAUAAGAAGUAAGAACCCACUACAAAAAAUCUCUAGAACCAUGAAAAUUACAAAUUCAAGGAACUUGUCACUCGAAAAUAUAUUUAACUAACCACUAAGUAACCAAAUAUAAACAAGUAAACGUAGAAUAAAUUAUAAAUAGCCAAGUUUCUAAAUCUAAAAUAUACCUAAAACAUUUCAGAUCUUAAAUAUAUUUAAGACAAUAAAAUAGAAAAUAACACAAAAAACUAUCUUUUACUUCUGUAAUAAUUAUAAAAGAAUACUUGACCUCAAAAUUAGCAGGUCAUGGAGAGAUUCGAUCAACUCCAGAAUAAAAUGAAAUCACUAUGGCCUCAAUUUACUAAGCUCAGACCUCAGAAUUCACAAGUCAAACUAUGAUAUUCAUCAGAAAAGGCAACUAGGAAGCAAAUUGAGUGAAAUUGCUAUUAUUGAAACAAUCAAGUAGGCGUAGUCUAUGAAUAAUGUGUGUUGGAUAAUUCUUGUAUCAUGGACAAACGAAUUGAACCAACCUCUGGGUGUAGCUUAGAAACUUAUAAAAAGAACUCUAUUUGUGAAGGUCUCAGAAACCACAAGCCAUCCAUUUCUGCUAGUUCUCACUGCAAAGCUGAGAAAGGACAAAAAAAGGGCGGGUGUAACAGGUGCAUCCCAGUUUUGAAAGCCAACUGGAAGGCCAAGAAUAUGUACAUUACACUUACGGUGAUGUUAAUAUUCUGUCAAAAACUUGUGAAACACAUAAUCGAAUGGGCACCAUGAUCCAACAGAGUUCCCUUCCUGUAGUGCCACUGUCAACACCUUGUCUCAUCGACACAUAGAAAAUGUUUCAUGAUCAUCCUCAUCAAAAGGAAUUAGUAAGCCGAUCAUAAAGCAAAUAAAUAAUUCUCUCGUAUAUUCUUCCCCAGUUUAAUUGCAACACAUUUAGCAUCACGGAAGAAUAUAAGGCUGGCCAUGCAAAUUUGCUACCAGUUCCAGGCUCAUGCCAUCACUAAAUUGAAAUCUAUUGUUAAGUCUUCAUACAAUGUAUGACCAAUCUUCUUCAUUUUCGUAUGUAGAUCAUGAAGUAAAAGAUAAAUAUUUUCAAAUUCGCGAUGAGAAUUGUCACCCACUACGAACACAUGCACUGUGUUUCCAACUUCUAUCCAACUGCAACCAGGCUGCUUCUUCAAUCCUUUGUCCUUCAUUUUCAUCCUUACUCCGGCAGCUUCUCUCCAUUUUCCAGUUGAAGCAUAUAUGUUAGAUAACACCAAAUAGGUUCCCGCAUUCUCUGGCUCAGUUUCUAAAAGUUUUUCAGCCGUUAACUUACCUAGAUCUAUAUGCCCAUGAACAUUACAUCCGGCAAGAAGAGCUGCCCAAACAGAUGCCGAAGGCUUGACCUCAAGCCCCUUAAUGAAAUCAAAUGCCUCUUGAAGCCGUCCAGCUCGACCAAAAAGAUCAACCAGACAUGUAAAAUGAUCUUCUCUUAGUUUUAUAGACCUAUCUCUUACGAGGUUUUCAAAUAAUUUCAACCCCUCAUCCACAAGACCAGCAUGACUACAAGCAGAAAGCAAUGCAAUAUAGGUGACAUUAUCAGGACGAAAACCCAAUGCCUGCAUUUCAUCAAAUAAACUAAUUGCUUUGUGGCCAUGGCCAUGAUGAGCAUAGGCAGCAAUCAUACCAUUCCAAGAAACCACAUCCCUGUGGCCUAUUGAUCCAUCAUCAAAUAUUUUGCGAGCCAGUUCUAACUCCCCACAUUUUGAAUACAUGUUUAUUAAAGCUGACACCACAUCUGCAACUUCUUGGUAAACCGUCUUGCUUAUUAUCUGGUGAAUUUGCUGUCCCUCACAAAGAGCAGCUAAUUUACUACAAGCACCCAACACACUGACAAAAGUUCCUUCAUUUGGUUUUACGUUGUUUGCUGCUUGCAUUUCUGAAAAGAUCUUCAAUGCUUCUUCACUUCGCCCAUCUUGAACGUGUCCAGAAAUCACUGCCGUCCAAGUGACAACAUUUUUGUUGGACAUUUUAUAGAAAAAAUCCACUGCCCUUUCUAGUUUACCGUUUUGAAUGAACCCAGUAAUCAUAGUGUUCCAUGAAGACAGUUCCCUCUCUGGCAUUUGCUCAAACAGUUUGAAUGCCUCGUCAAGUCGCAUAUUCUGAGCAUACCCAAUAAUCAUUGUAUUCCAGGAAACCACAUUUCGCACGGGCAUUUUAUCAAACAGUAAUCGAGCAUCAUCGAUUCUACCAUUUUUCGACAAACCAGCCACCAUGGUGGUCCAAGAAAUCACAUCUCUCUCUGGCAUCCGAUUAAAAAGCUCCUGGGCUUCAUCUACCCUCCUACGUUGCAUGAACGCUGUAAUAACAGUAUUCCAAGACACCACAUUCCUCUCAGGCAUUUUUUCAAACAAAUCCAAAGCCUGAUCUAUCCAACCUUUUCGUGCAUACCCUUCAAUCAUAGUGUUCCACGAAAUGACAUUCUUAACAGGCAUGGCAUCAAACAAUCUUCUAGCCUCCUCAAUCCUGUUCCAUCUUACAUACCCACUAACCAAUGCUGUCCAAGUAACAACAUUCUUUAUAGCAUCAUUUCUAUCAAAUAACGUCUUGGCUUCCUCAAUCAUUCCACAUUUAAUAUACCCAGUAAUCACAGCAGUCCAUGAGACCACAUCUCGAUCAGGCAUUUCUUCAAACACCUGACGUGCUUCUCCAAUUUUUCCUUCUUUACCAAGCUGUGUGAUCAACCAGUUACUACGAGCAACAUUCGAAUUGGCACUGAAAUCUCUAACUGGUGAUGAGAUUUUGGGAACAACCUGACAGGUAGAGAACUGUGAUGAUAAGAUGGAGUUAUGCAAAUUGCACAAGAGGAACGCAUAUCUACCGAAGCUAGAAAGAAGAGUUGUGGUUUUAUGUUUACCACAAAUUUCUCCAACAGAUAUCUGAUACAGUAAAGACAUUCGUAUCCACUAACUGGGUACCUCCGCCGCGCCGGAGAAAAAGAUCGAAGAAAAAGGGAGCGGCUGUUUUUGUCGUGAUUAUGUGGAAGGGACAAUUUUUUUUCCAUUAAUUUUGGUAAUAUUACAUCUUUCUCAAAAAUAUCAAUUUUGACCUCAACGCCAAUGGUUGAUUUUUCUUAUAUCUUAUGAGUGUUAAAAUUUGCUAUUUAAAAAAAAAAAUCAAAAUCAUUUUACUGCUUACUUUCCCAUGUGAGUCUAAUUUAAUAUUGGCAUUUCUAAGUAACAUUUUUCCAUUUGUUUUUCUUUUCUUUUUUUUAAUUUAAUACAUCUUUUAACAAAUUUAUUAUCAUCCAAAUUUAUUAUUAUGUCAUCAACAAUAGGCCACAUAAACUAUUAUAUAUGUUGUGACUGUUUUGAUUUUGUGUUGAUCGAUUUUAGAAAAUGUCAAAUAGUCACAAAUUAAAAGUUAAUAGACACUCUAGUUUGGGUUAAAAAAUAAAUAAAAAUAUUGUUAAAAACGGUUCCUUCCUUGAAAAACAACCAACAAAAGAAUCAAUAUGAUAUAAAAUAGGAAUUAAAAAACAAAGAUCAAGUAAAAAGUAAAAUUUCAUUAUCACAAAUAAUGAGCAUUGUUUAACUUACAUCGUGUUUACAAAGUUAUGCCAUCAAUCACAAAAUCCAAUGUUCGAUUCACCCACCCCACAUACUAUCAGACAAAAGAAUUCAUAAAUCUCUACUAUCUUAAGCAAGUAUACAAAUAUAAACUUGCAAGGCAGGGAAGUUAUAGCUCAUUAGCUCUAUCGUUGCUCCAUAUCUAGUCUAUUAGAAAAAAGUUGUUCACUAAAAGAUACUGAGUGUCUCAUCAUACAAUUGAACAAGUCUUCAAUCUAUAUUACCUUGAAUUCAAAGUACUUUCAAAGUUUCUCUCACACAUCAACAACUUUAAAUUGUUGGUCACAUUGCGACAGCCUCACAAUCUAAUUUCGUUAGUAGGGGCGCUUGACAUCCAUUCACUAGCUAGAUUAAGGUGAAUAGUCUUCAUAGUUACAGGCAAGUCUUCAACCUCAAGUUAUCUAAGCCCCCAAGCCAAGCCACCAUCUCUGAGAAGUUUCAUAGUUAUAAAAGCCCAAUCUAGAGAAUAAAAAUAAGAAAAUGGCAUUGAAAUUAUAUAACAAGAUAUAAAAGGGAAAAAUUACAAUACAAAGCACUUCUAGAGGGGCCUCUAAAAAAAACUACACUUCAUACGCUAUUUUUAGCAAUAAACUAAUAUGUUCGUCCCAUGGUCAGUCCCAGGUAGUAAUGGAAGCACCGCUGCUCCAUAAGACAGAUGGAAUAUGAGACCACCCAAAAUGGAGGAGAUCCUUAAAAAGGAAAACCAUCAACAUUGUUAGGCAUUUUUAUAUGAAGUUUACGCGGCUCUAACUCGCUCUAUUUACAAUCACCUUUCACUAACCAAUUCCUAAUGAUGACAAACAUGCGCUUCUGAUAUCUUGAAUAUUUCUCAAACAACUUCCCAACUAGUAGUCUUAACAGAUCUAUACAAGCAGAUAAGAGUCAGCCAUCCUUUUCUAGUUUUACAAUGGAAAUUAAUCGUCUAAUCUCCAAUUGGACUUUCAGAAAACUAAAAAGUAUAUUGACUGGCUCCUACUUAGAGAGACCCUAUUGAAGAAUAGAUCCCAAACAAACGUUCUUUCCAGCUAAUUUUCAAUUAUCAUAAGACAGUAUGAAAGAUUAGUAUAUCAGAUACAGUUAAGAUGUCAAUCAAUAUUCAACCCAUAGUUGUAAAAUCUUGACAAGGAGGAUAAUAUUCAAUUGAAAUGAACCAAUAAAAUAAAGGAGAUAACUGAUAAUGGAUUGCAUAGUGAAAGAGUAGAAUAGUACGAAAAUGUAUAACGCCCUAAAGUGCUUCAGAAUAACUGGGGGAUGCUCCCAUCUCAUAGAAGAAAAAAGAAAACAAAAUUAGCACAUGGAGUUCAAUGACCAUUAAGUUGAUAUAGCAGGCAUCUGGACCAAAUUAAGUUCAUGUUUGAAAGUGAUUUUGAAGUGGCUAAAACCAUUUUUGUAGUGUUCAAAAUCACUCCAAAACAUUCAUUUCAUUACUCAAAAUCAAUUCAAUAUUUAACUUUACACGUUUAGAGACAAUUUUCAUAGUAUUCAAAUUGAUUUUGAAGAAAUAAAAGCAUUUUUCGAGUGAUUUUCACUUCUCAACAUGACACAGAUCCAUAUUUUCACCAUUCCAACAACCCUUCUAUUUGAUGGAAAUGACAUAUUUUGGAUGCCCAAUGAUCAAAUGCUAAGCAUUCGUUUGUACAAGAAGCAUAAAAUUGCUGCCACAAAAACUUGGCAUAUUAGCUCUUCAAACUUGAGAAUGUCAGUUGAAUCAAUGAAGAGGAAACCGAGUAAUAGUUCGCAUUUUAGGUAGCUAUAAACAUGAAUAACCACUCAAAUUGCAACCUCUUCAAUUUCUUGAAAAAGCAAAAGACUCGGCAGAUCAAUUGUUGCAAAAUGGCAUUCCAAACCACAGUUCAAAUGAUUGAGAGAGAAAAGAUGACCCGACCGACUCUUGAAACCCUAUCAAUAUCACAAGAACUGGAAAGAGCAUAAUUUGCAGAAAUCCAUGAUUGGAAAAUCUCAAGGUUGCUCUUCCGUGGACAUGAAUUAGGUAAAAAACACAAUUACUAGACAAAAACAAACAUUCAAACUUCAGAAAUGAAAACAAAACGGAAAAAUUCAAGGCCACAAUACAAACCAGAGAGUUAAGAAUUGAUGAAAAUCGAAGAAAACCCGGUCAGCCAAUGUGAAAAGCGCCAAUAUCGCCAGUUCUGAUGGAGCUGGCGACUUCGUCGGCAAAGGCCAAACAAGAAGAAAUACAGCCGCUAAAGGCACCCCAAACCAUAUCGGCGAUCCAGAACGCCAAAUGCAAUGGCAAUGCCAUGGCCUAAACUGUGUGUCGUUGGAGGAAAGAAGGUGGUUGGGAAGUUUCAGAGGAAAUCCAUUGAAGGAAUUGAGAGAUUAGGAUUAGAGGACGCCAUUGGAGAAAAGAAGCAGAAGAGAAUUUGGGUAAAGGUAAAAAGGCUGGAAGCUAAAGAUUGAAGAAAUGUUGACUCAUAGCGCCUAAAUAAAGCCGAUUUUACAACAAUUUCUUUUUCCGGAAAAUUAGUUUUUUAGUCCUUUUAAUGUAUAAAUAAAUAAAUAAGCCUAUAUUAAAGGAGGGCAAAAAAGUCCAACUUUAUAAUUAACAACUUCCAUCCCACUAUAAUCAUAAUCCAAAAAUGAACAUGGAGCUGUUUAAGGCAUUGAGUAGGGAGAUUGCUCAAACAUGCACAACAGUGGAACGAGAUGGCUUCCUAUUCUCGACAUAAAUGUUUUGACUUAACCCCUUCUUAAAUCUUUGUAAGAUCAGUUGAUAUAUCAUUUACGCGAUCAUCUAACUAUCCAUAAUAAGUGAAGUUUUGGAGGGGCUAGUCACUCGAGUAAACUUGAGUUUGCUUUGAUUUUGAAUUGAGCAAGUGUAGAUUUCAAUACUGAAUGCUGACAAUGAAUCAUCUAUUCAAGACCUCUUUUUUUAAGGAUGAGAUUUUAGGUAUAUUCCCGUAGUUGUUGGGUUAUUUAAUCACAAGCGCAACUAUAUGAAACAAAGUCUAUUUGGUCUUUAGGUUUCAAAAUGUUUGAUUUCAAUUUAAUUUCUAAAUUUCAACGUGGUAAACUGAGAGUAAGUUCCUAAAAUGACUUGUAAAACCUAUAUUAUGAACAUCAAAUAAUUCAAUUGUACUAUGUCACCGAUGCAAUUGAAAUAUAAACUAGAAAUCAAGCUCACUUUCUAUUUUGAUAUGUUUUCAAAUAUAUUAGUCUAGGUAAUUGAUUUGUAUGAAAGUCAAUCCAACAUUGAAACCUAAAUAAAUUAAGCCUUGGUAACUCUUUCAAUUUUUUAAAAAUAUGACCCAUGUCUAAGGUCAACUAUUGUAUGUUUGUCUAACCAUAUUUCAGUAUUAAAGUAUAGAACAUGUAAACCAUCUAUUUGGAUACAUAUUAAUUAUUCACACACUUACAUUAAAAAAAAUGCAAGAUGGAUUUUCAAAGAUUUCGACUUUCCAUAAAAAAUCUUACAUGCAAUAAAUAAAGGGAUAAUUAUAGUAGGUAACAAUUUUAAAAAUAAAUAAUUAAAUAUAUAACAAUAUUUUUAAAAAACUGUAAAUAUAACAAAGUUUAUAGACUAAUAUUUUCAAUGAGAUAUAUUAGUGCAUAGUCAUUUAUCAAGUCGAUGGACUUCUAUGAGUUUGACACUUGGUGACAACCACAAUAAUACAAUUCUUAGGCAACUCACAAACUAAGGCGAGAGAGCAAGAGCAAGAGGGAAACGAGGAAAGGAAAAGCAAUCAAUAAAUAAGUUUAGUAAAAACAGUUAAAUUUUAUUCUUCCAGAAAAUUUGAAGUCAUCCCUGCCAAAAAACACAUAAACAAAGUUCAUGAACUGUUUUACAUUUUACAUUUUUGACACAAAUGGGGCAGUCAAAGACAAGGAAAUGAAUAGAACGGAAGAAAGCUAAAGAAACAUGAAAGGAGUGAAAGUGCUCAUUGCUCAAGAAGUGAUCAAGAUCCACACUCAACUCAACUCUCACUUGUCAUUGUUUGUUUCCAAUAGGAAUUUACAUGAUUUCUUUUCCUGUAAUACAUGUUUGUUCCCUCCGCAUGAGAGACGUAUGAAUGAAUACUUCAGCAAUAUAAAAAACAUUGAAACAUGUUCUAAAAAUCAAAAGCAAAAAUCAUAUGAAUGAAGAACGAUAGUGUUUAUUUCAAUCAUCAAAGCACAAAAGUAUAUGCUGUAAACUAUACUUCGAUUGCUUCUUCGGUAUAUGGAUUUGUUUCGUUGAAAUAACUUGAAAUCAAAAGUUAAAAAGCACAAAAGGAAGAAAAAUUGGAUAGAUUGUUCUAGUUUCCAAAGCACAACCAUUAGCUUCUUCAAAUCGAUAUUUUGAUUGCUACCCGCCACGCCUUUUUCUAAAUAACAUAAUUAUAGAUUAAAGAAGACUGACCUGUAAAAGAGGGAAGAAAUCUAUCUUAGUUGUUUGAUGGUGGAAGUAAUCUCAUCCAUACAAGUUGCUUGCUUCCCUAUUUACCAUUUGCCUGUGAAUAUGGCUGACAAUGAGAGAUGGAGUGGAUAUUAAUAACAGGAAAUUUGCUGUUAUAAGGAAGCGACAAUGUUAUAAACAUACCAAAUGAUAAAUCAAAUGUGAUUUUAACAAAUUUCUAUGACUCUAAAGAUUAAUUUUGAACCGUCUGCUUGCAAGUGUUAUAUGAUCUUAUAUAAACAAAGAAUAAAACAUACAGCAGACCCAAUGAAGAGAGCUUGGACUACCAAAACGAAAAUUUCCAUCUCAAAAGAAAAUUUUACGUUUUUUUACACACUUCUCCACUUUUUUCUCUUGAUUUCCUGGUUUAAAUAUAAGGAUGUAAGAAGUAAGAAACCAUUACACAAAAUCUCUAGAACAAAGAAAAUUACAAAUUCAAGGAACUUGUCACUCGAAAAUGUAUUUAACUAACCACUGAGUAACCAAAAAUAAACAAGUAAACGUAGAAUAAAUUAUAAAUAACCUACUUUUCUAAAUCAUAUCUUAAAUAUAUUUAAGACAAUAAAGUACAAUUUUAACAAAAAAAAUUAUCUUUUACUUUUGUAAUAACUAUAAAAGAAUACCUGACCUCAAAAUUAGCAGGCCAAGGAGAGAUUCGAUCAACUUCAGAAUAAAAGAAAAUCACCAUGGUCUCACUAUGGCUCUAAACCCUAGGUUCAGACCUCAAAAUUCACAAGUCAAAUUAUGAUAUUCAUCAGAAAACGCAACUAGGAAGCAUAUUGAGUGAAAAUGCUAUUAUUGAAACAAUCAAGUAAGCGUAGUCUAUGAAUUAUGUGUGUUGGAUAAUUCUUGUAUCAUGGAGAUAGGAAUUGAACCAUCCAUUUCUACUAGUUCUCACUGCGAAGCUGAGAAAGGACAAAAAAAUGGCUGGUUUAUCUUUCUUGCUUUGAUUUAAUUUUCGUAACAGGUGCAUCCAGGUUUUGAAAGCCAACUGGAAGGCCAAGAAUAUGGACAUUACACUGUUACUGUGAUGUUAAUAUUCUGUAAAAAUCUUGUGAAACACAUAACCGAAUGAGCGCCCUGAUCCAACAGAGUUCUGUACCCUACCUGUGGUGUCAAUGUCAACACAUCUCAUCGACACAUGGAAACUGUUACAUGAUCAUCCAAGUAAGAAGGAAUUAGGUAGCCGACCAUAAAGCAAAUAAAUAUUCUCUUAUAUUCUUCCACAAUUUAAUUGCAACGCAUUUAGCAUCAUUGAAGAAGAUAAGGCUGGCCAUGCAAAUUUCCCGACAGUUCCAGGCUCAUGCCAUCAUAAAUUGAAAUCCAUUGUUAAAUCCUCAUGCAAUGUAUGACCAAUCUUCUUCAUUUUCGUAUGUAGAUCGUGAAGUAAAAGGUAAAUAUUUUCAAAUUCGCAAUGAGAAUUGUCAUCCACUACGAAUGCAUGCACUGUAUUUCCAACGUCUAUCCAACUGCAACCAGGCUGCUUCUUCAAUCCUUUGUCCUUGGUUUUCUUUCUUACUCUGGCAGCUUCUCUCCAUUUUCCAGUUGAAGCAUAUGUGUUAGAUAGCAGCAAAAAGGUUCCUGCAUUCUCUGGCUCUGUUUCUAAGAGUUCUUCAGCCGUUUUUAUGCCCAUGAACAUAUCUGGCAAGAAGAGCUGCCCAAACAGGUGCCGAAGGCUUGACCUCAAGCCCCUUGAGGAAAUCAAAUUGCAUCAACGCUGAGCUUCAUCCGAUUAAAAAGCUGAGCUUCAUUCUCUGGCAUCCGAUUAAAAAGCUCCUGAGCUUCGUCUACUCUCCUAUGUUGCAUCAACGCUGUAAUAAUAAUAUUCCAAGACACCACAUUCCUCUCAGGCAUUUUUUCAAACAAUCAUAGUGUUCCACGACACGACAUUCUUAACAGGCAUGGCAUCAAACAAUCUGCUAACCUCCUCAAUCCUGUUCAAUCUUACAUACCCACUAACCCAUGCUGUCCAAGUAACAACAUUCUUUAUAGCAUCAUUUCUAUCAAAUAACGUCUUGGCUUCCUCAAUCAUUCCACUUUCAAUAUACCCAGAAAUCACAGCAGUUCAUGAGACCACAUCUCGAUCAGGCAUUUCCUCAAAAACCUUACGUGCUUCUCCAAUUUUUCCUUCUUUACCAAGCUUUUUAAUCAACCAGUUACUACGAGCAAGAUUUGAAAUGGUACUGAAAUCUCUAACUGGUGAUGGGAUUUUGGAAACAACCCGAUAGGUGGAAAACUGUGAUGAUGAGAUGGAGUUAUGCAAAUUGCACAACACCAACGCAUAUCUACCAAAACUAGAAAGAAGGGUUGUAAUUGUAUGUUUAGUAUAAAUUUCUCUAACUGAUAUCUGAUAUAGUAAAGACAUUUGUAUCCACUUACUGGGUAUCUCCGCCGCCUAGGGCUCGCCGGAGAAGAAGAUUGAAGAAAAAGGGAAGGGCUAUUAGUAUCGUUUCUCAAUUAAUCGCCGGCUGAAUUAAAGAAAAACAAAUAAACUAUUUACAAAAUAGUGAAAUUUUGCUCUAUUUUUUAAAAAAUAGUUUUAAUAUUGGACUAUUUUUUAAGAUAAAAUUUGUCCCGUCGCGGAAAAUUACAAUAAUUUUAUGAGAAAUCAAUUCCUAUCAGUGAUAGAAGAUUAUCAUUUAUAUAAUCUAAAAUUUUGCUAUAGUUUGUAAAUAUUUUAAUUUAUUUUACUAAUUUUAAAAGUGUCUCAUUUUAUUUAAAUGGAAAAUUGUUAAAAAUAUUUAAACAUAACAAAAUUUUAUUAUCUAGCGAUGAUAAACACUAAUAAACAUCUAUUAUUGUCUAUCAAUCUUCAACUAUAGAUUAUACUAGUCUAUUUCAUAUAAACAAUAACAUCUUGUUAUAUUUAUAAAUGUUUUUGUUCAUUUUCUUGAAAAAAAAAAAUAUCGUAAAUGACAAAAGUAUUGAAAAUAUAACAAAAUUUUAGGUUCUAUAAAUUAUAUACAACAAUAAGCUUCUAUCAGUGUCUAUCAAUAUCAUUAAUAGAUAUUGAUAGAGUAAUAGACCCCCAAUAGAUAAAUAAUGAUAUCUAUCGAUGUUUAAUAGUGAUAAAUUUGAAAUUUUGCUAUAUUUUAUAAUUUUUUUAUUUAUUUGGUAAUAUUUAAAAAUAUAUGCGCUUGUUUCUUUCUUCUUUUUUUUUUUCAUAUUUGAGAACACCCACUUUUGUUAUCCCCUUUUGUAAUGGGAUAGUUAUAAAUUUAGCAAUUAUAUUUAAAAUAAUUAGGUAUAUAACAACAUUUUAAAAUAUUUACAAAUAUAGCAAAAUUUGUCAAAUUCUAUCAAUAAUAAAAGUAUAGAUUAUGUUUUAAAUAUUGAUUUGUCAAUAAAAGACCAUAUGAAUCUAUCAGUUAAUUCUAUCAAAAAAAGUUUAAUUUUAUGGCAUUCAAGAAAAGUAAUCUUCUAGCAUCCAAGAAAAGUUUAAUAUUCCAAGUUUUCAUUCUGAAUAAUCUUUCAAGUCUUCAAUCUUUUAGAAGUUGUUGAUCUUUCAAAAGUUGUUGAUAUCGAGGUUGAUACGAAUUUGCACGUAUCAACCUUGCUUGUAGAAGUUUGAAUAUUCGAUACUUCAUAGCUUCAAUUAUUCCUUCAACCAAAGACAUUCUCAAAUGAGUGGCAAAAGUCUCUAUUUAUAGAGAAAUUUCGUGAGCUUUUGGGUGGGCUUUGACCCAUUUGCUUGAUGGGUUUGGGCUUGUGUCCAUUUGCCUAUUGGGCUUAGGCCAUCCGAUUGUUGAGCUUGGACUUGAGCUUGACUCCAUUUAUUUUAUUGGGUUUGGGCUCAUCUGCUUGUUGAGUUUGAAUUUGGUCGGAUUGAGUAAAUUUAAUUAUUCAAACUCAAACAAAAAUAUAAUUAUCGCAAUAUUUGCCAUGAUGUCGCAGAAUUUAUUUGUCUAAAAUUUCUUGCUCAACAGUUGCUAUAUCCUAAAUUAUUAUUUCUAAAAAGACAAUCAAUUAUAUUUAUCAUUUUUAUAUUAAAAAACCUUAAAAGAAGAAUAAUAUUUGUGAAAAAAAAAAAACUAAAGAUCAAUUGCUCAUAAAUCUAAAGCUUGAAAAAAUCUCCAAUAACAAUAAUAAAAAAAAAAAAAAAAAGUAAGCUUAUAAGAUUGAAAGCCCUUAGCAACACAUUUCUUGAGUCCUAAAUGGGACAACAAAGCAAUACAAUUAUACAAACCUUCCAUAAAUACCCAAUUCCCAUUGGAUGGUAAAAUUUGGUAAAGCAUGCAUUUCAAAUAUUUAAUGAGCAAAAUGUCAUCUACAAAUAAAUGGUCUCACCCUUCAUACUCAUUAUAAUCAAAAGACAUUACCACAUGAUCCAAAUUAGUCUGUGGUGGUUGCCCUACCCAUUUAUUCUUAAAGGUCACUUUAUAUUUUAUAUCAAAAUCGAUCGGUGUUUAAAUAAUCGACUACUCAAACAGUCGAGACUACAUUCAACCUAAAUAUAUGUUAUAGAUAGAUUUAAGUAUUUUAAGUUAAUAAAAAAAUUUACUUAAAAUAAAUAAAUACCCCCACAACCCAACUUAUUAUAUUUUGGUCGUUUGGUUGAGAAUAAUCUAUAUACUCAUAUCCUUAUCAAAAUUGUUUAUAAUUAAUAAAUACACUUGUUUUUUGUGUUGAGUAUCAUUAGAUAAGUUAAAUAAUGGAUUUAGUCCCUGGAACUUCUAAAAUUAUAAGUUGAAGUUUCAAUUUUCUAAUUUAAAAAAAAAAACACACACCCACACACAUUGAACACAAAACUUAAAACUUCUAGUUUAUUAAACAUAUAGUAUAAUUACAAGUAAUAAAUUUGAAAUAUUUUUUUUAAAAAAAAGAAUACAUAAAACUAAUUGAAAAUUUUAAGAUUUAUUAGAUAUAUUUUCAAUUUGAUUGAGGAGAUAUAGAUGAAUUCAAUGUUAUAAACAUAUAAUAUGAUUACAUACAAAAUUCAAUUUUCAAGUAGUGUCAACAUAAUAUCAAACUUAUAAUAACAUAUAUUUUGAAUCUAAAUAUUGUUUUAUUUUCUACUUCAUAUUAUCAUCUCUAAUUAAGAUAUCAAUCAAAAGAAAGUUUUUAAAAAACCAUGUUUUUUCUUCUAAGUGGACCAAUUGACAGAGGUGACAUCCUUGAAUUUGAUAUAUAUAUAUAUAUAUAUAUAUUAAUUCAAAUGGAAAUUAUUGAUUGAAGUAGUUGAGAGAAAGUAGAGUUUGUUUAAUCUAAAAAGUUAUUUAAUAGACUCCAUAAGCAAUUAACAAUUCUUGAAAUUUAGUGGUUUUUAGGCCACUAAAGAUUUAAAAAAUCUUUAGACCAAACAAAAAGGAAGAUCUAGUAUCUCAAUAAUAGGUCUAUUAGAUUAAAAUUGACAAUUCAUAAACUUUUUGGAUACAAAAGAGUAGUUUUAAAGUCGUUAUUAAAUCAUUCUUAAGAUCUUUUUUUACACUUUUUACAUAAUUUUAAAUGUUUCGAACUAAAUAAAUGCAAACAUCGAGGUUCAAAAUAAUCAACUAGCAAUUUAGUGCCAAAACUUUUUAUAGUUCAAAUAGCAUACAAAAACAGUAACGAUCCGUUUAAAUCCUCCAACCAAUAAUACCCUAGAUAGUAAACCAUAUACUUUCAAAUGUUUAAAGAAUUUAGAGAGGCUAAAAGGUUUCAAAAAGAAGAAAAUUAAUAGCAAAACCCACUCAGUUCAUAUUAUUUUCAAUCUCAUUUUCGUUUUGUCAUCAAUUAUUAGUACUUUCUAACACACUUUUUUAAAAAAAUUAAUCUCGAUUACGUUUUAGUUCUCCAAACAACUUUCAACUCAUGUUAAUGUUUGAAUAAAUGGUUAUUAUCUGUGAAUAGAUGCAUCAUGAGUGAAUUCAUUAUUUCAUAAAAAGUAUUAAUAACUAAAUUAUAGAAAGAACAUGACUUUUCGUAGACUUAUUCGGUUAAGAGAAUAUAUAUCAAUCAUCUUUUGCCUUCUAAAAGGAUUUUCUCACCAUUUUCACAAUCUUGACGUUCGAUAGCUGAUCCACAAGACUUUGUUUAUUAAUUUUCUAUACGAGGUGUUACCCUUAAAAGAAUGAUGAUCUGUUUUAUCAUAGGAGACAAUUACUCUCGAUACUCAAACGCUACGAUGAAUAAAUUUGUCUUAAAAAGAUGAUGUGAAUUUGUUUGACUCAAAUCUAGUGAUGAUAAUUUUCAUAACAAUUUGAUAAUCUUUAUAACAGAUAAAUCAUUUAAAAUGUAAAGACGAAAGUGGUAUUUGUACGAACACUCUAUUGUAAUGUUUAUUCUUUUUUUGUUGUUAUUAUUAUUGUGAAAAUGACAAAAGUUACAUAAAAUGGCAGAUUCUUAGUAAGAAUUGGAUAGUGAAAGGCAUUAAUUUUGAAAAUGACAUGUGAAUUAUACAUUAAUAGUUUGGGCCAAGAGCGGGUGGUGAGACAGCGAUGAAUUUAAAUACCUUCAACUAUAUAUAGGAAUAUAAUUCAUUUUGGUGAAGACUUUGUAAUAGUUCAACUUUCUCACAUCUCACCUCACAUUUUCAUCCAUCCUCCAUACUACAAAAACAUUCACUUUCCUAUUCUUUAAAUUCAUGUUACCAAACUCUUUCUCUUUUACAUGAUAUCCUUUUAACAAAUAUUUGGUCUAUUUUCAUUUACAUUUUCAACUUAUCAUUCCAAUACAAAUUUUAUAUAAAACCGUUUUAAUCAAAAUUUAAAAAUUAAUAUAAAGUAAUUCGAAACUUAAAUCUUGCUUGACGUGUAUUUAUAAGUUUCUAUUCAUUUUGAUAGUUGGACUCUUCAAAUAUUUUAUUUCAAUUUUAAGGACGUUGUUUCUUUGUUUUUCCUUUUGAAAACAUGGAUGAGUUUGGUAACCAAUUAUUUUUUUUUAAAUUGAUUUUUGGUGAUUUUUAAUUGUGAGAAUUGGAAAAAUGGUCGGAAAUAGUUUUUCUAUUUUGUUUUGUGGACAAAUUAGAAUUAGAAAAUUGGGGUUUUUUUUAAGAUUAAUAAUAAAAAAUAAAUUUAUUACGUUUAAUUUUAUUUAUAUCGACCGAAAAUAUUUUGCCUACUUUACUAUUUUUGACAAAUCUCUUUAUUUUUAUGUUAACAAAUACACCUUUCAAAAUCUUGUUUUAAUUAUUUUUUAUUUUCAAAAUUAUUUAAUAAUACGAUCGAGUAAUUCAUAAUGCUCACCUAACGUUACCAACCUCUAAGAUUUCUAUGCUCAUUCAUAUUCUUAAAAUAAUAAAAAAAAAAAACAAAUUUUUUAUGACAUAAACAAAAUAAUGCUUAGAGUGAAAAUGAAAAUACCGAUUUGACAAAAAGAAAAGGAAAACUCACAAUAUUUCUCUCUAUAUAUAUAUAGAAACUAUAAAGGUGUUAGAUUCAAAGUUUUAAAUAGUAAGAUAAGAGAUAUAGGUAAGUAUUAGCAUAAUAAUGUUUGAGUUAGUAAAUAAACACUCUAGUUAUUAUCAUAUCAAAUAAAUACAAAGAUUAGAUAGAUUGGUUUGUCUCAAGUGAGUCCAAAAUGAAAUUUGUAGAAAGUCAAAUUUUACCAUUUUAUUUUAUUUGCUUUGUGGGCAUUGAUCAUUAAUAAAAAUAAUCCAUUUGAUGCAUUGGGAUUUGGUAUGUUUUGGAUUUUCAAAAUUAAAUAUCAAAAUAUGUGAAUGUAACUGAAUUUCGUCUAAUAUAUGCCAAAAAUACACGCAGCCAAUUUUUAAUUAUUUGAGAAUGUAGAUUAUUAUUAUUUAUUUAUUCUCUUUAUGGUUGAUUUAAGAAUUUUUAAAAGAAAAUAAUCAAUUUUAUAAAGAAAAGAGUAUAUUACCAAAAUAUUUAUACUUAAAAGAAAAAAUGAUUAGUUUUAUUCUAUAAACCAUAAAUAGUUUGUCAAAAUUUUAUAAUUUUUGAAAAAAUCUCAUUUAGUUAUCAAUUUACACCAUAAAUUAAUAAAUAUAUCAAUUUAAUUUCUUGAUUUUAACACAUGCAUUAUAUUUAUUUAAAUUAUUUAUUAUAUUUUAUUUAGAUAAGUUUAUGAAUUAUAUCAAUUUAAAAUUUAAAAUUAAUAUUUUUUUACUUUUUAAAAAAGAGUGAUUCGUGAAAAUAAAGUUAUUAAAUUUAGAAUCACAAGAAAUGUUUAUUUUGAAUUUGAGCACAACUUUUCAUACUAAAAAACACAAAAAAUGGAAAGUAACUUUUAAAAAAUAAUAAUUUAAAAUAUGUUUUGUAGUGAUGAAAGUAUAAAACCUUUUUAGAUUUUCUCAAUCCAUUUUUGUUGAAAAGGAAAGAAUAUAUAAAAUAUACUUUCGUAAUAUAUCAAUUCUUUCUUAUUUAGUUUAGAAGAAUUGGAGUAUAUGCACGGAUAUUUGGUAACGGUAUAUUAGUCUUUUGCCUUUUUAUUUGUAGAUUUUUAUAAAAUAAAAAAAUCAAUGGUUACUUCUACAAAAUCAUAAGGAUUUUUUUUUUAAUUUUUGCCAUUCAUAAUAAAUAAAAUUUUUACUAUCUUUGUAAUUAUUUUAUUGUAUCACCAAUCAAUGUAAAAAAUUGAGACACGUAGCGAAAUUUAAUUAUUUAUAAGUUAGAAAUAUGAAUACUAAUUGAGAAGAAAAGAAUCAGAUUUAAAAUUAUGCAUAAAAAAAUCUGUGUAAAAGUAAAUUUAAUUACCUAUCAAACCUAGUUUUUAACAAUUAUAUUAUUUAAAUUAAUUUCCCUUAAAUUUAUGGUGAAACUAUAAAACCAAAAGUAUUUAAAAAAAAAAGAUUCUACUGGGUAUUUGAAAAUUUCGGUAAAAAGUUAGAUAAAAAUUGGAUGAAAUUAAUGUUUAUAAGCUUGAUUUUUAUAAAGAAAAAAUCUAAAUCUAAAUAAUUACCAACACAUGCUUUAACAAUUUAAUUAAAAUCAUUUUUUUAAAGAAAAUUUAUUGUAAAUGAUAUAUAUAUGUAUUUUAUAAAUAGUUUUAAUAUUUUGCUAUUUUUAAAAUAUUUAAAAUAUUCAAAAUUUAAAUCUAUAUAAAAGUAAAAAUAAGUAAGUGUAUUUUUUUGAGCGAAUUUUGUAAUUUGCCAAAAUAAACCAAGUAGGAGAAUCAUUUAUCCAAACUCCAAAGUGUAAAGAUGCUAUUUUUGCAAAGACCUUUUCUUGAAAAAACAAAUAAAAAAAAAAAAAAAAAGAAAAACAUUUCCAAGUCCCAACCGCGUCUCUUCUGGUCAUUUUCCGUGACUAAGAGAAGAGAGAGAUUUGAUAUCUUCUUCUUCUCCAUCAUCUUCUUCUUCUUCGCCCAAUUCAGCAUUUCCUCACUGCUCUCAUUUCCCUUUAACCGCCAUUUUUUCUUCUCUACCAGAGCAUGAACUUUGAACGACCAGAACUAUUAGAACAAGAAGAAGAAGAAGAAAAAGAAAAAGAAAAAGACAAAGCUUUUCAGUUUACAGAGUGAUUGAUAACCAACGAAACGAAACGAAACCCAGUUCUUCAAUUCUUUAUCUAUGGGCUGUUCAGCUUCCAGACCCAUCACUUUCCAUUCCACUAACCCAGAAUCUUCUUCUUCUUCCUCUCCUCCCGUUCCCAGAGCUUUCUCUCUUCCCACCCCUCUCAUUCACCAUCCCCCCAUCUCAGACGGCGACACCCACCAUCUUGUUACUCUAACUUCAACCACUUACGGUUCUCUCCUUCUUAUCGACCGUCCCAAGUCCAAUCCCUUGAGAUUCUACGGCGACCAAAACGCUGACCGCUCUCUUUCGCCCCACACGGAUGAUUCCGACCACGCAUUGUCGCCGGAUUCCGUUAUCAAUACAUGGGAACUCAUGGACGGCCUUGAUGACGCCUUUGAUUUGAGUUCCGACGCUGUUCCUACCCCUGAACUCUCGAUUGAGAAAACCCCUUUCAAGCCCGUUGGAUCGGUGAAUUUCUUGGAGAAAUCGGUGGAUUCUGUUGCGCCGUCUUCCUUAGUUAAGCCGCUUUGGCAACAUUUGUCUGAAGAAGCUCUGCUUGCGAAAUUGGACCCUAAUGUUGUAUUCAGUUACCGACGAGCUCUUUCUUCCCGGCAGUUAGGCUCCAAUGGGUACCGAAAAAACGUCAAAUCAGUCGGUUCGAGUCCGGUUUGUUCUUCAUUCUCCAAUAAUUGGCUGCGUCUUCCCGGCGGAGAAGGCAAAGUAGUAAUCUACUUUACGAGCUUGAGAGGAAUUCGAAAAACCUACGAGGAUUGUUGUUCGAUUCGUACAAUCUUCAGAGGUUUUAGAGUUCCAGUGGAUGAACGGGACAUUUCCAUGGAUUCAUCUUACAGAAAAGAGUUGCAGAGUGCAAUCGGAGGGAAGACAGUGAGUUUGCCGCAAGUGUUCAUAAGGGGAAAGUACAUAGGUGGUGCUGAAGAAAUCAAACAGCUAAACGAGUAUGGCGAAUUGGGGAAGCUUUUGGUGGGAUUUCCAGUUUGGGAUGUGAAAAGCGAGUGUGAAAGAUGUGGGGAAGCAAGGUUUCUGCCAUGCCCUAAUUGCUAUGGCAGCCGGAAGGUGUUUAAAGAAGACGAAGGAGAGUUGAGAAGAUGCCCUGAUUGCAAUGAAAAUGGCUUGAUAAAGUGCCCAGAUUGCUGCUUCUGAAUCUGAAUGCAAAUAUUUUAGGUAUUUACUCGAUUACUUAUUCCUACAAUGUUGAAAAUCGUAUUGCUUCUUCAUUGCUUGCUGCUUGCUCUGUAAUUGUAGGAUUUAUUUGUUCAUUUUCCAUGAACAGUGUACAAUCAUUAUCAAGGGAAAAAAACAGAAAAAAAAAAAAAAAAAGAACAAGAAGAUGAUGUUCUCAUAUGUUCUUCAACAUAUAUUGAGUUAUGUAGUAUAGACUUUGACAUCAUUCUGUGUUGGGAUGGUGUCCUAAACAUGUUAUAUGCAUUCUCAAUGUUGUUUGGUUAUUAAAGAUGUUCAUAUCGUAUAGGUUGUACAACUGUGUUCUUGAGUUCUAAAAGAUGUUCAUAUCUUACGAUAUGAUAUAUAGGUUGUACAACCGUGUUCUUGAGUUCUAAAAGAUGUUCAUAUCUUGAAACUGUUUUCUCAAAUAGUAUGAACUACUGAUGUUUGACAUGUUUCUAUGUUUAUCUUGGGUCCCUCGUUAGGUUUCUAUGUUUAUCUUUGAAUGUCGGUGACUAAGACUUCUGUAAUUAUUUGUUAGGCCUUAUUCUUCUUGAUUUGAGUUUUUUCUCUAAUGGGUUCCCUUUAUAGGUUUCAACUUUUUGGAUGCCCUUCUAUUCUUGCAUUCCUUUUCUAAAUGAAAGUUUAACUUUUCAUAAAAGAAAACUGUUGAUUUUGACAUACCCUUUUUUGACUUGCCAUUUUAUUAGCACUUAUAUGAAGAAUAUUCUAAUAUGUCACAUGUUUAAGGACUAGAAAGCAAAAUGGGGGGAAUUUAAAUGAAUAUCUUAGAUAGGUGGCUACCAUAAUUGUUUAAUCCAUGACUUGCUUCUGGUUUAUGAUGACUUAUCUUUUGACAAACUAUUUUCAUAGUUCUCUUAACACUUAAAAAAGGUUAGCUUCUCUCUCUAAGUACAUUUCCAAAGCUUCUCAUCAGGUCUUGUAGUUUGCUUCAUACUUGAAGCGCCUUGUUUUGUAGUUUUUCACAUUUCAAUGUUCUUCUUUUGGCUUUUUAUUCAAAUUUGACAUGUAAUCAUCAUUUGUUGAAAAAGUUGGGUUUCCUUUUGGUCUCCUUUUUAUAUUCAUCUCUUUUGGCUAGGCCUUUCUUCUUCUUCUUCUUUUGUUCUUUUGUUUAUCUUAGUGAAAAGUUGGUUUUUCAUUAGAAUAAAUAAAAAAUGUUGAACAGAGUCAUGUGCUAGACAGUUAAGCAGAUUGUUUCAACACUAAAGAUGACUAAAGCCAAUAAUAAGAAGAAAGCAAGAAGAUAGACAUUCAUUUUAGAAUUGGUUUCUGAAAUAAUAGUCAGUAAUCACAUUGGCAAAGUUGUUUGAGUUCCUAAUGUUUUUGCAUUCUUGGACAUUAAAAGAGCUGGACGUGUGCUAGGAGGUUAUCAAAUUAAUUAAUCUAUGUUGACCGCCUACCAAAAAAUUAAUAUCUUGACACACAAGUAUUGUAGGAUCAAGUAGGUUGUCUUGUUAGAUUAAUCGAUGGGCACGUGAGCUAGUUAAAAAACUCAUGGUUGUCAAAGGAAAAAGGACUUGAAUGCAUAUCCCAGAAAAAUUGCGAAUGUCCUUUAUAGGUUAUGAAACUUAUCCUCAUAGUUUUAUCCAUGACUUCAAGGGUGUUUAAAAAAUUUAGUCUAAGCUUGGGUAGAUUUUUAGGGGCUAUUUUGAGAAUGUUGGAAUGAGGGAGGAAUCAUAACGAAAAUCUGAUCAUGAAGUGUGAAAACGUCAAAGAAAAAUAUUGGCCACUAUGUGAACUUAACGAGUUUGUUUUUUUUUUUUUUUCUUGUGUAGUAUUUGGUUACAUAGUUUGAAGUGUUUUUUAAACUAUAUAGAUAAAACAUUAGUGUGCUCGUCUAAAAGCUACUUGCAUUAUUUCAUGCAUACUUUUAGUUUUUUUUUUUAGUCUUUUUAGCUACCUUUAAACAUUAGUGAACACCUAACAAAAUUAUAGAAAGCACUCACUCACAAAGUCACAGAGUUGUCUUUGGGAGGGUAAGUGAUUCAAAUGAAAGCAUUUGAUUUGAACAUUCCAUAGAUACCACUUUAAUUUUCUUUUGAAAAUGACCUACUUUUAAAAUCGUUAUAAAGGUUUAUGUUUUUACUAAUGGAAAACAACAAAUUCCUAAUGAAAACAUUAUCUACCGAAAUUUGAAAAAUAGUACCACGAGUUGUUCAUUGCAUAAUUGUACGAUAUGCCCAUUGCUCCAUGUCUUAGAGUCCAAUGCAUAUCUUUUCAAUAAGAUCAACCCCACUACUGUUCCCAUUUCUAAAUCCAAAAGUUGAAGUUUAAUUUUAUAUUCUUGAGUUAUAACACUAACAAUGUUUUAUUUCUAUUUUUGAUUUAUUGAUAAAUUUUUAAGACAAGAUUUAUCUCCAAUCGUAAAUGUCGAAGGGUUAAUUUUCCAUCCAACAUAUCUUUUGCUUUUUUUUUUCAUCUAGUGUGGGAGAUUUGGAUCUAUGACUUUGCAGUUAAUUAUACGAACACCAUGCGAGUUGAGCUAGCAUAUUUUAAUAGUAACAAUACCUUCUUCUUUUUUUUUACAGUUUUUUUAAAGAUUGCUUUGGGAUGUUAGUCCAUUAAAAUAAAUAAAUAGAAUCAAAAUAUGCAUUUGAAAUCUUUUUCUUACAUAACAUAAAAUGGCAGGUUGUCAUUAAUUUGAUGCCUUUUAACCAAAUUACACAAAAGGUAUGGAUUUAAACAAGCUCGAGUUUUGGGCUGAUCAGUCAAGGAAAUAAUCUAGUUGUGGUUGAUUUCAAACUUUAUAACCUUGAGCAUCAAUAACUGCCAUGACAUUGUCAAAAUUACACAAUAAGUGCUUGUUAGAAAAAAAAUGCAUUAUAAAUAGUCACACUAUGACCACAUGAGAGGAGAAUAGAAAGUAAUGUCCUAAGAAGAGUUUUAACUUUACGUUCUUUGUGCUUAACUACACUAUACAUUAUGUAUACUAACUUAGGCAUUCAAAAUGUGGUAAGUUUGACUCAACACUUUGUGAGAAACUUUCACACAAGUGAACUCAGAAUAUGAGACUAGACUAGAAGAAUCGAGUUAGCCAAUAAGAUUAGGUGAGGUUCACGUGAGAUAACAUCAAAUGCAUUCGGGCUUCCAUGCAUCAAUAGUUAUCAUAUUUGCUUAAUGAAAAUUUGUCGAGCUUUCAAUGUAAAAAACGAGAUGAACGAAAUGACAUGAAAGGAAAAAGCUAAUUUUUUGAGUUUUUAAAAUUAUUGAAUUGUUAAUACGUGCAUCAAUCAAACUUAGAAUUGUCCAAAUUUAAUGUUAUUAGAAUUUAUAAGGUUACACAAUUUUUUUAUAUAAUUUUUCUUCAAACGGAAACUAAGAAAGUAGUGAAAAUCAAACAGAAAAUAAAAUUUGUAACCACGACAAGUCUAAUUGUAGUCAAAGUACGUCUAACUCAACAGUAAUAGAUAUGCAUUAUCUUACUUUUGAUUCAAUACUGGAUACUCGAUCUCCACAAUUAUUACUAAACUAAAAAAUAUGUCUAGUAAACCCAAACUUUAGGUUGAAAAUGAUAACCAUUGAAGUUAAAAGUUCAAUUCAAUAUAAUUGUUGUCAUAUAAAAUAAAAACAAAUUGCCCAAAUUCUUUUAUUUGGUUUAUGGUAUAUAUGUAUUUUUUUUUUUUUGCUAACAUAACCCCAAAUUUAUAGACACAAAUAGUAAUAAUAAAUUCUUCCAAGAUCGUUUUUAAAAAUAAAAAUUAAAUUUAAGGGCUAAAAGAAAUUAUGCAAAAGUUGAAGGCAUAAUUGAAAAUUUUGAAACGAAUUCCACAGUGAAUUUUACGAACUUUUUCCCAUUUCUAAAGCAACAAAAAAAGGAGGAGAAACUGUAGGCUCUAUUAUCGGAGAGAGGGAGCGAAAAUGGAGGAAGAUGGGUUUGAAGCAGAGCCGAAUCCAGUGGAGUUCGGCACUUGCUUGAGUUCCUACAUCGACGAUGGAACCACUGAGAGCCAUAGAUACUUCCUUUCUCGAAGAACAGUCGUGGAGAUGCUUAAGGACCGAGGUUACACUAUCAACUCCCCCAAUAUCGACUUCUCUCUUCAACAAUUUCGAGAAACUUUUGGCCAAUUCCCCGACGUUGAUCGCCUAAAACUAUCCGCCGCUCAUCACUCCGAUCCCUCCAAAAGAGUAUGUCUCCACCGCUUCUUGCAUUGUUUAUUCCUUCCUGCUUCUUGUUUGUCUUAGUUAGUCAAAUUAGGGUGGGUAAUGCGAGUAAAGAAAGAGUGUCGAUUCAUUCUGUAGAUUUCUUUGGGAUUUAUUGUUGAAAUGAAACGGACUGAAUUGCUUACCUUUCUCUACUAGUUUAUGAUUCAGGGAGGGACGGAUUACUGAGGGAAAUGCUUUACUUAGCCUGGACGAAACGUAGAAAUUAUUUAGAAAUGUCUGAAAGGUUGAUAAUAUAAAUAUAGUACCUUCUUGUAAUAUUUGUUAUUUCAUAACCGGAUGUUGAUUUUGCAGGUUCUUGUAGUGUUCUGUGGAACUGGUGCAGUAAAAGUUAAUGCUAUUCGCAAUAUUGCUGGUCAAAUUGCUAAUAAGGAUAGUUUGCAUGGUCUCAUUUUAAUUGUGCAAAAUCAAAUUACAAACCAAGCCAUGAAAGCAGUUGAGCUCUUCUCGUUUAAGGUUGAAAUAUUCCAGGUUCGUUUCUUGAACUUGUGAUGAAUUUAUUUAGUUUGACAGAAACAUGAGCAGCGUCUUGGUAAAUGCUUGGUCUCAACGAGUCAUUUAUUUGUUGCCAUGCUGUGUUUUUAAUAUUUUCUUCAUACUUAAGUUUUUGGUGUAUUCAACACAAUGGUCAUUGCUGAAGUUGUUUUCUUAGUAUACUAACAAACUGAAGUUGGCAUUGACAUGGGGAGCCCUGGUGAGGGAACAAUUAACAAUAGAGUUUGCCAUGAUAGAGAAGAGAAAUAACUUAAAGAAGUAGAUGUUCGGGUAUUGAGACAAUAGAGUGAACCCGACAAUAACGAAAUGUAGUAAUACGGGAAGGGUUCUAAACCUUUUGUUUUUUUUAUUAAUUUCCCGGAGAGGGUGAUGGGAAGCUUAUCGUGUUUAUUAAUCUUGUCCAAGAACUUUUAGCAAGAAAAUAAUAAUUUUUUUAGAGAAAGAAGCCUUCAAUCAAUAAUUCAUGGGGACUGUCAAUGUAAAAAUAGUCAUUUUUUUGUUGAGGAUCUCAGGGUGGAAAGAUAGGGAGAUCUCACAAUCUUUAAAAGAUAUAUGGUUUCGAGAUGCCCCCAUUUUUCUGUAAUAACUUCCUACAUUCUAGCAAUCCUCGAACAAAUUCAAUCUUGAACUUAGAGAAUAAGAUUUUUUUGUUUCGUUUUUUCGUUUGCUCUUGUAUAUUCUUUCAUAAUGAAAACGUGGUCUUUUUUAGAAAGAUUAUCUUAAAAAGUUCAUAUGUUUAAUUAUAUGUUGCUCAUUUUUUAAAAAUAAUAUUAUUUUAUGGUUUAUCUAAUUUUGGUACAUUUUUCUAUAUUUCCUCAAAUGACUGCACUGUUAUUUUUUCUGGUAUCAGAUUACUGACUUGCUCGUCAACAUCACAAAGCAUGCUUUAAAGCCAAACCAUCAAGUACUGACGGAGGAAGAAAAACAAAAGCUUUUGAAACAAUACAGUAUAGAAGAAAAACAGGUAAGAUAUUGAAUAGUACCGUAAACAAUAUCUUGGCAAAUUAUAUUUCCUUCCGCAUGAUUGCCUGUAGACUAAACUGUUUCUCAUCUUAAACAUGCUCCCCUGAACGACCAACAAUUUCUUCUUUUCAAUAUUUAUGCUAAACGCUGAUAAGAGUCAUAUGUCAAAGGACAUCUUUCAAUAUUUUCGUGGCUGCUACAGCUGGGAUUUUGAAUGAGCAUACAGUAUCUCUAUCUCAUUUGGGACUAUCUUUUUUUUUUGGGGUAAAACUCAUCUCAAGUGUGACAUCAUAUAGGCUUAUUUUGUCCUCCAAUCAUUAAGCUUUAUCAGGGGGCGUUUAGACUUCUGGCUUGGCACCUUAAGCUUGGGUGCAAUAACCUGUGGUCUUGGGAAGUUUGGGUCUAGGAAAAUUGUGCAUGAGAGGGUUUAGGGAGUUUUGUUCUAGGAAAAGUGCAUAUGAGGUGCAGCCUUACAGGUUUAGGAAAACUAUGUGUGGUGCAUGAAUAAUGUACUACUCAAGCCGGUUGGUGCCUCUAAUUAAACCUGAGCUUUGGAACUUCUCUUCAAAUGGGUUUGGGCUUAGAAAGUGAAUCCCUCCCUAAGGCCAACCUAGGUUUUUGUAUAUUAAAUCUAUGGUUUGGCAAAGGGUUUUAGAAGAUUGAGUUUAUAAUAACUGUGUCUGCUGUGUGAGUAGAAAGCUUUGGUUUGAGAAAACUGUGGGAGGUUGAAUAUAGCGAGUUACUGUUCAAGCCUAUUGGUUUUUCCAAUUAAACCUGGGUUUGGCAGCUUCUCUCUGAAUGUGGUGUGACUUCUAGCCAAACAUAUGCACAAAACACCCCCUUAGUGCUAAGGAAUGAAUGAUUGUGAAGAUACGGUUUUUGUGGGCUCAAGUGACUCAGCCCAUCCCAUCAAAAAAGAAAAGGUGACCCAUUACAUGAUACCUUACUUCAGACAAAAAUCAAUAAUUAAUAUUUUGUGUGCUUGGUAGAGGGAAUAUAAUGAUUUUUUACGGUUUACUUUUUAUAAAAAAAUCUAGCUUUCAUUUAGAAAAAAAGGAAGGAAUAAUUGAACUUUAAAGAGCUCUUUCCCUUAGUUACAACUUGAGUAACAGGAGUUACUACGUUAAAGCACAAAAACAGUUGCAUAUCUCUAUUUCGUUUUGACGUCACUUUAGCCUUUUGGAUCAAUUUGUCCAUACAAGAUCACAGGAAGGGGCUAAAUAUUUCUUAGAGUUGUUGAAGGUUCCAGUCGCCCUGUUUGGAAAAUAGAAAUUGUGAAACAAAGCAAUACAACCAUUUCUGCUAUGUGCUAUUGCUUCUUGAAUUCUCAUGGACUCUGUUUCUUAAACUAGUACAAACAGUUGUUCAACCUCAUGUCUUCAUGCCUACUUUUGAUACAAUGCAGCUUCCUCGUAUGUUACGUACGGAUGCUAUAGCUCGAUAUUAUGGGCUGGAGAAAGGGCAGGUUGUGAAAGUGACUUACGAUGGCGAUAUGACUAGGGCACACAUAACUUACCGGUGUGUUUGGUGAUGGACCUAGAGAGGCAGGUUUCACCAAUCAACUUUUGGAUUUCUUCCCCCAUAAAACUCAGAUUAGUUUUUGUCUUAAACAUCUAUGUUCCAGAACUUCUUCUAUUUAAUAGGUUUCGAGUGCAGAUUUUUAUGAUUAUGGGUUUCUUCAAGCAAUCUGUAUCACAAUUACUGCAGCCAUCCUUAACAAGGUACUUGUAACUCCCUCCAGUUGUGUAUGAAAGAAAAGGAAUGAAGCUAGCUGUAGGAGAUGUAUUUAUAUCCUUUUUCAUUCCUUCAUGUGUGAGAAACAAAACAAUUUUCUAAUCCUCACUCUUAACUUGUGAAGUAUUUGUUUUGGAUGGCAAGAGACUAUGAUGCUGAUGCCUGGAAAAGAGGAGAAUCAACCAAAUUUUAAAAAUAAGAAUAGAAGUAUUCUUUUACUAAAGAUAUAAAGUAUUUUAAUGAAUUUACUUAUAUAGAGCCUUUAAUCAGAACAAUAUUUUGUUUCAUAAUAGGUAGCAACUUUUCUAGGGCAAGUUUGCUUAAUAAUCAAUUAACUAAAGUAUUUAUAAAUAUAGCAUAUUCUUACUUUUUAUCAAUGAUAUUUAUAAAUAUUAAGAUAGACCUACACUCUAGUUGAUAAGUUGUAUUUGUAAAUAUUUUUACUAGUUCUUUUAUAAAAAGAAUUUUACUUUUGUUUUUGUUUUUUUGUUGGAAAAGAUAACCAUCAACACCAAUAGUUUGUUUCCUUUACAUUUUUUCUUUUUCUUUUUGUUGAAAAGCUUCAAAAUGGCAUAUCCAAAUUGUGCUUCCUUCUUUUAAUGCCUUUAAUGUGGAUUUGGGUGUGUGGGACAUGUUGGAUGAACUCAAUAUUUAAUGUAAAUUAAAUUUUUUAACUAGAAAAUGAAAGAAUAAAAUAAAAUCUUAAAAUUCUUUUAUCAAUUUUUUUUAUUAUAGGAUUGUUGUCGGUGCAUUUUCUAAAUUUCGAAAUAAAUUUAAAUGUCAAAGUGGUAAUUUAAAUAUUUCAAAAUAGUAAAUUUAAAUGUCGAUAAUAUCUAAUAUAACUAAUUACUUGUCAUAGGUUGUUUUUUUAAAUAUAGCUAUAUGAUAUUACUAAUUACUUGUGAUAUUUACUAUAUUCGUAAUAUGCAAAACAAAAAAUUCUUUUCGAUAUGUUUUUGUUCUAUGCAAAAAUUUGUAAAUCGAUUAUUUUAAUUUGUGAUAUCCGUAAAUUAAUAUCUGUAAAUAUUACUAUAUUCGUAAUAUGCAAAACAAAAAAAUGAAUUUUUAAAAAAUGCUUCAUUUUAAUUUGUCAAACAUUACCAUUUUUUUCAAAAUAAAUUUUUUAGUAAAAUUAAAUAAUUUAUAAUCUAAACCAAACCCACCCAAAAUAUUUCUGUUAGUGAUGAUAGAAACGGAUUAUUUUUUAUUAGUGACAGAAAUGAGAGAAACUAGUAGAAAGAGACUUCAUGUAUGAAUUAAAUGCUGUCAAUUCUUCUAUUUUUAAUUAUUUGUGCAUAGGAAGGGGUUAAUACAUUCUCAAUCCUAUUGAACCAAAAAGACAAAAAAAAUCCACUUUCAAUCAUUUUUUGAACGGUAGCUCGAUCAUCUCACUUGACCUCUCUCUUUACAAAUCAAGAAAAGUCACCACUUGACCUCUCUCUUUACAAAUCAAGAAAAGUCAAAUCAAGAUUCGCUACAUGUGAUAUAUAAACUUUGAUAUAAAGAGAACUCAGCUUUUAUAUCCGAUAGAAAGAUAUCAAUUUUUUUUAUUGAUAGAACAGAUAGAAAUGUAUCAAUUUAUUGAUAGAACAGAUAGAAAGAUAUCAAUUUCUAUAAGGUGAUUUAGGUUUUUAUGGACUUUCUUGGUAUUUCACCAUCUGUUCUGGACUUGGGUUAAUAAUUUGCUAUGGGCUAUAAAAUAUUUUGCCUAAUUAUUCUAUUUUCAAAAAUCCCUUUUUAAAAUAGAAAAAUGAUUUAUAUUCGUAAAUUCUUGUUCAAUGCCUUAUAUUUGAAGUGUUUUAAAUGUUACUUUGUUUGCAACUGAAUCUUUGAAAUUAUCGAGUUGUUUUAAACUUACUUUCAAUAUAGAUAUGAAAUUUAAGUAUAUUUUAUAAAUAUUUAGUAUAUUUGAAUAUUUAUGAAAGAUAAUUAAUGGUUGAUAUAGAGGUUGAACCUUCACACACAUUUAGAGGCUACGCAAGAUGGAUAAUUUAGGAUCCAAUUUAAUAUAUAAUUAAAAUUGUUUCUAAAUAUAUAAUUAAUCUUUUUAAAAAAAUUAUUAAUCCAUUAAAGAUAUAAUUAAAAUGCCUAACAUUUUUUAAAUUGGUCAAAAUUAAUAUUUAAGCAUUUGUUAAAACCGACACUUAAAGUAGUAUUUUAUUGGAAGGCAAAAGUGUUUUAUGAUUUUGAUAAAAAUCUAAAAUUUUGCUUUAUUUUUAUUUUUUAAAAUAUUUGAUCAAUUUGGUCAUUUUCACUAUAAUUAAAGACUUUAUUAAUAUUUAAUUCGAAAAUUACUUGUCGAUCUUAUCAACUUCGUCAUUUUGACGUCACUUUCAGAGAGAUAUUAUCGCGUAGAACUAAGACACCGUAAACCCCAACUCUCCUCGAAUCAAAGCUCCAAGUUCCAACAAUGCCGAUCUCAACAUCAUCCGACCCACUCAUGUAAGUUUCUCUCAAUUACUUCACGAACGCGAGAUAUUUAUUUAUUCGUUCUGAACUCCAUCCCAUUUGAGAGAAGUAGAUCGAAGCAGAGAUGGGUAGCACCCCUAACGAUUUCUCUGUCGUCAUCCUCCCUUCUGAUGGUGGCAUUGAUUCCCGCCCACUUUUGCCUGACAAAGAUAAAGAGUCUGAAGACGCUGAUCAUUGGCACGAUUGUUCUCAAAACCUUUCCUCCGAUGAGGACUUUUCCGAUCUCGAUCUUUUGCAGUUUGUUCGUCUUGAGGGCACCGACAAGACUGGGAAUCGUAUCCUCCGUGUCGUUGGAAAGUACUUCCCUGGUAAAUAAGCUAAUUGAAGAAUUAUGCUCUCAUUCAUAAUUAGUUCUUCUAUACGUUUACGUUACACUCUUUUUGCGUCACUAUUCAGUUUAUAAUUCAGCCUAGUUUUUUGGUCCUGGUCUGGACUGUCUAUCAUUGAUUGAGAUGGAAUUUAAUUUAAUUUUAAUGUGAUCAUAAUUGCUACUUCAUUAUGAAUUCCUUCUUUGUAAACCUUCCAGAUGUUAAUUUUAAUGUUCUUACAAGCUCCAUUAGAGAACUUAAUUUCUAUUUAUCCAAUAAAUCAGCUUCGUCAACUAUUUCUAAUUUUGAGACCAAGUGGAAACUGAUUUGGAAGUUGGAUUAAUUAGACCCAUUAAAGAUUCGUGGCGAAUUUUUAGUUAAUCUCUUCUUAAUAUGUUGUUACUGUUCUUAGCCUCUAUCUUCUGAAUUUAUAGAUGAACAAUUCGUGGCCAUAUCUUCUGUUGACAUCAUCACAAAGUAGAUAGGUCUAAUGGUUGUAGCACAAAACUUCCGUUUAGAAAUAUUGUUUAAUAUUUUCUUGUAUAAGAAUUCAGAUAACUCCAAUUUGUUUUCUAAAUAUGAAAUUUCUUCUAACACAGCUGUGGUUGUAAGUGGGGAGCGGCUGAAGAGAUAUAUCUUCCAUAAAUUCCAGAACGAAUUGUCUGAGGGUCCAUUUUGCAUUGUGUACUUUCAUACUACUGCCCAGAAGGAUGAUAAUUGUCCAGGCCUUACCAUUUUGAGGUGGAUUUAUGAAGAACUUCCAUCUGAUUACAAGGAUAGACUUCAAUUUCUCUACUUUGUACAUCCUGGUCUCCGUUCGAGGCUUGUCUUGGCGACUUUUGGCCGUUUUUUCCUAAGUGGCGGGUGAGUGUGUUCGCUAUGCUGGUUUCCAAAUGUAACUGACAUAUUGAAUUUGUUGACAUUUGAUUAUUUUCCUUAAUUAAUUAAGUUCUAACGUUACUGAACUGUUUAUUUAUAACUUUUCACUUUUAGGUUGAUGGAUAUGAUUCAUCUUCUUAUAAGUGCUUCAGUAAGACAUUAGUUUUCUUCUUUUGGAUUUCAUAAAAUUUGAAAAUUUUACUAUUGCUAUUGCAAUCUAUUAUCAUUUUCUUUUGCUGCAGGAAUUUUCAUAGAUUUUUAGUCAAUAUGUUUACAAUCUCUCUCUCCCUCUCUCUCUCUCUCACAUUAUUGAUGUAUUAUUUGAGGAAUGAAAAGGGAAGAAACAGAAAAUCGUUCUUCUUUGUAGGGAUGUAUGCGACAUUAUAUCUGUGAGAAAUUAUUAGUUUUUGAGAAGUUUUCUUCCCCCCAAUUCUUAAAAGCAGCCUACUAGAAUAUAUAAUCUUUAGUAGUGGGAAGAACCAGUGGUACGACUGAUUAUGGUUGCUUACAUCCUUGAAAUUUUGUGAUAUCCGUUUCCUCUAAUGUAUGUCUUGAGUAAUUGAUGGUCCACAUGUGUUUGACAAGAUUUGUUCUCUUUUGGUAGAUUGUACUGGAAAAUCAAGUAUCUGAGCCGCCUCCAGUAUCUUUCAGAAGAUAUAAAAAAGGGAGAGGUUGAGAUUCCUGACUUUGUGAAAAGUCACGAUGAUGUUCUUGAACACAGACCACUGACAGAUUAUGGCAUUGAACCCGACUCCCUCAAUGUCACGGAGGUACCUUUUUCUGCCAACUCCGUUUGGAGAUAUGAGGAGAGAUGGAUGUCAAGGCAGUACAUGACAUAGUAAGCUUGGUUAAAGAAGUUGUAUUUGAUCUUAGGCAGCUCCAAGGCUUAUGAGCAAUUAACACGAGCUAUAGCUAAACAAUAAAAUAUCUGUACAUUCUGAUUGUGCUUUGUUGUGUAGCUUGAUUGGUAACUUCUUUAGUGUUGCUUGUAAAAACUAAAGGGAAUGUUGUUUAUAAUAAGCUACGUAUGUUUGAUGCUAAUUUAUUUGUAUGGUUGUAGUUGAUAGCUUAAUCAACAUUUUAUGCUAUGCAUCGUUGCACUUGCUUUGAUUAUUGGAGAUUUUAGCUGUGGAGGAUUACUGUGUUGUGUACCUCAUAGGUCUGGUCUUUAUGGUUCUGUUUCUUAUUAAACUUUUCUCGUAUCCUUACUCACUGAAAUGAUCUUGUUUAUGUCAAGAGAAAUUACGGUAUUUAGGGUGAGUUUGAUACGAUUUUUGAAAAGGAAGUACAACCUAGAGGAUCGGUGGAAAAAUAUUUCCUUAUAGCUUAUUACAAGCAUUUUUCAAUCUUUUUUAUAAAACUUUAAGAACUAUGGAAGGUACUCUUAGAACAAGUAUUUCUCUUAUCAAAAGUACCUACUCUGCAUCAUAUGUAAUUCAUCAAGAGAAUUCUCAUUGAGAUGGAGGAAUCUGAGUUUUCCUAUCACGGGCUGCGUUUUUCCACAUGGCAAGGAACAAGAAAAUCCAAAAUCUGGUUUAUGGAUCAUUUUGUAGUAUAACUGAAUUACAACACAACACCCACCACAUAAUCAUUAUAGCCUUUCAAAUUUACUAACAUCUGUCUUGAAUGUGAUAACAGCAUUCUAUGCAAACAGAUCUGUCUUGAGAAUAAGGACCCAGGGCUAUAAGUAUCCGACUAACUUGAAAAUUCCUUGCAUAUCUAUGUUCUUUCACUCUAUUUAUGUAGAUUAUUCAUCCUGUUCUUUGUUAGAGUUAUAUUAUGUUGGUUUUCAAUUAUUUUAGGAGUGAUUUUUUUUUAAACUGAAGGAGGAAGGACCAAGAGACAUAAUUUGAAAACAGAGUUGAAAUGAAGAAGACUGUACAGUUUAGGAGCUAGACAGAUCACCGAGUUCAUUGGAAGAAGAAUAAGCAGAUUUCACAAGCCAAGCAAGGUGAGUUCAAAUAUAACAGUGGCUAAAAACUUCAGGAUUACAAUCUACGUUAUUUAACCUUUUUGGGGUCUGAAGUUGUAUAUAUAUAUUUUUUCCUUAUCUGCCAUGUUGUAUUAGCCUGUUAGGAAGAUAUACCUUUUUGUGGUACUAUAGAAGAAGGAUUUGGUUAGAAUCAAAUCUAAAACUUCCAUUUGCUCAAGAAAACCAUAGGCCAGUACAAGCAGAAGUCUCAAUCUCAUAGAUAAAGUUGUUUUAUACAAUACACUAGAUCAGUGUUGCUGAUAUUGAUGGAACAUAUAUAAACACUAAUUACAAUAGACAACAGGACAAUCAUCCAGGAGAAUCAGCAACAUGCCUCACAAAGCCAACAGCAACACAGGGCAAAAAGGCUGCACCCAAUCCACAAGUUGACAAGGUAAGAUUUUGUUUUUCCUCACAAAGAAAAAAAAAAAAAGAAGAAUAGAAGGCAGUGAAAUGAAAACACCCACCAUCCUUCGAUAAAACUCCUAUCUCCUCGUUUUUUUGUAGUACCCCAUAACUGUUUCUUCUUCCCUGUCCCAACGUUCUCAGUUGGGUACCCUAUAGUUCAAACAGUUAGAAAGAGAGACAGAGAGACAACAAAGUGAAAAUUUUGAUAGGGAGAGGAAGGUGGAAAGAACCUUGUGGGUGAUGGUCUUGUUUUGCUUCUGAUAUGGGCAUCUUUGAAGCUUUGGAAGUAGAGAUUAGUGUCUUCCAUUACGUGUGUGUAUAUAUAUAUAUCGAUUAUCUCUUCAGUAAAAAGUUUGUGGAGUUUCGUAGAAAGGGACAAAGCUCAGGAAUAUGAUUCUGAUAUUGAUUGGCCAACUUAACUAUAACUUGAUUCCUUCCGUUCAAAGACUGGUUUUAGCUUUGCCAAUAGGUGUCACAUUCUAGAAGACAUUACCGUCAUGGAAGUAAGGUAACAGUUUUUGCUUAUAAUACCCUCGAAGGUUUCUAUUAGAAAAAGCCAAUUAAAGAUCAUGUGGAAGAGAAUAAACUGAGGGGAACGGAUGGAUGGUUCCUUGUAAAAUUAGUCGAGAUUGAAUAAACUUUUUUUAAUUUAAACAAGAAAACACAUAACUAUCAUAGGUUGAUUUAGUAGUAAAUGAGAAGACACCGUCUCAAUAAAUGAUUAAGAGAUCACGAGUUCAGUUUAUGACGGACAUCUACUCAGAACUUAAUUUUGUACGUGAUUUAAAACCUUAGACAUUAUAUUUAAGAACCACGCAAACCCAACAUCUCCAAAGCCAAUUUGAUUUCAACCUCUAAGAUAGGGUAGAUUCAUGUUAUUUAGGUGAUCUAAGAAACCAAGGAUCGGACAAAGUUUUGAAACUUUCACAACCAAGAUAUCAAUUCUCACUUAAGUGCAAGUGAUUGAAUUCUGAUUUUUUGGUUCGUAUUAGUUCGAGUUUGGUCAAGUUAAGUUGUGUUCAGAUAUUUACAAUUUAAAGAAAAAAACAGAUACAGUGUAAUUUGAGAAUCAUUCUACAAAUUAGUUGUAUUUAUUUUUGGUUAUUUUAAAGCUUUAUGUGUUUAGGGCUAAGUUUGGGAGAGUGGGGUGAAAGCCCAACUAAAUGAGUCAGAGGUCCAGUGUUUGUCAAUAAAAUUACAAAAUCAGAAGCCAAAACCAUUACUUCUAUUUCUAUAUUCGUCUACGGUACUUGUGAACAAUGCUCCAUAUUAGAGUAGGGAAUGAAUGAAAUGGAUACGUUUUCUCGACGAAGAAACAAAGCCAAGAGGGGGAGAGAUCGACGAAAUCAACAACAAACUUGCCAAAACGUAUAGUAAUGUUUUUCGUUUUUUAUUUUUUAUUUUUUACUUUUAGUUUCUAAAAAAAUUUGUUUUCUUGAAAGAAAACUCUAAAUGAGAGAAAAAAGUUACUUUUGUUUUUAAAUCAUUUACCAGCUAUAUAUUUAAAAAACAAGAAAAAUUCAAAUGAAAACCAAAAUGAUUACCAACUAAUUUAAUUUCUUUUCCAUUUUUUUAAAAAACAAGAAACUUUUUAUCUCAAUUAUAUAUAUGGUUUUUAUUUUUAAUAUUUAAAAACAUAAUUUAAAAAACAGAAAAAACUAAAAUAAAAACCAAAAUGAUUAUUGAAAAGAACCAUUUAUUGAAAUUUCAAGACGAAAGUAAUUGAAAGAAAAAAUAGGAAAUUAAUAAGAAAGGAAAAGGAAACUUUGAGGGACAAUUGUAGUUUAUAAUGGAUAGCAAUAACUAAGUAUAUAAACAUUUUUAAAUAGUUACAAAUAUAGCAUAUUCUAUAUUAAUAUUUGCAACAUAAUUUUGUUAUUGAAUUUGCAAUUAUCCUCGUAUUCAAUGGAAAUGUAUAUUUCGUGGAGAAAAUCAAUGGAAUAACAUAUUUUUCAAAAAUAAUAAUAGUUCUAAUAAACAUUUAAAACAAAUCUCAUAAAUAUUUUGCAAAAGAAAGUUAAAGAAAUUCACCAACAAAUUAUGUGGGUGCGCAAGAACCAAAAUUCUCAAUGACAAUUUCAAUAUUAUGAAUAACUUUGUAAAAGAGGUAUCUACAAAAAGGUUAUCAAUUUUAAGUAAAGUCACCUUAAAAAAAUUAUGGAUUUGCCAUUGUAUACCGUGGAAUUUGUGACUUGUGAGGCCUUCAAUUUUAAAGUCUCUAAUGUUACACACAUAAACAAAAAGCAAUGAUAAUAUAAACUGUCAUUUACCCUAUGUCUGGGUAUAUGGUAAAAGAUGGGACGAUGAAUAUUCAACUUUCAUGAAGAAAACGUUGGUAGAUUGUUGAUUAUUGUAUAGAAUUGUCAAUCUUCGUUUACUUAAUUUUCAACUAUGAAGUUAGAGAUUUGAAAUCCUUAUUGUCUUGCAUAAUAUAUUACUAUUCACUAGUUAAUAGAUUAACGGUAAUGUGUAAACAAAACUCAUAGAAAAUCUAAAUCAAUUAGAUGAAAACUUUAACUCCAAUUGAUGAGUGGAGAUCAACUAAACGGAAGGUCGGAAAAAUAUUAUUGAAGGAGAGAAUGUUAGAUUUAAAUUUGAAAAUCUGCACGUUUGUUAAUACCCUUCUCUCACAAAUCAAACCACCAAAAAUCCAUUAGUCAUAUUGUAGCAAACCCAUCGAAUAAUCACUCCAACAGAAAGAGAAACGAAAGUAGAAUUAACAGCAAACAAUGAUGUUGUUUGGGAUUCCAAGAAAUAAAAAGAAAAAGCAGAGAGAGAGAGAGAGAGAGAGGAUUUAAGAUGAGUAAUAUGUUAAUACAAUAUAAUAAAAAGAACCAAUGGAGGAUUGAAGGUGUUAAAAGUGGAGUUAACAGAGUGUAGUGAUGUAAGUGAAGUGAAGUUACAAUGACAUAGGGAACCAAAAGACAGCAAAAAGAAUAAUGAAAACAAAACAUGAAGUUAAAAAUAAUAAUAAAAGAAAGAAAUUGUAUAUAGAAUUAUUGGAAUAUUGUAUGUGUGUGUUUAAUGAAGAGUCCCAUUACAAUCUAUCUUUUUUACCAAAACACACACACAAAUAAAAAAAAAACUCUGUCUUAGUCAGAAAGAGGUAAUGGGUAGGUCACACCUUCUUUCAAAAUUUACCCAUCUCAGAAUCAGUGCCUUUUCCUAUAUAUAUAUAUAUUUUAUAUAUAUACUCCAUAUUCAUUAAGAAUUUUGAUACUAUAUUAGAUAAAAAUGAUGUUCUAUUGUUCCUCAAAAUGAUAAAACAGUUUCUCUCCAUGUUUAUGGGAUUCUAAUUACUGGCCCAACACAUCAUUAACAAAAACCAGUUAAAGUUUUCAUAACCCAACAACCUAACUCUAGUCUACUACUAAGUAGUAUGAAGUGAGAAUAAUAUAAAUGAAUAACCUUAAGGAAAAGGUUUUGAACCCUAGAAUUAACUGCAACAUUUGGAGAGAGAGAUAUAUAGAGAGAGAAUUAAAGAGGGUUUUUGUUUGUGUAGAGAGAGUUGGGGUUUUUGGAGACAGUAUUCAGAGUUUGUUUCUUUUGAAAUAUUUUAGUUUUGGUUUUGUUGUGUUGUGUUGUGUUGUGGUGUUUGUGUGUAUUUUUGGGGUUGAAAGGUCAGCUCAAAUGUCUUAAUCUGAUUUUACCUCUUUUGAUGCUCACAGCUAUACCAAUUCUUCUCUUUUCAUUGUCUUGUCAAAUCAACUCCCCCAAUCCCCUUCUAUACUCACAUGCUCUUCCCCCUCCCUAAAACCCUUUCCAUUUUUCUUUUCACUUCCACUUCCAAAACACUAUAAUUACACCCCUACUCUUAUAUCAAAUAUAAAUAUACAUUCCAUAUCUUAAACGCUUCAUAUCAAUCUUACCUUUUGAGUCUAUGCGUCUACACUAUACAUCAAUAAGAAGAGCUUAUGAGUGAUAAAGUCUAUAUCAUAGAUGUAUUAUAUUAUAUUUGUAUUUUUUCUAAAAUACUUAUACGUGACUUCACAAGUCUAAGAUUUGAAAUUCGAAUUUCACAAUUGGUAGCUACAAUAAUCUCCUAACAAGACCAUCCUUUCUUGUCUCCAAAGUCUUUUAAGAAUGUGAAAGUUGUUUCUACAAAUCAACAUGCAUUAUAGAAAAAAAUUUCAGCAGGUCACGCAACACAUGAUUGUUCUAAGCUAAACAUACUCAGCUGUGAAGAUUUCAUAUGAUUGAGUAAUUGGAGAAAAAUGUGCACAUUAUUGGUAUGGAUAAUAACUUUCAAUUCUUUUAAGUGUUUGUUUGUUAUAUUUGUAUGUCUUCGUAACUUCUUUCAUUCAUAUGUGAUUUUGAUUUAUUGACAUUUCUUUCUUAAAUUAGGCCAUUACAAUACUUUUGUUUUCAAUUUUUAUAACAUUUUGUAAAAAAACGUGUGGUGGAAAAUUAUACGAGAACAUAAACUUAAAAACAAAAAAUCGAAAUGAAAAUAUAGUUGUAUUUCCUUUUUUUUUUAAAAAAAGAUAGGUGCAUAGAAGAAGAUCUAGAAAUUGAGCCUAAUUUAGACCAUUGUUUUAAAUGUAUUUAAUAUAAUUUGUAUAAACCAUGAAGUUAAUUAGUUGUAUAGUUUCCGUAAUAUUAACUAUCAAAUGUUAUUUAAUUGAUUUGUGGUUUUAGGAUCAACAAUAAUCUUAAUUGGAUGUAUUAAUGAUUUUGCUUAUGUAGUUAGUUAAUAUAUCACAAAUCCCUUAUAAACUUUGUUUUAUUCACAAAAUUAAGAACUAUUCUCUUUUGUUUUAGCUCUCUAACAAAUUAAAAAUUAAAAUAUAUAAUUAAGUAACACAAAUAGACAAACUAAAAAUCAUUUUCUCAUUACCACAUUAAAUACUUAUAUAGUUUAAUAAUUUCAUGACAUAGUUAAUUUUAAUCUAAAUUUUUUUGGAUAAUUUCCAAGCUUAAUUCUAUAGAAAUCUUUCAAUUAUCGUUUUCGGGUUAAAAUUUAUUAUUGAUUCGAUAAACAACAUAAGUUUGUUCAUACAGAAAAAACAUAAAUUGUAUUUAAAUGUAAGAAGUGUCAGACGAGCUAGUUGUCGACAAUGACUUCUAAUUUAUGCAUGAUUUUGUUUGUAUGCAUUGUCUAUAAAUUUUGUAUGGUAUGAUGUUGUUGGCAUGAAUGUGAAGUUGAUGGUGUACAAAUGUGGGGGAAUUACAAGAAUUUUCUUUGUAUUGACUUUUUAUCUUUAUUUCUUUCUACAUAAUGUGUUUGGUUGAAAAGAAAGGUGAAAUAGUACUUUGUUAUUUAAUAAAGCAUUAAAGUUCCAUCAACAGUCAAUACAAAGUCACUUAUACUAGCAAAAUAGGAGAAGAAAAGUAUAUUAAAUGUGGCAAAUUAAACCCCAACUGAAUUUUACUGUGACAUGAAAAUCAAUGCAUCACUUUCAAUUUCAAAUGUGAAAUAUAAUCAAAAGCAAAGGAUAUGAAUUAUGAAUACUUUUAUUAUUAUUAUUAUUAUACUAUAAAUUAAUGAAAGGGUUGUUUGAUUUUAAGAGAGAAUUAAUUAAGUUAAUUGAAGGGACAUCCUUUCCCAAAAAGAUACCCUAAAAAAGCUUUUGAAUCACAUGUUGGAGUGCCAAAAUCUGUUGUAAAGUCCACAGUUCUCUGUCCCAUAAAAUAACACUUUUCUUAUUGAAUAUAUGUAUAUGUAUAUAUAUCCUAAUAAUUAGGUUUAAUUUAACCAUAGAUUGGAUAAUGCAAACAUCUUGUCAAACACUACAGCUUUUCUUUGUCUUCUUAUUAACAAAUAUCUCAUGUUGUUUUCUUUCAGAUCUUCAAUCCAAACCAUUUGUUUCUGUUUUUUUCAAAGGCUACUCAACUCAUAUAGGUUUUUAUUAAAUUAGAGUCUUUGCAUCCAUGGAAUUCGGUUCAAUUGAAUAAUUAUGGUUGUUUAGGGAAACAAAAAAUAGUUAGGAAAGGACUGUUUUGGAAAAAUAUUAGAGAAAUAUGAGUUUUUUUUGGAUUUAUUGGAUUGUAUCUUUCGUUAAAAUAUUAUUUCUCUCUACAAAAAUCUUCACAACCACGACCGUAGAGAAAUAAAUAUAAGAAAACAACUUAAUUUUUCUAAUAUUUCUAAAACAACCCUAAUUAUCCCAUUCAUCCCGAUGAUUAUGAUCAAUGUCAAGGAAUCCCUAAUGUAAUAGUUUUGGUAAUUGUUCAUACAAUUUAGAGCAUAUUUAAUAUAUAUAGAGAGAGUUAUUACAUUGAGUAUAAAUGUAUAUAUAUACUAUAUAAUAAAAUAAAAUAAAUAAUAAUAAAAGGUUUGAACUUGGCCAAGGUUCAACAGAUCGACCUAAAGUACUAUUCUAAGAGUUUAGCUUCAAAUAAAGUUUAAAUCAAACCAAUUGGAUUGAACUUUUGAGUGAUUUGAAUCGUUGUUUUUGGAUCAACCCAUAGUUCUACAAUUUAUUUCAAAAGUUUUGAACAAAUUUUUUGGGUUAUCAUUGUUCCAUUUUUUCAACAGGUUUUGUUCCAGUCUUCAAGUUCAAUUGAAUUUUUUUUUAAAUUUCAUUAUAAGAUGUUAUAACAGAUUUUUAUUUUUAUAGAAGUAAAUAAUUUAGUCAAAUUAGUCCAUUUUUAUUCGACAACAAUUUAGUCUCCAUCUUUAAAUUUAAAAUAACUAAUUUAGUUCUUCAUCCUAAAAAUAUGGUUAAGCUCGUCAAUUUUAAGCGAUGAAAAUAUCAAUAAAAUAUUUAUGUUGAAUUAACAAAUAUUAAAAAAAUUAAUACAUAGACAUUUUAUCCUUUAUAGUUAAUUAAAAUGUCUAAUUAAAGUAUAUUAUAUUUGACACGAUGAGUUAUUAAGAGAGUUGUAAUGUAGUUAAGAUGUUCAAGUAUAUCAAUGAUGAAAGAAAAAAUGAUAAAUUUUUUGUGAUGGAGAGAGAUUGAUUUUAAACAUAGUGUAUGAAUAUAUAUAUAUAAACAAUCAUAAAUUUCUAAAAUAAAAAGAAAAAAUGAUAUUAAACAAUAUGUGUCAUGAUUUGACCCUAGAAUGACCUUUGGACUAGUUGAUGACACAUUUUGUUUCAUAUCUCUACCAACCACUCUUUUUCUAGAACCCUAGUGGAAGUCUAAGCCUCCUCCAAUCUAUCAAAACACAUACACAAAAUAAUGUGAAGUCAAGGUGAAGAAAUCAAUGAGAGUAAUGUGAAAAAGGGAAGAAAACUAUAAUGGAACCUAAGUACAUGGUUGAGAGAGAGACUUAUAGUUUCCACUCAAAUUAGUGCAAAUUGUAUGGCAUUGUGAUGAUGCCAAAAUUUAAGCUCUCUCUAUGAGUGGAAGGUCAAAGGGGAGAAUAUAUAUAAAAGAAAUUUAGUGGAUGUGUUAUUUCUUUGGAUUCUACUUUCAAGUGGUAUCAACCUCACUCUCUAAUGCUUUUGAAAAUCCCAUUUCCCAUAUCUAAUUCUAAUUUCAACCCCAAAUAUAUACCUCAUCAAAACUAUAGAAUAUUUUACCUUUUACAAAUUUCCUUUAAUAAUUUUAGAUUUUAUUUUAACUCUCAAUCCUUGUAUAAUAUUAAAAAUAUGUAUGAUUGAAGAAUCAAAUCUCUAACAUCAAGAUUUAUAUUAUUCAUCAUAUCCCUCUUUAAUUAUGACUUUAUAUGUUGAUGUCAAAAUAUAUGUAUUUAUGUGUUAAAUACAUCUUCUAUGAUAAAUGAUGAAAGAAAUAAAGUUAUAUACAUAUAAGAUAGCCGAUAUGAUUUUACCUUAGUUAAUGAAAAUAACUCGACAAAAAAGACAUUAAUAUCCUAGAUUUUUAAUUUUCUUAAAAGAAAAAGAAAAAGGGAUAUUGGAAAUAAAACUUAACUAGCUAGGAAAAAGAAAAAAGAGUUGAAAAAAAAAGGAGGAAGGGAUGCAUGGGGGUGUGUGUGUAUGUGUGUGUCAAAGGUUGCAUGAUUUGGGGGCAAAAGGCAGCAUUGACUGUAUACAAAUUUUUUGUGAUGGAGAGAGAUUGAUUUUCUUUUUUGUUUGAGGAAAGAGAGAUUGGAAUUUGGUUGAAAUAUAUUUGGUCAAAUCUCACUAGUAUCUACAUGCAUAUGUAUCUCUCACCUUUAGGGCAAUCAUUUUCAAUCCAAAGGUCAAAAUUGAUCAACCUUCCAUUUCCCCCUAAAAUUCUUGAGAAGAUAUUGAGAGCAAUAGAGUCAAAGUUGGAAUAAUCUAUAUUGGUUUUGUGGUUGUAUCUUAUUUUAGAAAAAAAAUACUCUAAUUUUACCCUAGACUGCACAUCUAUUUGUAAUACAGUCAAUUGAGGAAUUGUUCGAUUAUAAUUUGUAAAUAGUACAUUUUUAAUUAAUAUUAGAAUGAGUAUCAACUUAGUUGAAUAUUUUGGAAAUUUUGUUUUAUGUUUGUUUUUUAUUUAACUUUUUUAACCUUGGUACUUAAAUAUAUGUGCAUGUUUUUUUUUUUAAUGUACAAGUACAAGUGGUUAAAAUGAAGUACAUUCAAUAUAUCAAGUUUUCAACCUUCUUUCUAUUUUUAUUCAAAAUAAUAAUUACCAUUGUGAUUCGUCAUGAUUAUGAACACUAUUUUUAUAAUAUAUAUAAGUAAUUUUUGUAGGCACUAAUUAUUAUGGUAGUGACAAACGAAAACCCUCCUACACAAACACAUUGAAUAACAAGAAAAAUCAUCAUCAUCAUAAGAAAAUAUUGAUGUCAAAUCAUAAAAAAAUCUAGUCACAACUUGUUGGAAAGAUGAAAACUUGAUUUUUCUAAAAAAAAAUUAAGUCUUCUUAAUUCCUUUUUCUUUUUUCUUUUUUUACAAUUUGAUUUAGCCCACUUACAUAUAUUUCUUGAUAUUGAUGUAUUUUGAGGUUGAAAACCUAAUUGAAGUGUUUUUCUUUCCAUAAUUUAAUUGAAUUUUUAUAGAAAAUAACUAAUGGAAACUAGGAAAGGAUUUGAAUUGACUCCAACAAUUUUGUUGCACCAUUAGAAAUGGAAAUUUUGAUUAGGUUGACUACAUUUUCCUCCACAAAAUUAAAUUUAUAUGUAAUAUUUGUCAUUGAUAAGAGAGAAAAGAAAAAGAUUUAAGAAAAAAUGUUUGAUGGGAUUCUCAUUCAUUUCCCAUUUGUAGAAUUGUCUUUUCCAUUUCCAUUAACAUUACAUCUAAUUACCAACUCACCCUAAUUUUAGCAUCACAGAGAACAAAUAAUAAUAAUAAUGAUGAUGGAGAGAGAGAAAUAAUAUAUAAAUAGGGAAAAAUAGAGGAACAAAGCAACAAUCAUAAUGGAGACAGAGAUAAAUGGGAGAGACGUAAGAGAAUCAAUAAUCUUUAGUCAAUAGUCAAUAAAAUCUUAUGAUUGUAACCAAUUAACAGACAUCAUCUAGUUGGUAAGAAGCUUAACCUAAUAAAAUAUCAAAAUCUGUCUUCUCCUCUUCUUCUUCUUCUUCUUCUUCUUUUCUUUUAAUAAUAACAAUACCAUUUUUUUUUAUCAAGAACAAACAACACAUAUACUUCUCAAUUGAUUGUGUGUGUGUAUAUAUAUAUGCAACUGUUAAUGUGAUUGAUAGCAUUCAACCCAUUUAUCAACAGUCACACACAUAUGCAUUGGGCUAUACUGCCUAGCUAGCUAACACCCCUCAAAUGUAUAAUUUAUUCCCUAAUCCAUUUGUUUCUAAAUCUUUAAAUUAAUAUUUUCAUGUUUAAGAUUUGUAGUUGUUAUUAGUUAUUUAAUCUUAAUGUUUCAAAAAGUGGCAUAUAUAUAACCCUAUUUUAGCUUUUUAAUGAUUGUUUCCUUAGAUCAACAAAUGACCUUUAAUAUUUAACGAACAAUUUAAAUCAAAUUCAAACUCUAAAGAUCAAACGAUCAUUUGGAACGUUAGUGGAUCAAAUAAAGAAGAGCUAAAAAAAUAUUUUUUUAAUAAGUCUCGCUCUUAGUUUUUUAUAUUUGAAUAUUUUUUGUUGUUUUCAUUUUUAACAAUUUCAUAUUGUUAUUUGGUUCUUAAUUCAACACGCAUUCUAAUACUCUUACGGUUUACAAUAAUCUUGUCAAUUUCUCAAACAUUCCCUAAGUUCUUAUUAAGAUUAAAAAUGAUUAAUCUAAACAUAUAAAUUCAAUUAUAAAGAUAAUUGACAUGCAUAUAUAUAUAUUUUAAAGCUUGAAAGUUAAAAUCUCUUAUCUAUGUUUCCUCUACUAAAAACGUAUUAAUUUUGAGUAUUUUUUUUAAUGAAAAAAUUACAUAUAACUGAAAGAUUAUAGAGAAUCGAAACGGUAACUCGUGAUAGGUAAUUCUACAAACUAAAUUUGCGAAGACUUGGAUGUGUGGUCAUGAUAAGCUAGAUCAUAAACUACAUACACGAUUAGUAAAAAAAAUGUUGGACAAUCAAACCUCCACUUUAAAGAUAUGAGCAUUUCAUUAAAUGAAUCAACUUUUUCAGAGCAGAGGUUUACAAAGUCGCUUAAAUAUGUGUCUUUGUCCAUUAAGCGACUUCAAAGAAUCAAAGACGGAAAGUCUAUUUGGGUUGACUAUAAAAAAAAAUCUUUUUAAAUUACUUUAGUUUAAACUCAUUUUUAAAUAACUAUUUCAAAAGUUAUUUUUGUAGUUGCUAAAAUUUUUAAUUUUUCUUCCAAAUAACUUAUCUUCAAAAAGAAAUAUUUAAAAAGUUAAACCAAACAUAUUAUCUAUUUGAUACCAACGAGUUAUGAAUUCUACCAUGAAACGUUAUUGCCUCAACAUACUCACUAGAGUUCAUUUUCUACUUUAGCUAACUAAAAAAAAGAAGAAAAGAAUAAGGAAAAAACUCAUUUCUUAAGUAGGGAUAGAUAAUAUGGGUGUGUGUUUAGGAAAUUAAAUGUUAUAUUUGUUUAUAACUAUUUUAGGAGAAGUUCUUUUUAACAUGAUCUAGCUAUAGUACUAACAAUUUCAUUUAUAUACAAAUAUAUACACAUUUGAAGUUAACAUACAAAAUAUAUAUAUAUAUAUAUAUAUAUAUGAUAUAUGUAUUAUUUUAAUAGUUUUUAAUAGGUUAAAUAACGUAAAUUUCAAAUAAUAAUAAUAAUAAAAGAUUGAAAGUUACGAAUAGACAAAAUAGUAAAGAAACAUGAUUUAAUUCACCUUUAACAUUAGCACAUUACACAUGCAUAGCAUAUAUAUUAUGGUUCUCUUUGUUUAUAAAUUGUAAUUUAUAAUGUGAUUUGGUUACCAUUUUUUUGUAAAUUAGGUUUUUUCUACAAAAGCUUUGGAGAUAAGGAGAUCAUUGAUCAUAUCCAUUUUCAUUGAGCUAAUUAAUUAAGCUCGUUCUUGAAGUUCAAGAAAAAUAUUAAAAUUUGAAUUUUAUCUAAAAAUAGAGUUUUCUUUUCUUUUUUUUUUCAAUCUAAAAUUGAAAUACUUAGAUAUAUAUAUAUAUAGAGAGAGAUAUUUGAUCCGACAGAAAUUAGAGGAAUGGAAAUUGCAUCCUCCAUUGUUGUGGGGACGAUUCCUGAUUAAGUUUCGUUGAAGUAAUGAUAUAUGUUUGGACAAUUUCAUUAUUAAAUUACAAUCUUGGAGACAUUCAAAAUCAUUACAUUUUUCCAAUAAUAUCAUAUUUAUGGCUAAUAAUCAUCCUCACUCCCUUGAUUGAUUCUUUUUCAAAAAAUUUAAAUCUUUCCAGGAUUGAUUAACUAUGCUUAAUUUAAUGACCAUAUUUAAAUUUAUGUCAUAUUCUAGUUUUAUGUUCUUUUUUAACAAAAAAAGUUAUUAAUAAUAGUUGUUUAGAAUUUAAGUAAUAAAAUUCAGAAAUAGAUCAUAAAUGAAAUAAAAUGGCCAUGUAUAUGCAUGAUUGUUCUUUAUCUUUCUGUUUUGGUAUUAUUUCUUAAUUAAAAACAUUAUAUCACAAAAGAAAAAAAGAACAAAUAGUUUCUUUAGUGCAAUGCUACCAAAUAAGUUACCUCAUUUUUGUAAUAAACAAAUAAAUAUAAACUUAAUUCAAAUCAAAUAGUAUAGAAUGCAUAUUGGGUUUAUGAAUCUCCACUCCAAUAUUUUGCUCCAAACUUUUUACAAUGAAAUGAUUUUUUUAAAAGAGAUGAAAAACAAAUAAACUUUUUAUAAAAAAAAUCUAUGUGGAUGUAUGACAAAUAGAUGCCCUCAACAAUGUCCAUUAUUUGUAUCUUUCUUUGUGGUUGAUUCCAUGACCAUUCAAUAUAGAAAUGUAAAGUAUUAAUGUAUACACCUAAACAAUUAUCCCAUUUAAACCUUAAACUUUAGUCUUUUGAAUGUUCGUGUAAUGAAAUAGAGAGUGUAUAUAUUAAUGUUAUUGGAUGAUUUUUAAAGAUAGAACAUAAUUAAUUAUUUAACUUGAUUGAUAUAUUUGAGUUUAAACAAAUUAUAACGUUCACAUAGCAUUGAUAGAAUGAAAGAGUGUAAAUAUUAGUUUCAAUGAUUAAAAUAUACAACUAUUGGUACAAGUUUUAAUUGAUACAACCAAAUUUGGAGAUAUAAAUUUUAUUUAUUUUGCAAGUGAUAAUUUAAAAGUAAGGAGAUGACUCGAAAAAGAUUAGUUUGGUAUGUGGUUUGAAUUUUGUUUCCUCCUCUGUUUUUAUAUAUAUAUAGAAGAAAAUUUACCAUUUUUGGUUUCCAAUUUUUCAUAAAUAUAUGAGCUAGUUUUUAAAAUAUUUUUGAAACCUUAUUUAAAAAAUUUAAAGAUUAAAAAUAUACAUUUAUUAAGAACUCAAAAAUCGAAUAAAUCUAUUCUUAUAUAUACAAUGACUAAAACUAUAUAUUUUUAAAAACUUACCGAAAACACACAUAUUCUUUAAAUCUUGAGAAUUGAAAAGAUCAUUUUUCUAUAUAUAUAUUAAGAAGAAUGAAAUUUUUAGUAAAUUUGACAAAAUAUUUACGACCUAUAACAAAUUAUAGUCUAUAAAAGACCAUUGUUGAUAGAAAGAAUAAAAAAGGUUUUAAUAUCGAUACGUUCUACAUUAUUUUAAAAAGCAUGUUGACGUGACACACAAUAAAUAGAAAGAAUAUGAAAAGAUUUUAACUCUCACGUUAUAUUUGAAAAUAUUUUGGGACUAUACAAAAAAAAUCAAAUAUCUUUAAUUAUGCUAAAUUGAUAUUUUCGAGUGAAUUUAUUUGUAUUUUGAACGUUUUCUAAAUUGUUACAAAUAUAAAUAUAUACAUCUCAAUCUAAACUAUAUAUAUUAUAACGUAGGUCAAUUUGGAGGUGUUAAAAGAAGUUGAGUGGAUAUUAAUAAUUUCUACAACCAUGAAAGCUUCGGUGUGUGUGUGUCUAUAUAUAUAUAUAUGUGAAAACUUUCAUAUAUUAUGAAAAUGUGUGUAACUUUGGAUAUGAUAUGAAAUGUAAAUAUCCAUAAAACUUUAGUAUGCAGUAUGUCCCAUUAAUUUUUACUUCUUGAGGACCCACCCACUGCUUCAUGAAAUAAAAUACAAAAAAAAUCUGUCUGUGUGCAGUUUUUUACUGUACAACCCACUCCCAUCCCAUGCCAUUUUACUAUGUAGUAUGCCAUUUUCUUUUUAAUCUUUUGGUAAAAGAAAAUUACAUCAUUUCAAUGGGCUCCAAGAGUUACUACCCCUCAUUCUCAUCUGAAUUCUUUUUAAGUCUCUUCAAAAGGCAAGUGUUGGGGAAAUGACAGUCAAUAUCAUGUAUAUGUACUCAAAUUUGAAGACAAAAUCCCCACUCAGUCGUUUAAUCUUUUAUGUCUCUUAUAUUUGGUGCUGGAGAUGUUCAUUUAACUUGAAUUCCAUGGAAAAUGAGAAAGAAAGAAUGAAAAAAAUUUCUUCAUAUUGCUAAACCAGGAGGGAAGCUAGCUUCACCCCUUGUCACAUUUUUUCAUUUAUUACGAUUGUAUCAUUAUUGUCGUGUUAUACUAUUAUACAAAAGUUAUAUUUAAAUUUAAAGUUUUAUUGUUUGGAUGGUUUAAUUUGAUCAAAAUUAUGAAGUUACUUUUGAAACGAAGGUACGAUGAGAACGUCAAUAACAUGUCAAUCUAGUUGAGAUAUUAGAAUAUGUCUUCUCAUCUCAUGUCUCACUCUUAUACAUUUAUUAAAAAAACAAAAAUAUCAAAAUUAUGAAUAUAUUUGAAUUGAUCAACGGUUUUAUAGAUUGGUAUUUGAUAUACGUGAUUAUUUUCUAGUACUAAAACGUUUGGGCUACUUUUUUUAGUUCAAAUUGUCAACAAAGCAUCAAUCAUAUAAAAAAUAGUGAUAGAUUUAACUAAUUAACUCGAAUGUUUUCAAUGUAGUUGUUAUUUAAUUACCAAAAAUCUAGAAUGUAAGUUUUUCCAAAAGCCUUAUUGUGAAAAUUUACAUUUUCUUGAAUGAUAUUGUUACGAUAAUAUUACCGUCAAUUACGUGUUACUAACUUUUUAGAUCACUUGAAAGGUUCUAAAUUUCACCGGUUUUAUUUUUUAAGAUUAUUUUUUUAUUUUUUUAUUUGAUUAAUUGAACAUACUUAAAAAUUUUAAAUAAUCAAAUAUUCAAAUAAAAAAAUCCUUCUUGAUAAGUAUCUUAAAUAAAAUUGACCAUUUUAUCCGUCAAAGAUGAAAAAUGAAAAUGAUUAAAUGGGUGAAUAAAGAAUUCCACAUCUUUUGCAAAUAGUUUUAGAUGUUUUAUAUAUUUUUUUUUCUAAAAAAGAAUAAAAUUUAAACAAGCUUACUUUAGCAAUAUAUGUCUUAUAUCUUCAUCAUAUAUAUUUGGCAUUUGGCCUUCUGUUUUUUAGCUUUUCCAUGAAUCUUAAUUAGACCAUAUAUCAUUCAAAAUUAAAAUUAAGAAUAUAUAAUAACACCCCUAAUUACACAGUGUAGGAUGCCUAAUGUUUGAUACUCAACUUCAAUGCAUUUUUAUAUAAUAUUAUGCACAAUGGUAGAAUUUUUCAGUCCCUUCAAUAGACUUCAUAUUCAGAUUCUUUUCCAACCUAAAAAUAAAAUUUUGAUUUUGUAUUCCAUAAAUUUAUGAAUUCAAUUUUAGUAGGUCAUUAGCUAUUUAAAAUUCAUCAAUCUACUACACACAAAAUUGAAAGUUUAAAUUUCAUUACACAUAUAUAAAAUUCAUCGGUUAAGAAAAAAAAAACAUACAUUUUUUAAAACUACUAAAUAUUUUUAAAGUUCAAGAAUGAUGUAGCUAACACAAAAUUAAAAGCUUAAAACAAAAUUUGUAAUUAAAUUAAAAUUUUAAAUCAUAUUUUUUUGUACUUUAAAGAAAAAGUUCUCAAUUUGUCAUCGUCUAAAAUAACGUUGUCAUUUACUUAAAUAACGAAAAACGAUCAAGUCAACAAUUUCAAUUAUCCCUUAAAUGGCCAAAAGCAAACAUGUGCCUAACUAAGGACUCACUCCAAAUGGCACAAACUCACUUCAAUUAAUCCUUAAAAGCCAAAAGAAAUGUGCCUAACCCAAUUAAACUUACCCUUAAAGGCUAAAAAAGAGUGCCCAUCUCAUCCAAGUUAACUCUUAAAUUUAAGAUUUAUUAGAUAUUGGAGAAAUGAGUUUCAAUAUUUAUUAAAAAUAUUGAGAUAAAAAUUUGGACAAUUAAAAAGCAUCUCCAUGAAAAUAAACAAAAUUUAAAGUAUGAAUUCAAGUAAUUUUUGUAAAUAUACAUUUUUUAUACACACUUUAAUAUUUAAAAUUUUAAAAUAUCUAUUUUAAUUCUUUCACAAAUCUUUAUUAAAGAUAAUUUUUUUUAUACCCAAUACUCAUAUCAUAUCUUAGGGAACCCAUUAUAUAACUAUUUAAAAUACACUGCAAAAACAAAAUUUGAAUAGUUGUCAAACAUUCUAAUUUUUCUUUCUUUCACCCUUAGAUCGAAAGUGAUUCCAAACAUGUUCGAAACUUUAUUUUUUAAAUUACAAAGAAUAAAAAAAAAGAAAUUAAUCGUCCAAAUUUUGAAUACAACCAAACAAACGGUCCAAAAAAAAAAGAGAUGCAAUAAACCUCUAGAGAUUUUCUUCUUUUUUUUCAUAUGUUUUUUGUUUUUUCUAAGAAUUAUUGGCUGAGAAGAAAAAAUUGUUCAAAGAGACAGCCUCAGUCUGAAUACAAAAGUAUGUUUUAUUAUUCUCUGCUUCGAAAGUGCUAUAAAAACUUUUCCAUUGCAUGAGUUUUUACUAUUUUUUAAAAUGAAAAUAUAUGUGCAUCGUUUAUUAAUUAAAUAUUAUUGAAAUGCAUUCUAAACAACACUCAUUUUUAACCCUAUUUGAUCAUGAAGUCAUGCAUAGUUAGACGUAUCACAAAUGGAUCUUUUCUUUCUCCUUUUUAAUAUUUUUUACUGCAAUAAUUGUAAGUAAUUACUGUUGAUACGUUAAGUUUAUGUUUGUUCUUUAUUUAUGUGUAACAAUUUUGCAUGCUAACCUCCAGUUAUAUGAGUUUCUAUGUUUGAUUUAGUUAAAAGGUUUACUGUUUAAGUUCAUUUAAACACAUGUUUCAUUCUUAAAUCUAUUUGUUUGUUUUAAAUUGGGCUCUUAAGAUUUUAAAUUAAAGUUAUUGUUUUCAACAUAACUUUUCAUUGUAAAUUAUUUUAAUGAUUUAUUAUUAUUUUCAUUAUAUAAUCAACAACAAUCUAAACUUGUUUUGAAAAUUGAAAAGUUGUCCCAUUUCAUGUGCUCAACUAUUCGUCUUUGUAUAGAAACUUUUCUUUAAUCUUUUUGAAGACAUCAUCAAAUUCAAAUUCAUUAAGCUGCCAAAGAACUCUACUCACGUUACUUAAUUAAACACUCAAAUUUAAAAAAGAAAUGAUAAUCACAAAUUAGUUUAACAAAAACUAUGCUAUCAUAACAACUCAAGCCUCAUCUUGGAAACAUAUAUACAGUUGAUAAUAUGAUAGUCUAACCAAACAAUACUAUCCAUCAAACCUUCAACUUUGAAGAAUGGAAUAAAGACCUUAUCCAUUGAAACCCAUGUCGGUGUUUAAGAGGUGUAAAGGAAGUAAAGAGAUAUGGUGUGUGUUGUGGGCAGUGGGAGUAAAUAACAGAAAACACAGGGGGGGUAUUGUGGAAGAAGUUGGGUAAUAUAGAAAAGUAAUGUUAGAGGUAGAGAGGGAGAGGAAGUUGGUGUACAAGUAAAAUGCACUAAUUAAAACAGGUGAAGAGAGAGAGAGAGAGAGAGAAUAAAAAGAAAAGAAGAGGGGGGAGAGGGAGAGAGAGUGAAAAGACAAGUCAAAUGUCAAAUCUAUGGUCUUUGAUAUCAUAAGACAGUCAGUGGGAUGUGCUGUCAAUCCAAUGGAUUUCAUUUCAUUUCAUUUCCUCCUUCCUUCCUUACUUCCUUCCUUUCUAUCAAAACAAUACUAAAAAAUAAAAAUUCCUUCAGUUUUGGAGAGGGCAAAAUAACAGUCUUCUUUUUUCACUACUACUAAAGUUUCAAUGUUUUCAUCUGUAUUUUCUUCAUGUUUUUGUGGGUUCGGUCUUGAUGUGAAAACUGAAUUCUCAUAUAAAUCUAAAGAUGAAACACCAAAACAAACUAAGCAAUAAUGUGAAUAUAAUACUUUAUUACAAAUAACACAUAGCUAUAAUUCAUAAAUAUGAAUAUUUAUUGGAUUCUACUUAUAGAAUUAUUAUUUGUUUACUAAUUUAAAUAAUUUUAUGAGUUUUUUUUAUUCUAUAGUUCUUUUCUCAACACAUUUGAUAUUUUUAUAAUUAAAAUUUUUAUAUGACAAUUAAUAAUAAGUGAAGUAGGUAAAUAUAUAUAUAUAUUAAGAAAAAGAGUAAAUCCAAACCUUCUGAAAAUAUAUUUAUUGUAUUUAAAAAACAUUUGCACGUGCCAAAGAAGUUCCCACGUGCACAUUUUCCUCUUUCAAAAUGAAAUUAAAAUCCAUAGGACCCAUCCAACACUCUUCUCCAUGUCCUUUUUUUUUUAAAAAAAAAUUAUUAUUAUUAUUAUUUCCCACUUUAUUUUUUCUUUUUUCUUUUUAGUAAAAGAAAAAAGUUUCACCCAUUAUAUUUGAAUCAAUAAGAUAAAGUAAUGUUCUUUUUUCAAAAUUUGGCUUCACUCAAUUUCAAAACUUAUAUAUAACGAUUCUAUUUUUGUAAAUUCGAAGGAAAACAAUAAUACCAACAAACGUAUAUACACUAAUAUUAAUACCUACAUCGUUUAAAUUUUUUUAAAUUAGUUUCUAAAAAAAUAUAUAAAACAAUUUAGACCAUUUAUUUUUCUUCAAAAUCAUUCAAAUAAGAUUAAUCUUCUCCAAAAUAAAGAGAAAAAGACAAACGGGAUGAAAAUUGCUCGUAUUUAAUCAAAAUUAACUUACAUUAGGGUUUUUUUUUUAUAUUAUUAUUAUACUUUGAAGCAUUAAUAAAUAUUAUCUCUAAACUUUAGGAUCUUACAAUUUUUAUGUUAUGUAAAACAUAAUGUGAUCAUUAUAAAUCCAUUAAUAUCACUAUUGAAACAUAUAUUAUCAUUUCAUACUAUCUUUAACAACUAAUUCCUAAUUCCUACAGACUACCGACUUUAGAUUCCAGCUAUAUAGUAGAAUUGGAAAUCACUUUGUAAUAAAUUUUGUUAUUUUCAAUUUUUUUAAAGAUUGAUUAUUUUAAAAAAGAAAAAAAAUGAUGAUUACCAUUUAAUAUUGUUAAUCUAGCUAGAACAAACAAAAACAUAACAUUCAAAAUCAUAGUAUAAAAUUAUAAAUGGUAAAGAAAAUGUAAUUUUUAAUAGUAGGUUUUUUCUUUUUUUAGGAAAACAGUAAGUCUAUUUUAGUUACUAUUUCUCGAAUACAAUAAUUUAGUAUUUCUUUAUCCUAACACUACACCAAUUAUUAAGCCUAAGGUUGGAUGUUAUCAAAUUAUACUAAUUUGUUUCCUACAUUAGAAUGAAUUUUUUAAAGCUGUAUUUUCAACUAAAAGUUGCAAAUAUUUAAAAAGUAAUUUUUUUUUAAAAAAAAAAACUCAUGAUUGAAAUCAUCAUAUCUUACAGAUUUUAGUCCCAGCCAUUAGUUAUAUUUGCUGCCAUCAUUUAGCAGUAAUUUUUUUUUAAGAAAAAAGAAGUUUGUAGUAUAAGCCAUAUUGAGGUUAAGACAUUUCCAUCAAAGCAAGUCAACCCACUAAUUAUUUCAAUAAUACCCUGAAUAUAUAAUUGGAGAUCAUAGGUUUACAUCAUCACCCAUUUGAAAAUGUUAAAGAGUAAAUAUUUUAUUUCAUUAUGGGGAUUUAUUAAUGAAGAAGGUUAGGGACUGAAAUACAAAGUUACAUAUAGCAGUCUAAACUAAAGAAAAAAGGCAAAGGGGGAAAAGUAUUAAGCCAUAAAAGAAACACUUUAAAAGCAAAAGUAUAGCUAGCCAGAGAAUGGACGACAAAAUUACAAAUUGUGGAAGGGAGGAAUGAGAUAACGAAAAGGAAAGAAAGCAUGUCUAGAGAUGCUCCACCCUUGUUUAGCCAAAACACUGAUUUUGAGAUUUUGUACGACUCUAAUAGGGUUUAGUGUUAAUGAAGAAGAGAUGGUGACAUACAAAUUGUCCACGUAUAUUCAAAAACUUAAGUUGGUAGGUGGAGACGAAUUUGAUUAUAUAUAUAUAUGUGCUCAAUUAUGAAUGAUGAUUCAACUUGUUCUAUAGAAAACAUGUACAGAAUGGUUGAAAAAUGGUAAGAAAUAUAACAUGAUUUUACUUUUUAAAUAGGAUUGACAUCUCUGUUAUAUUUAAUAAGAAAAAAGGAGGAUUCAUUUAAAAACAAAAAACAAAUUGUUUGUUUAUUAAUUAAAUCCGCAAUAUAAUAGGGAUGUACAGCCGCCCAAAAGAGCCAUCCAUUUUCCAAUUCUCUCAUUCUCUCCAAAAACAAAACACAACCACACAAACAACUUCUCUCAAAGAUUCCAACCUUCCCCCUCUCCAGAAAAAGAUAAAAAAGAAAAACCAGAUGAAAUUCAAAACCCUUUUUCUUCUUGAUCUUAACAAGAAGAGAAACUAACGAAUUUCCAGUAGCGCCCGCGCCACUGUCGCGAUGAGCCAUCUCGAAGACUCUCUAAGAUCCCUUUCUUUAGACUAUCUUAAUCUUCUAAUCAACGGUCAAGCCUUUAGCGACGUGACGUUCAGCGUCGAGGGGCGUCUUGUCCACGCGCACCGAUGCAUCUUGGCGGCUAGGAGUUUGUUUUUCAGAAAAUUCUUUUGUGGGACGACGACGGAGGCGGGUGCGUCAUCCGGGUUGAGCCCGGUUGGAUCGCCGUCUCCGUCGACAGGGAGUAGUAGUACACAAGUGAUUCCAGUAAAUUCGGUGGGGUAUGAAGUGUUUUUGUUGUUGUUGCAAUUUUUGUAUAGUGGACAAGUUUCUAUUGUGCCACAGAAACAAGAACCAAGGCCUAAUUGUGGUGAUAGAGCUUGUUGGCAUACACAUUGUACCUCCGCCGUUGAUCUUGCCCUUCAUACUCUCUCCGCCGCUAGAUCCUUUGGCGUUGAACAGCUCGCAUUACUUACUCAGGUCAGCUCUCUCUCUCUCUCUCUCUCUUUUGGGUUUUUGAUUUCUUAUUAUCCCAUGUGGGUAUUUGAAUUUUUUUUAUGUUGAUGAACUUGUGGAAUUUUUUGAAACUUUUUACCUGAAAAACUAUGUUGAUGAAUUUGUGGAGUUUUUUCUAGGUCUCUUUUAAGUAAUAUGUAUAAUUUCUUUGUUUAAGAAAACACUUUCUAAAUUGAGUUUUUUUUUAAGAGGGUCUAUAUAUUAUGGAUUCAUUUAUACUCAUAUUUUUUGAAAAUUCACUUUCCUCAUUUGGGUUUUUGUUGGAAAUGAAAAUUUUUGAUUAGAAGCUACUCAAUCUAAUUUUUUUAAUGAAUUAAGAUUUUUUUUAUAAUAGGAAAGGGGAAAUAUUAUUCUUUUUAUUAUAGCAUUAUGUGUUUUUAUUUUGGUGUUUGGAUUUUUUUCUCUAUUAUUUGAUUUACUUUUUUGUUUAUUUAUGCAGAAGCAAUUGGCAAGUAUGGUGGAGAAAGCUUCCAUUGAAGAUGUAAUGAAGGUUUUAUUAGCUUCAAGAAAACAAGACAUGCAUCAACUUUGGUCCACUUGUUCUCAUCUUGUAGCUAAAUCCGGUCUCCCACCCGAGGUACUUGCCAAACACCUUCCGAUCGAUAUCGUAGCGAAGAUAGAAGAACUUCGCAUAAAGUCUUCUUUAGCGCGUCGUUCUCUAAUGCCUCAUCACCACCACCACCACCAUCACGAUCUUUCGGUUGCUGCCGACCUCGAAGACCAAAAGAUUCGUCGUAUGAGGAGGGCUUUAGACUCCUCCGACGUUGAGCUUGUUAAACUGAUGGUGAUGGGUGAAGGUUUGAAUCUUGAUGAAGCUUUAGCCUUACAUUAUGCUGUUGAGAAUUGUAGCCGUGAAGUUGUUAAGGCUUUGCUUGAGCUCGGUGCCGCUGAUGUUAACUACCCUGCUGGCCCGGCGGGGAAAACCCCACUUCACAUGGCGGCGGAAAUGGUUUCGCCCGACAUGGUUGCUGUGCUACUUGACCACCAUGCUGACCCAAAUGUCCGAACCGUCGAUGGUGUCACACCAUUGGAUAUCUUAAGAACCCUAACUUCAGAUUUUCUCUUCAAAGGUGCGGUCCCGGGAUUAACCCACAUCGAACCAAACAAGCUCAGGCUCUGCCUCGAGCUUGUCCAAUCCGCUGCAUUGGUUCUCUCUCGCGAAGAAGAAAAUGCCAACGCCAACGCCAACGUCAACGUUUCAUCAUCUCCAAUUUACCCACCGAUGAGUGAGGAUCAUAGCAGUAGUAGCAGCAACAACAACAAUAUUGGUAAUCUCAAUCUCGAUUCGAGAUUGGUUUACCUAAAUCUCGGGGCAUCGGGACGAAUGGGAGGUUCUAGAGUGGACGGAGAAGAUGACAACAGACAUGGAUCACAAGGAGGAGGAGGAUGUAUCCCAACAAUGUACCACCAUUCCCAUGACUUUCGAUGAAAAUUAAGCAUAACAUCAAAAUCUCUUAUUAUAUAAAAAUUUCACAAAACAUCAUCAUCUAAAUUAGAAUUCAAAAGGGGGUUAAAAAUGUUGAUUGAAAAAGGUAACCAAGAUCAUCAGCUAGGCUUUCUUGGGAAUCAAAUUAUCAUUGGAUCAAUUAUAUGUUUACAAUAUGUCAGCUUUGUUUAUUUUUUUAAAAUUUAUCUUCAAUUAAUUCAGUUUUUUUACCUCUCUUUUUCUCUAUAUGCCUUGUAUGUUUUUUUCUUUUUUUCUUUUGUAGGGAUCUUGAGUUGAAGUGAUGAAGGUAUGAAGUAAGAGAAGUACUCAAAAAUUGUGAGAAAUCAAAUGAGAUGAGACAAGAGAAAGAAUCUGACAUUAAAUUUCCCUUUAAAAAAUUUCUUUCUGCUUCUUCUGAUUGGAACACAGUCUCUCAGGUCAAUCUUUUCAAACCCUUUUGGUCUUUUUUUUCAUAUACUUCUAAUUCCUAUUAAUUAAUAUAUCUUUUCUACCCUAAAUUCUAUAUAUAUAUACACAAUAAUACGAUAAUAUAAUAUUCAUUUCAAACUUAUCAUAAUGAAAAACUUUUGUGGGUUCUAAUAAUAAUAACAAUAAAUUAAAACUAUAGUCUAAUUAGUUUAUAUCAUUUUGGGCCCUUUGUUAUUUCAUUUUCCCACUUCUUAAUAUUAUUGUGUCCCCCACCUGCCCUCCAUAAUGCAAAUUAGUGAAUGCAAUAACUUUUGGUUUUAUAUGCAAUGGGAUCUCUCUAUUAUAUCCUAACUUCUUCUUCUCAUGUAUCUCAUUAAUAUUUCUAGAAAGAAAUGUAUUUAAUCGUACUUAUUUUUGUACAUAUCAUUUAGACUAUUUGUCACGUAACAAAUUUUUUUUAUAUUUAUAAUUAAAGUAGGAAGAUGUUCCUCUUAUAACUUUUUUUUUAAUCUUAGAUUCAUGAACUGAGAUUAGGAAAGGAAGCUUAGAAGAAGAGAAGAGAAAUGGGAAUGGGGAAAGAAUAAUAUUUCUCCCAAUAUAAACUUUUUACUACUGCCCAUUCCAAGCUAUAUAUUGGUUGAUAUAUCAAAUUUAUCAUGGGUAGCUUUAUUUUUUUCAAUUGAAGGAUUAUUAUAUUUUAAUUUACUUUGGUGUAUAGUUUGAUUUUAGUUUAUUUAGAUUAUUGAUAGACAAGUAUAUCUAAUAUCAAUUAAUUAUUGAUUGAUUAGUAUAUAAUUGAUUCCAACUAGACAUACAAAAAAAUUAGGAAGUUCAUAUUUCAAUUCAAUUAGGUUUAGUUUUACAUUAUUUGAUCAAAUAUUUUCUUUCUAGAAAAACAUUACAUUAUAAAAUUAAAAAUGUCACUUCUUGUCAAAAUUUUGGCACAUAUGUCUAGAUAAGAUAGGGGAUAUUGACUAAAAGGUUUUUGCUUUUCAAACUUUUUGAGAGAUGGAUUUAUUUGAUUUUUGGUUAGUUGAUCAUAUUGAUUAAUUAAACAUCAUCUAUAUAUUGGGUUAUGGAAAAACUCAAUUUGGGUAUGACCUUGACUAAUAAAAAAAUUAAUUUUGUGGUGAAAAGAGAAGAGAAGUUGUGGCUGUCAUGCAUGAGUGCAACAUUGAAUGUGGCCCAAAACAUUGAUUGAAGUUAUUAAAUAUAUCUAAAGAUGGAUUCUCUUCUUCCUCUAAAUACUCUAUUCUGUCCCCUUUUCUUUUCUUUUUUUUUUCUCUUUCCUUAUUUGGGAUUGGUUUGAAUUUCAAAACCCUAACCUACCUCUUUGUUUCUCUUUUUAUUAUUACAUGUUAUGUUAAGGUUUUGUUUGGUUGUUGUUUUAAUUAAUGUAUUGUGUGUGUUCUUUAAGAAUUUAUUGACCCCAAAAAUUACACCAUAUAAUUUGCUGCCAACCCAUGUAAGUUUUUCUACCCUCUUUAGUCCUUUGUAAAUACCAAAAGUACUUUUGGGAGAUUUAAUUGCUUUGGUGAGAGCAUUUAACUAGGGAGGAAAUUAAAAUGAAGAUAGUUUUAAUUUGGUUAUUUAAUGUUUUAGGAUUAUUGUAAUUCAAUCAUGUGGAGUGAGGAUUUGAUAGUUCCUCUAUUCAGUUAUAUAGUCAACUUUGAUUUGCAUGUUUGGUUGUCGAUAAAGUGUUUUGGUUAUUGUAUUUUUCGAAAUGGCUCGAGUGAAAUUAAUGAUUUCAAGAUGUCUCGAUACUUGGAGGAGUUACUUAUGUGUUACUCAAGUUAUGUUUAGGUCAAUUUUGUUUUAUGUUUUUGUUAUAAUAGAUAUGUAAAAUAGACGUUCGUAAGGACCAUUCUAGUCAAUUAUGCAUGUUCAUUGUUACUACUUUGAGUUAUUUGGUAAUUAUACUACUUUUACUAUUUAUCAAAAGCUCGUACGUAUAUCGCUCAAAAGCUUAUGCGCUACCUAUUAGACACUUUUAAAAUGACUAACUAAUGUUGGAUUGCAGGGUUUGUAUACCUUCUGGGUUGUUUGAGAGAAGGAUCAAAAUUGGGUGUUUCUCUCAUCCCUUUAUAAGUUAGUGUUAAAUAAUUUUCACUUUCAAUUCGUACAUUUAUCCAUUAACAUCGUCUUUCCUACCUUCUUUCUUCCUAUUUUCCUAACUUUAAGACUAUGUAAUAACUCUCCACGCACCAUUAAAAUUCACUUGAUCAAUGUAUUCUAACAGCCCCAAAAGACAUUAACUCAUUUCCACUAUGAUUAGUUAGAUAAGUCAUAAGUGGUAAAAUUUCGAAAGACGUGCUUAAAACAAAUGGGCAAGGCAAAAAGAAAAUGGUACACUAAUUGUAUAGUCUUGGAAUGUAAAUAAAAGAGGGAAAAUAUUCUUUUUUUUCUUGUGUUUUAAUUCCAGUUACUAUUUGAUUCUUAGGUUUGUAAUGUAUUUUUGGUAUUACGUUUUAAGUUUUGAGUUGUAUUUCAAAUUAAUUCUUAAAUUUUAACAUGGUUACAAUUUUAUAUUUGGGAGGUUUGAGUUUUAUUUUUUUUAAUUUGAUACGAAAGUUUCAGCUUCUUUUACUUUCAAAGUCAUAUUUAUCCAACUUCAACAAUAUUUGAUAUACAUAUACACUUUUCUUCGAAGUAAGCUCAUAUUAGUUGUACUUUAAGAACAAAAUUAGUCACUCUAAGUAUAACUUAGUGGAAAAAAAAUACUAAUAUCAAUUUUUACAAACCUCAACGGUUUGAUUGUACACACUACAAUUAUUGAAUCGAGACAUCGACAUUUUAAAUUAAGGUCAUUUACGUUGUAUUGUAUGUAUACAAUACAUAAGAAUGGACUAGGAGUUUAGAGACUCGAUCACAUAUAUACAUAUAUUAUAGCUUUAGUGUAUAUUUGUGGUGGAGGAUUAUUAAAUACAAGCAUCCCAUUAUCUCUAUUUGGGCGUGUUGUUGUUGAUUAUUUAUUUAUUUACUUUUUAAAAGGGUGUUGCUGAAGUUAUGAUGCCUCAUUAUUCAUUUAAUUAAACUUAUACAUAGUUGAUUAUUAGAGGGAUUGAAACCUUAUUGAAAACUAACACAUCUACGUACGUCUAAGUUGGGUUUGCUCAUUAUUUUGUGUUUGAUUAGUUUAUAAAAUAUUUGACUAAUAGGAUUCACUGGAUAUAUAAUGCUCGAAAUCUAAUCAAAUAAUGGUUAGUUUUUUUUUUUUUUUUUUCCUUUUUUGUGUUUUAAAGAAAGAGCAGAAUAAAAAGCUUUAACUUCCUUUUGCAUAAUUUUAGCUUUUGUUAGGUGUAUGAAUUUGGGAGAUUAAUUAUUCUUUGUCAUUGCUUUCACAAAGCACUAAAACUUUGGUCUAAAACGGAAGUUGGGACACUGACUUUUUAGAGUGUUAUGGAAUAUAUAAAGAUUUUGAACCAACACAAAUUAGCCAAGUUGAUAGACAACCAUAUGCUAAUGUUGGCAAUGACACUUUUUAAUCAAUUUGGCGGGGCACCAAACUCAAUUCAAAUCAAAUUAUAGCUAAACCACAACAUUAAUCAAUAUAAUUAUAAAAAAAAAUACCACUAUCUUCUUAUCAUAGAUACACAUUGUAGUCCCUUUCGAUGAACUUAUAUUGUGGGUGAUAAAUUGACACUAUCUAGAGGUUUUGAUAUAAUCACUAGUCUUUACCUUCUCUAACUAACUUACUUGUCCAUCAAUAAAUGAGAAUAAAAGGUAAAAUAAGAAACUGAGAUGAAUUUAUACAUUCUUAAAAGUGAUUAACUGAUAGAAUUUAGGACGUUUGGAAUAAUUGAAUUCUAGUCAAGAUGAGCACUAAACAAAUGUAUGCCCUAUCACUCCCACUUGUAUUGGUUUUUCCAUUGAGUCCUUCAAUAGGGUAUGUGGAAGUGGAACCCAUCCAUCCUCGAGUACAAUAAAAAGAUGAUAAAUUCAAACUAUAGACCUUUUGUUUUGCUAAUACGUCAGGUAUGUAUAUGAUACAAAUCUCUCAAGUAACAAAUUAAAUACAUAUAUAUUCUCAAGAAUAAAUAAAUAAAUAAGUAAAAAUAAAGUGGUUCUUAAAAAUGGGUUUAUUAAUCUCUACUUUUCUCAACUACACAUUAGACACUUGAGUAAAUAUUCUAAUUUUUUGACAUAAUUCUAAAUAUAGUAACAAGAAAAGGGCAGUUAUGUCACUAAAACUUUCUUUGGACGAUUCAGGUGUAGCCUUGUUUACUUGGAGGAAGCUCAAAAAUUAGCCAAAACUCCCGUUCAUUCAGCCUUCUCUCGGACACAGUCUUCUUUAUGAAACAUAGCAUAUUGAUCCUCAAGUCCUACAUUCAAAGACCAAUCAUGUUGGUAAUAAUAGGGAUAUCAAAAUGCAAAACUAAACACUACAAUGCAAGUAGAGGGAAUCUCUAUAUUAUUUUCUGGUUCUUUAAAAUAUUAGUUCACGGUUGUUUUAUUUUCAUUAUCGAACAUUGGGUAUUUACAUUGACAAGUAUUUGAACACAUGUUGUGAGUCAAACAUAAAGUUUUCAAAUUUUUGUUUAAUGGUGACACUAUGAUAGAACCUAAAUAUACCAAUAUAAAUGGUAACCAAACUAUAAAAUAAACUAAAGUUUUUUCCAAUCUUGAGAUUAAUCUAAAGCCCUAGUUUACUCACCAAAAUAUUGCCUACCCUCCUCAUUCCCCUACCAUAUUUAUAACCAAGAAUAACAAACUCUCUAGCUAAUUACUAAUUACCUUCAAUACUCGGUCCCUGAUGCCAUCUCUAUCACACUAAUCACAAUGAAAAGAGACCUUGUAUUUCUUAUCAGGAAAGAAACAUAAGUUGAGUUGGCUGGGGAAGAAACAUUUAUACUUUGGGCAAAUUGAAAAAAUGGGAGGGGAAGUUGUUGGGAUUUUCUUCAAGUGUUUCUAUGCGUUUAAGUUAUAAAUGGUGAGAUUUUUUAAAUCCUAUGGUUUCAUCUGAACAGAAGUUUGAGGGAUAACCUGUUGAAGAGAACAUCUGUACAACAACCAAGAACUUAGGUAAUUGCCCAAAACUUCUUUCUACAGAUCAGCACAGAUUCUGGGUUAUUAUCUUUCGUUUGCAGUGUCUGCAUUUCAACAUCCCAUAGAUAUUUGGAAGCAAUUUCUUGUAUUCUUGAUGUUAUUGAAGGUUCGUCUCUGAUGAUUAUGUAUCCCUGUACAUGAAAAUGAUUCAAAGACAAUUUGAAGCAUAAAUUAGAAACAGUAGAAGAUAUGCCAAUAGGCAGAUUACGCUUGCUUCUCCCUUCCUAAAUUUUAGCAUUAUGGGAGGAGAUCUCCGUUACAAAGAACUUUGAUAACAGAAAUGUCAUGCCCAUGAAAUCUUACAAGAACAGAGAAAUGGAUACAUCAUACAGCAUUACGGUGACAUGCUAUUUUCUAAAAAUCUAGACAUACUAAGCAUUGUUCAGGACAUGUUUAUUAGAAUGUGCAUUUCUUAGAUAUACAUUCUUUAGAUAUUCGUUAAAAAUUCCUGUGCUAACCCUUUUAACUUAAGAUAUUUUCAUGCCAGAGAUAAUGUAAAAGAAGUAAAGAUAGCAAUACUUGAAGAGUUUGGAGAAACUAAUGAACUAUUUCUCAUGGUACAAUGACUAAUAUCAAACUUUUCAAAUGCAUAGAACAAACUAACAUUUUUGUUGAAAUUUAAAGCGACAACAUGGAUUAUAUGUGCUAGUAAAAAAUUAUAUAGUUAGACAAAAAGUUUAGUCCAUGAACUUGGAUGUAUUUAAAAGAUCUUUAAAUGUUAAGAAGCUCCAACGAAGGGCAUUUUUGGCCCAAAGAGUAGGAGAUUAGGGGAAGUGGAGUGGACUUCCCUCCUUGUUUGGUCAAAGAAGCUUGUGGACCCCACACACUUAAACAACUCUCCAAUUUUAACAACUACCCAAACUAAACAACUUCACUCCUUACCCAAAUGCCCCCCCCAUAAAUCUCAAAACUUUUAGUUUUAUGUUCCAUAUGUUCCUUAACUUUAUAAAUGUUUAAAUCCUUCAUCUUUCAUUUUUUUAUCUAUUAAGUCAUUGUCAUUGAUUUAUUAAUCAAACAUUUUGUAAACUAUUAAACAAAAUAGAAAAUUGAGGGCCUAUAAAAUGAUUUUAAAGUUCAAAAACUUGUCGACACAAAAUUAAAAGUGUAUAAACCUAUUAAGCUAUUACAUACUCUUUUAAGUUGAGAGAUUUAUAAAACACAACUAAAGGACUAGACUUAAAUUUUUAAUUAGACCUUAGGGGGCGUUAAAGACAAGGACUAUCCUAAGACUAUAAUAACUACCUCUUGCUACAGCUACAGUGAAUACUCUUUUAUACUCCCAAUUUAGCUGAAGUCAACACUAUUUCAAAGGCCCUCAUUUCCUACAAUAUUUACUAUUUGCUAAAGUUUUUACUAUUUUACAUUUUCAUUAAUUUUUAUUAUUUACUAGUCUCCUAUUUCCUUCUCAAACUAAAGUAGUUUACACCUCACACGCAUACUUUUAUAACCCAAACUAAAAUAAUCUACGUACCAAACACAAACUAUUAUAACUAAUCUAUAAUAACCAACUCCUUGUCCCAAACAACCCCCUGCUAAUUUUAUCCUAAUAUUUGUCCAUGUUUGUACUUUCUAUAUUAUGUGUGUAUAAAUAAAUAAAAUAGAUACUUUAGGUCCUUCAUUUGUUUAGUAGGGUCGUAAUUUCUAUAAUUUGACAUGUAUUUAUUAUACUUAAGCGUUCAAUUCGAGUCCAAUCAUUUUUAGACUCCUUUAAUUCAUUCAAUUUUUGUUAAUGAGUGUCAAACUUGUGUCUAUCAUACUUGAGAACUGUUGGACACAAGUACAAUAAGGAGUAGUGUGGAUCUGACGCAGACACAUGCGUAAGCUCAAAUGGAAGUGUCCAUGCUUCAAAGCAAAUCUUAUUUAGUUCACCAAAUGCACAAGGGUCGUGUUGUGAUGUCCUUUUUGUUUCCUGUUAUUGUUUCAGAUUGUUGAGAAAUGUGUGUUUGGUAGUUUUUGUAUUUUGUCAAGGUUGAUUGUUCCUUUUUAUUUCAUAAGAAAUAUCAAGAGUAGAUUCCAAAAAAAGGAACAAGAACAGCCUAUAGGCCGACCACAGGGUCAAUUAUUACAUGACUCUGGUUUCUUGUUUUUAAGAAAUAAUUUUAAAAUAAAAGACACGGCUAGAGAUUUGAUUUCUUCUCUAAUUUUCAUGGUAUAAAAAUUGAAGUUAGAAUUAUUGUCUUAUCAAGUUCAGUCACAUAAUUCAUAAUAAAUCCAAAUUAUUUUGACUAUUUGAAUAUUUAAAAAAAACAAAUAAAGUUUUCUAUUAAUUUAAAGUUCUAAAAAAAAGGAAUUUCCAAACAUAUUUCUAUUUCUAUAAGACCAAAAUGCAUUUUUGUCUUACUUUUAAAAUUUUGGAAAACAAAAACCAAAUAUUGAGAAACAACAAACAAGAGAGGUAAACAGAUUAAUCAAAACUUUUACGAUGCUAAACACAUAGGCAAAAGAAAAUGCAUUAUGCAAGCAAUGGUAGCAACGGUUAUACCAGAAAAACGGAGGUCUCAAGCAUAGCAUCAAUAUCUGCCAAAAGUAAUUUCCCUAGUUUUGUCUCUUCUUGUGGCUAUUACAAGCUUGAAAAUUGAAGGAAUCAAAUUAAUUACCUGAGGUCGUACAAUGCGGUCCAUUUCCAACAUUAUAUCCUCCAGCAAGCAACCCUCUCCACCACUUUUAUACUGAGAAAAUAGACGGUAUGCAUGCAACAAAUCGUAUGUGCGCGGAUAAGUUGAAAAUGGUUCACACCUACAUUAUAAGAGAUAUUAGAAAACCAAACAUUCAUUAAGAAAAACGAAAGAAACCAAACGGGCAGUAAUAAAAACAAAAACAAAUAAACAAACGAACAAAUCUAUGCAUAAGAGACCUAAGACGCUAACCAAAAAAAGCAAGAAAGCUGACCAUGGCUCAUACCUUUCCCGAGACAGCCCCCAAAAGAGUUCUAUUUUUUUUCCCAAAGCAAUAGAAGUGUUUGCAUGCCAAACAGUAUAAUACUUCUAAUAUUUGGAAGAUGUUGGAGAACAAAUAACUUACCAAUCAUGAAAGACACCAACCAGGCCCCGGUCAUAUAUAGCAGAGAGCGUGUUUUUCAUCUUUAUAGGAACUACAUUCAUAACCCAGACUGGAAAAUUGUUCAAUGCCACUGCAAAUCCACCAUAGAGAGCAUUCAUGUCCAUGACAUUUCGAAUAUCAGUUUCACUGACAUUCAUCAGUUUCCAGUACUGGUUAACUUGAUCUUUCCAAUAUAAGGUAUCCAAAUCAAAUUCCUCUUGACUAACACCUGUGAUUGAAGACAACAAUAUCAUCAUAAAACACAGCAAUCAGAUUUUCUAGGUAAGAGAAAAUAGAAACUAAGAAUAAUCGAGGCACUUCUUAGGAAGGAAAACUAACAAAGGUUCACCUCGUACAAUUUGCUAGCUCAAUGGUUUUAACCAAUACCAUUAAUAAAAAAGAUUGAUUUACUCAAGACUGAGAAUAAGAAAUAAUUGGAAGGAAAUCAAUGGGAAUAGAAGCGGUAAUCCUAUGUUUACUUGGAAGUAACUAUAAAUAGACUUAGCAGCCUAUGCGUGCCACUUAUUACAUUAGAAAUAAGAACAAGACAUUACAAUUACCGAAACGUUCCUUCAACACACCAACGAACUAAGAAUAUAUUAAUCAUAAAAAAUACCAAUAGAAUUUUGGGUCGUUUUCAAAUAUAGUAAAAUUAACCAAAAUAUUUACAAAUAUAGUAAAUAUCACAGUCUUUGUCUACAUAUGUCAUGAUAGACACACGCACAAUCUAUUGCAAAUAGUCCUAUCUUGUUAUGUUUGUAAAUAUUUUCAGGAGUGGUAUCAUUUAAAAUUAUUUUCCUAAAAGUUUUAUAUUAGAAGAAUACUUAUUAGUAAUAAAUUUUAAUUUAUUUUAUUGUCCAUAAAUAGUAAUAAAAUAUAUCUCAACACUUAUUUGAUUCAACAAAUAAUAACAAACUAAAAAUAAAUAAUUAACAAAUUAGGUAAAAGUCUGAAAUCAUGGAUAGUAAAGGCUCAAUUGGAGAGAAAAAAAAGGAAAGGAGUGUUGUUAAAUAUUCGUCAUUUUCUGGACAUUCUUUUCAGUCUAAUUUUGAAUUAACAGUUGAGGUUCAAUGAUAAAUAGUCUUGAAAUCCCUUAGAACUUUAAAUAGUGAUAGAUUAAAUAAAUAAAUAAGCUACCAUUCCAAACAGUUUUUUAAAGUGAAGACAACUACAUCAAGUUAUCAAAGUUAUUAUUCAAAAGAAAAACACUCAGGAAAUCCACAAAUAGGCCACCGAGAUAUAAUUUCUGCUUUUGAAUGAGAGCUUGGUGAAUUGAAGAACCAAAAACAACUAGGAGGAUUCCUUUAGAAAGAAAAGGUAUACCUAUUUUCCGUAGAUUCCUUGAAUAUACUGAAAGGCGCUCUGGUCUUGGAGGUAACUUCUGAGCAUAUGACUGAUCAGUUACGUGAAUACAGUUUCUUAAAGGUAUUUUCCAUGAUGGUUGAAAAUCAUCCACAGCAUCACAUAUUUCCACAGCCUUAUUCUCUGCAUUGAUGAUGAGGCAUGCCGGAUUUUCCUGUUUGAUCCAGAUUGCAGUCUGAACCUUUCUGGCAAUGAGCUUCCAGCACAUUGCUGUAGUCAGAUUCACCAGUUUCUCCCAUAUCAUUGGGUAUUCUUUAUCUUUUCUAUAGGCAGGGGGUGCUGAAUAGACAAAAUAUCCAUUUGGUCGCAGAAGCCGAUCAACUUCUUUGAGUAAAAUACCAUCUGCAAGAAUAAAGACAGUGAAAGUUUAAUGACUUUCAAGUAUAAAUCAAAACGGUAAAAUUGACAAGAUUCAGGGUGAAGGCAUAUGAGAGCCUUCAUAAAAAAUUCAGUGUAUCAUGUCACAUUAUCACCCAAAAAGGAAUCUGAACUUAUUCAGCACUGACAAAGUAAACAAGUAGCAACUUUCUUACAGUUGGUAACUAUAAACGUGGACAUGGAUAAUGGCAUUGUGGUCUUCAUUUAUCUUAAUGCUGCUCUAGAGGUUUCAUAAGAUCAUUAGUCCUUUUUCCGUUAUUUAGAAGAUAAACAUAAAUAUUUUCUCUUCUUUUCUUUUUUCCAUCAAGUGACAAAAUUUCUCGUGGAAGAGAUGAAUAAAGAUCAAUGCUCAAAAAUGGCAUACAAACUCUCUAUAGCGCAUAAAGAAAAGUAGCAAGUGAGAAUAACAAAUAAUAAGUAAUGGCUGUUCAUAAAGAGUACUGGAAUACCAUUUUCAUGCCAAUCAACACGACACCUAGAGCAGUGGACCAUCUCAAAGGAACUUGUGGGAUACGGCAGUUGAUUUGUUGCCAAGGCAGAAAUCAUUGCACCAAUACCUCUCUCUAGCGCAAAUUGAAUCUGAUUCUCAUGCCCGUCCUUGGGAGCAAAGGACAUCGUUUGGAUGCCCAAUGAAAGAAGAUAAGCUGAGAAACUAGCAACGCCACAACCAACAUCUAAAACCUGAUAUACUCCAGCAGAGCUCAGAGUGCCUGUAUCAUUUGUAGUCAUGUUUCCUAAUCUGCGUUAGAAUAAAAUUUGAUCAAUAGAACAGUCUGAGAAGAAAAUCUAAUCAGUAAUUCAGAUUGAUCAUAAAUACAAGGAAUCCAUUUUAAUAUUACUUCCCAAAUUGAAAAUCAAAUUAGAACAGCGGAAGGAUGAAUAUGAACCGACUGAUUAAAGGGUAUGAGUAUAUUCACAUCCCAAUAAGGAAACAAAAUAAAGAGGAAAAGGGAAGAUUCAAUAAGAGGCAACAACGCUACCUUUGGAUGUACUCAGGCGCCCCAUGUUUGAAGUGAGUACCACCUCCAGGAAACCACCAUAGUUGGUCCUUCUCAUGGACCCAAUUUUGUCCUCCUUUAACUUCAGCAAGGCGUGUGUGAUUCACAUUACUUCGCCACACAUAAUCCCGACUGGUUGGCCACUUUACUGGGAUCUUGUAGUCUUCUGGUGGAGGUACCAAACAAAACAAGCGGUUAUCAAGUGGAGGGCAGUGCCUCUCGAGCUCUUCUUUUCUUGAAAGAUCCAAUGUAGGAAUCAAUUCUUUUAUGUAAGAAAUGUCGUGGCAAGGAAUAUACUCGGUGUAGUUUAAAGGACAUACAUCCACACCAUUCUCUGGAAUCGAAAGUGGUACCUUCCUGUAAGUGAUUGAAACUUGGUUUGGAAUUGUGGAAUUUCCUGCAGUAUAAGAGAUAAACUUUGAGACAAGGAAUUGAUUGCAACGAUAACUUAAAACCUUUAAAGUUCCUAGAAACACGGAACAAUUUCACAAACCCAGAAGGAACACACAUCAUCUGAAAAAGGGAGUGUGUUAAAGAUGAAGGAUAUACAAAGAACAAGUCAGAUAUUGCUUUGUUAGUUUGACAUUUCUUAGGCCACAUCUUUGACUUGAAAUAAAAUCAACUAAAUUCUAUCAGAGGAAAAAAUCGUCAGAAGACGAAUUUUAAUGUGAAGCUGUAACGUUUCAGAGAGAAGUCAAAUAGUAUAUUUAAGAAAAAAAUAUGUAUUUAUCAUUAAAAUUAAGGAAGACCCAUUUCAUUUACCCACUAGACUAAUUCAAAAUGUUGAAGUGGAUGAAGUUUGAGUUUGAUUCCCCUUCCUCUAAGCAGGAAAAAGUUAGUGGUAACACUAGUCUUAAUCACCGUGUAGAUAAUUAGUUCACUAAGCAUCUCCCUUCCAAGUUACACUUUCCUUUCCCAACUGAUAACGGGUCUUCCUUAAGAAAGUAAAGCAUCACUGCCAGAAACAAAGCAACCACCAGAUAUGCUUAAUUCUCUUAGUCUCUACACUAGUCAAACAAUCAAGGAAAUAAAACAAGCCAUCAACAAACCCAAUCCAGAACGCAGAUAUCCAGCAGAGCACAAGGAAGAAUACAAGAUCCGAAGCAUAAACUCGAGCAUUAAUUGAAUAGAGAUAAAACUUAAAAGCAAAAAAGUUAAUGAAUUUGGAUUCAGUUUUCGAAGAAACAACAUAGAGAGAGGACAGUACCGAGUGAUGAUGAAGAAGUGGAAUUGGAAGGAAGGUGAGAAACGUAAAUAGGAACAUUGUCGCCAAAAAGAGUACCAAAAUAAAAAGAUCCAACCAUAAGUAAGAGAGCGAGCAUUAUCAUCUGCCCUGACUGCAAAGCAAAAAAAUAACCCAAGCCAUAGGAACUGGCCAUUGUCUUCUUUCUUCCCUCCACAGAGCUUGGAUCUCGGAAACGAGCUGGAAAAUUGAAGAAUUCGUCAAGACCCAAAUGACAUUGCCAUUUGAGAGAGAGAUCGGAGUAGGAAUAGCUAUGAAUGUGGAAGUAAUUUGAAGCCUAAAGCUGAGAUUUCAGGAAGAGAAUAUUUUCAGUUUCGAUUCGAAGAUUUCACCGUUCGCUUUCACAAAUCUUCACUUCUUUAAUUUGUAGAGACGACAUACGUAUUCUCCUAAAAUAUUUAUAGUAAAUACUAAAUAAUUUGUUGAGAUACGUUUUUAAUUCUUUUUUUAAUUGUUCUUUUUUACUGUUGUAAAUAUUUUACCAAAUUCAAUAUUUUCUUAAUGAUAUACAAAUAAGGUUUAAAAUAUCAUAUUAUAACCCUCAAAUUUAUACAAAUUUGAUUAAACAUUAAUAAAACAUAUCUUUCAAUAUAUUAUAAAAACAAUUUUACCAUAUUUGAAAAAAAUUAGUCCAUGAUCCAUAAUUUGGAUUCCGACGUUUUUCUAUAACUUGACUUAUUAAAGUAAAAGUGUCUCUACAAACCAACACGAAUCUUUUUAUCAUACUUUGUCAUAACUCACAUAGAAUUAGUCAGAGUUCCUAUAAUCGAACUAUCGUACACCGAUUCAUUAAAAUCUCCCUCUUAAGCUUAGAACAUUAUAUACAUAUAAUAAGAUUCACGAUGUUUAGCAUUUAGAAAUUCAUCAUGAAGUAACAACUAUUUAUCAAAUAUAUUGAUAAGACAAACAACAAUAUCGUUUUAGUAUUAUCAAUAAACAAAAUCAUGAUAUUUUCGAUACCUUAGUAGUGUUUUAAAUACUAGCUUUGACAAUCUUAUCAAUUAAUUUUUUUUUGUGUAAUUUCUAACAAGAACCAACUAAAUAAGUUGCCAAUAUCAUAUCACACAAGUCCCAAUAAGAGAUAAACUUCAUUUUUAUCAUUAUAUUCACAAACAUGUCUUUCAAGAAUAAACAACAAAUUUAAACUCAGACAAAUGUAAUAAUUUAUUUACAAAUCUCCUAAAACAUUCACUUCAAUUUCUAUAAAAUAUAAAAAACAUUCCACAUAAAUUACCAUUUGCACACAACCCUUUGGGCAACUUUCCAAAUCAAAUGAUCCAUGUACAAGUUUUAGAAUGAAUUAUCCAUUAGCUUUUUAUGUUUCAACCUCAUGAAUGUUUAAUUCAUUUAUGUACGGUAUUCAUUCAAUAACUCAACAAUACCACUUUUCAAUCCCUAAACAUAAUUCCAAACAAUGGAUGGUUAAACAUAUAUGCUUUUUAAUUUGAUUUAAAGAGUAUUACUUUUUGUAUUAUGAUCAAUGAUAACUUUAUCUUUUUUUCUCUCUCUUUCGUUCGUAGAUAACAACCUAACAAGCAACGUACACAAACUAGCCAAAAGGAGGGUAAAACUAUUAAGGAUAAAGACAGCCUAAAUGAUUAUAGACUUUCGAACUUCUAGUAUUUAAUGUGCUAUACAGUGGCCCAAUUAAUUCUAAUUAUGAUGACAAUGAAAAAAAACCAAUAAUUCUCACUUUGUUCCUUGACUAAUCUCAUGAGACAACCCGUUUAACCCUACAACAUUUGAGUAUAUAUUAAGAAAAGUUGUAGAAAAUUAAUUAUUUGGUAGGUGGCCUCCAUGAAUUGAACACAUGACUCAAAACAAUCAAAUUCAACCAAAAUAUUUGAGAUUGAUAGGAAAAAACAAACCGAACUCUGAUAGAGCAUAUCAUCAUUCAUUUAAGAACCUUCACGUCAUGAAUAAACUUGAAACAUGCAUUACAAACUUAUCCUAGAUGGGCUUGAAGCACUCAACCAAGACCUCCCGAGUCCGAAUCGAAAGAAGAAGAAGAAGAUGGCAAAGUAACAUAUGUGCUCAACUUUCAACAAGGAACCCGAAGAGAAUGCCAACCAAUCAUGGGAGUGUAUUGUUAAUUGGAAUCAUCUACUUAGCUUUGGCAUAUCGUGUCAAAACUCUACAAUACAUUUACCAAUCAAAACACUAAAUAGGGUUGGAAUUAAUCAAGUAGAUCUUUGAGAAAACAUCACUCACGUAAACACUCUACAAAAUCUAAAAGAGAAAAACAAAAAGAAGAGGAAAGAAGAUAAAAACGAAUGAAAUUGAAAUUAGGAGAGAUGGAUGAGCCAAAGAAAGACUAGUUACUACAUUAUGCUUCUAAACUUGUAAAGAUAAAUAAUACUCCAGCUUGUUUGGGCAGAAGGGACGGCGGUCGGUUUCUCGGGUCGUCUGGAACACCUUUCAGAAACAAAACCAGGUUUUCCCAAUUCGUAGCGUCGUUUCUCAUCGCCGGUUCCGCCAUAUUCAAAUUUCUCUCCAAUUCCGACAGGCAAUUGAUCAAUUACAGGAAAGCUUUCGAAAUUUGAAACUUCCGGCGAUGCCGACUUCUACUGCAGGAAUUGCAGGUUCAGGAGAUUCGUCCAAUACUAUAAUUGGUUCUAGUGCUGAAGAUAAAUCCCUCAAGGAAUCAGCUGCUGCUCAAUCUCAAUAUCGUGCUCAAAAUGAAGUGCAAGAACUUGAAAAGUCUAGCAAACAACUUUAUCCUUGCCAACCGGGAGAAGCUCAGGGUGCUGUGGCAAUACCUGCUGAUCAAGAGACAAACCGAAGUUCCGGGAACGAUCAGAACAUUGUUCCCCAUCAUGGUACGUUUAACAACAUUGCUGUCUCAUCUUCUAGCAACUUCAGGUCGAAUGUUGACGAUGCGAGAGACAUUGACAUUGCUGUUCAGGAUGCCGUGUUAAGGGAACAGGUAUGCACGAAUAUAUUUCAGUUUUUCAAAUUCCUUAAAAAAAAAUCAGCUUAGUUUUGAAUACUAUAAUGUGAUGACGCCUCCAUGUUCUGUUUCACAUUUAAUGGAAGUUUUGGUUAAUCGUCUUUUAAGUUUUUGUUUGCAUUGGUGCUCCCCUUUCAUCGUAUCCGUUCUGAUGGGGACUAAUUUUAUGGUUUUUUAGAGUUCAGAGACUAGAUUUCUAUAUUUUCAAGUUUCUCAAUCUAUACACCCCUAUUAUGAUGAUAAAUGAUAUGGACGGAAUGGUGAGAAAUUUCUUUUGGAAGGGGGAGUCUUUCAGACGGGUAGUCAAUUGACUAAAUAGAGCUGAACUUUUCUGCCUCUUCAAUAUGGGGGUCUUGGGCUGUCUGCAGCAAAGGAACAAGGCCAUGCUCCUUAAAUGGCUUUGGUGCUUCAUCUACGAAGAAACUGCCUCGCAGAGAGUUGUGAUUGCCUACGAAGAAACUCCCCUGUGCAGAGUUGCGAUUGCAAGCAUAUUGGUCUUUGGUGUGGGCUGUCUUGUCUCGAUGAGUGACAAUUAGAUUGAGGGUUGAGAUUGAUAGUGCUUAUUUGUCCGUAUGGAAUUGUAUUUUCAUUAUGAUUGAUACGCGGUAGUAGAGGCUUUAAAGGAAGUAACUGAAACUAUUUCAACGUGCAACCCAUUCCUUGUUGACUAAGAUGAUCUGUGUUGAGCUUGACUUGUAUGGUGAAACAAAGGCUGGGCGUGGUUGUUAAGAAUCUCUAUUGGCACUUGUAGAGGCAGAAUCCUUUUCUUUUGCAUGCAUGGCUAAAGGUUAGUUUAGGUAUGGAAUUCUUAUUAAUUUUUGCAGGAGUCCUUUGCAUGAUCAAAACAUUAGUGCUUUGGAACAGAUUGGGAGAGCUUGCAGGGAUAAUUGCUAUGAAAACAUUAAGGAAUUUAAACCGUAUUGGAACCUCCAUUGAGGUUGAGAACAAUUACUGUGGCUUUAUCCUCGCUGAAAAGUAGCAUAAUGACAUAAUUCGGAAGUUAUUCUAUGGUUAGCGUAGGGGAAUUGUGUGUGUGGUGGGGGAACCCUAAACACUCAUCUUAUAGAUUAAAAAUAUUACUUGCAACUUGUUUUUUUUUAUAGAAUUGACAUGUUGCUGUUUGUGUCCACUGUCCGGUGUCCACGUCUAUGCUUUCUAAUUGGUAGAUUUUGUUGGAGGGAAACAAUGUUUCCAAUACGAAGAGGAAGUUGCACCUAUCUGGGGAUUUUGGUUCUCUUUCAGCUUCCUGAUGGUGCCUCAAGUCUCCCAUACAUUGACAUUGGAGAGAAUUAUAUAUUUAUUUUAUUUCUUCUUGAAAUUUCUUUAGCUCUCCAUUUGUAAUUUUAUUCAUAAGCAAGACACUGUUUCUUAUCUAUGUAACUAAAUUAUUUUAGUUUUCAAACACUUUAAUUAGUUUUUUUUUCCCCUAACAGGAACUUGCUACCCAAAAUAUUAUUCGUAGCCAAAGGUGAUGGUUCUUCAUUUGUUUUUGAGUUAUUACAGUUCAGAUUGAUAAUGAAAACUAAAUAUGUUACCAUCCCCAGAGAUUCCGUGGGUGCAGAUGGACUUCCGGUUGAGCGAUCAGAUAUCUUUUCAGAACGUUAUGACCCGAGUUCUCUUAAAGUAUGUGACUUUCUACCUUUAUACAACUUUUGUUCAUAAAUUUUCUUUAGAAUGUAGAAUAGCCGCAUGCUUACACCCAUCAAUAGAUUUAGUUGUAUGUCAUCACUGCCUCCAUGGUCCCUAUUUAUCUACUUUCAUGAGAAAUAAAUGUCUUAUGUCAAGUUUAUGUAGAUACGAAAAGAGGAACUAGGUUUUGUAUUACAAUUUGAGAACAAUAUUGCACUUUGAUGUUUAUUUUAACAAGCCCAUUUAUAUGAGAACUUGAAGAAAAAAAUUCAUUAGUUAAGGCAGUUAGUUUAACAACUAAAAGGAAACCAAUCCUUAAGUAACUAACCUAACAAAAAGAAAGCGUAAUACACAUAGUAUGUGUAACGUCUGCGUUUAGGAUGGGUACACGUACAUGAAUGACAUGAUAUCGCAUUUGAAUGAGAGUAUGGUUAAAAGUUGUGAAAGUAUGGUUAAGAAUGACUUAAAAGAAUUUAAAGAUAUUAUCUAUACCAACAAGGUGCACCAUCCUUUUGGGUGACUCAAUUAUAGGAACUCAUCCUAGGAAUUUUUCUGGGAAGCAUGUGAGUGAGGACAAAACAUGUUAUAAAGACUCGUGUAAUUGUGUUGGUUUGAUGUAAUAGUCUUCACGCUUGAAAGGAGUUUAAGAUGAGCAAAGAUGAUGUUGCUAGGUCGUAGGGGAUGCAGAAGAAUGUUGGGGCCAUCAUGUGGCGAAUAUGGAUUUCAAAGCUUAGGUUUGCGGCGUUACAGAUGGUAUUAGAGUGGAACCUCUCUUAGUAAAAUGUGGUUUGAGGACGUUAUAGAAAAACUAUUCUAGUGUAGUAUCUAACUACUAGCCUUCUUUUCUGAAUUUAACUUGCCUUCAAGAUUCUUGUCUUCGAAUGAAGCUCAUCUUGGAUCAUGUGGGGAGUUAAAAAAAGAUCAUGUGGGCAUUGGAUACUCUGUCGUAAGAUUGGUUGUAUACUUCUUGAGCAUUUAUCUUAUUGAAAAACUUCUUAAGCAUUAACGCAUGUUAGAAAAUAUUCUUUGUUUUGAAGUGCAACAAACAUGCCUUAACAGAUUAAUAACCUAAAACAUGAGGACUAUUCCCUCCAGCCAAUGACUGUAAAAUUUAACCAGCUAUUAUUGGCUAGUUUACAAAGAAGUCCCACAUCAAUUUCAUGCAUGUUGUCAGUCCUGCCAUUAGAAAAAUUACCAUCAAGUACUGCAACCACUUUCCUAUUCCUAGACUAUCGGAUUUGUUAGAAUAACUAUUUGGAUCCACAAUCUUUUUAAUGAUAAAUCCUUUGCCUCAGCCUGCUAGAGGUGUGAUUUGUUCAACUUUUGGCUGGUCCCUUGCAUUAUCUGAAGAUCCUUUCGUUCUGAUUGCCCUGAUACUUGUCGCCAUUGUCGGUUACCCAUUCAAGGAGGGAGAACAAGAUCAUUUAUCUCAACUUUUCUAGAGCCUUUUAUGGUCUCUGUGGAGGAAUAAACAUAAUUCUUAAGUCUUUAAGGACAAUGACUGAUGGUUCAGCAACGCUUUUGAUUCUCCAUCCUUUUUCAGCUCCCACAUGGUGUAAAUUAGUACCCACCUUUUCUGAUACAAUCUCUUCUCUUGUAGCUCAAAAACUUUUUUUAACUUUUCUUUAGGGUAGGAUCCCUCCCCUUUUUUAUAAUCUCAUCUCAUAAAUACAAUGUUGCUUAUCCAAAGAUAAAAAGGGAGUUACUAUAAUUAUCAUUAUAAAAGAGGAGGUAACUCGGGGAAAGAUGAACCAAAAACGCACAGCCAAAAAUGUGAUGAGAAGGGAUUAUUUAAAUCCUCCCUAAUACCUUACAUCAGAAUCGUUCCUAAUUACCCAUUGUGAGACCAUGGACAUCUGCUUUGCUCUCUUGUUUUUGUUUAUAUUGCAUGACACUGUUAUACAGACAAAGGCUUAUUAUUUGUUAUCAUGUUUUGUAGCUUUAAUUUUUUUUUCUUUAUGCCUUUUAUCUCAGGAGCAUCUUUUGAAGAUUACUUCUGAACAUCGUGCAGAAAUGGCUAUAAAAAGGGGAAAGUUGAAUCUUCCAGAAGAAGGUCGGUACUUUGUGAUAUGGCUUCCUCUUCCUAUUGAUGUUUUUCUCUUCACUUGAUCUUCUUGUGGUGCAAUAGUAGAUGCUUAAGUACUCUAAGGUGAAGAUAUCAAUUGUUGGAUGAAAAGGGUUUAUAGUACAAUUACACAUUGUUAGAGAUAUGUAUGGAAGUGCUUAGGGCUAUGCAAGGAAGAAAUUUCCUUUUAGAGUAUUUGGGUCAACUUAUAAGUAUAAACUAUUCUCAUGGGACAGAUUGUUGGAUGCUACAUCAUGCAGUUUUUGAGGAACACUAGGAUUUUUUUCUCUAAUUGUAGAUAGGUGGCCACUUUGGGACUUGAACCCUUGCCUCAAAGUCCCCAAGUUCUUCAUGAGGCCCUUUACCUCUUUGUAACUCUCAUUAUUGGACCAAGUCGGGUCGAUCUGAGUGAGAAAGGUAAGGCCCAAGAUUGGUUGAACCUCCAAAAUCCUAUUUGAGGGCCUUGCUUAUGCUGACUUAUUCCAUCAAAAUUUGUAUGGGGUUUGGGUUGACCCAUUGGAUGAUUAACUUUUAAAAAUUACUGUGUUGGAAUUUUCUUAAACAAAAUUGUACUGUAACCAUAGGUUAGGUUUCAUUGUACUUAACUAGGGUUCAUCCCUUUAGUGGUACCUCCUUUUUGUUGGCUUAUUUUUUCUAAUGCUCUUGUAUUCUUUCAUCAUUUCUCAAUGAAAAUUAAUGAAAAUUUGGUUCUUUAUAUGAGAAAAAACAAAUUAUAUUAAAACUUGUGAUUUAUAUUUUGUUAUAGAAGAUGCCGACAAUUCUGUGCAUGAGAACAAGUGAAGAAAGGAUUGGUUCUUAUCCUCCUUAUUUUUCCUCGUGCACCUCAAGGAAACAAGUCCCUCGAACACCUCAAGGAAAAAGGCAACAAAAAGGCCAUAUUUGAGUGGAGCCAGGUGCAAUGAAUAGAUAAAUAAAUAAAUAAAAUAUUUAGGUUGCAUGGCUUUGUUGGGCCUAGAUGGUGGGUUAUAACGUUAUAAGCAUAUUUGUUAAAUAAAAUAAGAAAAAGAAACAGAACACCCUAUUAUUUUAAUCAGGGGCCUUGGACUAAGCUAAACAGUCAAAGGUGCAUAGGGCUAGUGCCCAACUGAAAAAUCGCUUGCCCCACUUUCUUUUUCAAUCAUGGGAGAGAGUUUCUUGGUAGGUCAACUUCUUGUAGAUCUUUUAUAAUAGGGAAAGUGAGCACAAUUCAAUUGACAUUAAAAUUUGGUAUCAACCUGAAUGUCAAAGGUCUGAAUCCCCCACCUUCUUGUUGAGCUUUCGACCUUCUGUAACAAUUUGCUCAAGUGUAACAUGGAAUGUUUUUAGGACAGAUGGAUACUGUUGGAAAAUGAUCACAAUGUUGUGUGCUUGAAUUCUUCCUCUUAGGUUUCAACUUCUCUCUUUCAAAAAAUUUCCAUUAUACUGUUUAUUGCAAAUUGGGAUUUCACUUGUUUUUCUUCUUUUUUUUUUUCCUCUUUUGUGUUUGUGGCUUGCAACUCUUAUUCUUGUUUUGUGCAACUUCCUUGUAAUUAUAAUUAUACUUUAACUACUAUAAACGCCAAGUGGGUACCAUUUUUUCUUUUUUUAACUCGGCUUUUUAAUGUAAUUUCAAUACUGUUAAACAAAUUGUCCUCUAUAUCUAGAACAAAAUAUUUUAUGGCCUUUUACAAUUAAAUUUUUUGUAGCACAGAGACCACUUUGAAAGAAUUAAUAAAAUCAGCAGAUAUGUGCCUACUUCUCUAGAUUGUUAUUCUAUAUUGGAGAUUCCAACAAACUCAAACAUAUAAUCUUCCUUUUCCCUUUCAAGGAGAAUGACAUCUUGUUGUCAUGUCAGGGAACUUGGAAAUUGGAAAUGGAUACGGAGUACCUGGUGGAUGUGCUUUCUAUGGUGCUUCAAAGCCUGGAAUUGUUGCCAAUGGUUUAAAACUUAAACCUUUUUCCUUUUGCUUGAUUUUGAUGUUGAUUUCCAGUUGGUUCAUUUGUCCUGCUUUCAGGAAAUAAUGUGACUGGCCAGAAAAUCCAGGGACAGAUCAAGGAAGCAGAACAAAGUUCUGCUUCCAAGGCAUUGCCCGAGUACCUCAAGCAGAAGCUAAGAGCUAGGGGUAUUCUUAAAGAAGAUGCAGAACACAGCAAUUCUGUAAGGGCUGAUGUGCGUAACUUCCUAAAACAUGUCUUGGCAGGACGCCUUAGUUUUAUUAUUUAGCCACAGACCUAUUUGAUCCAUUUAAACCAAUAUUUACUCUUUUCUCGCUGAUGGGGAAACACUUCAAUUUUUUCUCUUUUCUUAUCUUUAAAAAGCAGAUUUACAAAGAAAAGCUUGUGCACCUAAAUUUUGUUCAGAUUUAUAAAUAUCCUUUUGUUUCAAUUUUGAGAUUUCUAGAAUUUGUGUACUUCUGAUAGCAAUCAUAGUUCCAUGGUUCUGCUGAUAUUCUUUAUUCAAUUGCUUCUCUCUUAAAUUACAGACAAAUUCUGACGCUGUUUCAAACACAAAGUUGCAAGGAGAAAAGCUGCCUCAUGGAUGGGUGUGUACUGUUUGCAAUUCCUUUACCAAUUGUGUGCAGUGCUCUCUUUCUCUAUCAAGCUUGUUAGAAUUGCCUAUUGCAACUUGGGAAGGUUAUUUUGUUUGAUAGCUGAGCUGAUUAGGUGGCCUUAGUUUACAUUAUUUUUUAAAUAUUUCCAAUAAGUAGGAAUUUAACAUGCUUAACUAUUUAUUCUGUGGGGUAAUAAAAAAGUAUAUUAAAUCUACUUAGUUAUAAUAUAUCAUACAUUUAUAUAUUACUAGUGUGGUGUUUACUAAAACAGUUAAGUUUGUGAAGUGAACGAGUUUUGUCAGAAUAAUUACGGAAGGUCAUUUUCCUAAGUGUGAGUGAGUAGACCUAGUAUCCACUUUGCGGGAACUUUAUUAUGGAGUUGAAGCGGCCCUUACUGUGUUAGGGACUUGGGGAUUUUAUUUUUGUAAUUCUUUUGAGUCAUUUAAGGUUGUUGGCAACCUCUGGAUUUUGGGUAGCAAAAACAUUAUCAACUCUGGAUGUGAGUAUUGUACUUUCUUUUCAAACAUAAUUUCUAUUUGAUUCUAAGGUUUCCAAAACUAAUACUUUUGGUUCUUAAGAUUUGAAUUUGGUUGUUAUUUGAUUUUUGAGGUUAUAAAAUUGACAUGUCUAGUUUUUUAUAUCUAAAUUUGAUUUCUAGUUAAUCCCUGAAGUUUGAAAUUGGUUUUUAAUACCCAAGUAUAAAAAAUAAUUCCAGCAAUGUCUAGUUAGCAUAUUGUAACUGAACUGAUGUAUUCUGUUAUAUCAACUAGCAGACAAUUAUAUUUAGGGACCAUUUAGGAACCUAUUUCAAACCUUAGGAACCAAUUAUAUCAAAUUUAAACAUAGGAAUUAAAUAUGUUGCUUUUGAAAUCUCAAGGACCAAUUACAAACCAAAUUCAAAUAUCAAGGAUCAAAAGUUCUAGCUUUAAAAACCCAUUGACCAAACAGAAACUUAGUAUCCAGGGACCAAAAGUAAGUUUUUCUCCCUCAAAAAAAAAAAAAAAAAAGAACGAUUCUAAGAAGUUUCAAUAAAAUAUGAAGAUGUGUUGUGAUGUUUCUUGUUUUUGGAAGUUUGUCCUUAGGCCUCCAUUUUAUAAACUUGUAUGCUUCUCUGCAUAGGUGGAGGCUAAAGACCCUCACAGUGGUGUUUCAUAUUAUUAUAAUGAAAGUAGUGGAAAGAGUCAAUGGGAAAGGCCCUCCGAACUUUCUUCUAAUACGCAACUUUCAUCAGCUGUAUCCCUUCCAGAAGAUUGGAUGGAGGCAAUCGAUCAAACAUCAGGUCGGUAAGAGAUUUAAUGAUUUAUGAUGCUGAUAUACCUUCUUCCAUGCAUAAUUUGGAGGAGAAAAGAUAAGAAAUCUGGAGGAAUUACAGCACGAUAAUCCUUGUUGUUUCAGUUUUACCAUACUUUUUCUCAAUGCAUUUAUACAUUUCUGGUUUCCCCUGUCCUGCAUCCCUACCUUUUCUACGAGUCAUUGAUGUGGAGACUGUAGAGUCUAGAGGUUGAAGGCUAGAGUAAUUGGCUUGAAUUGCGUGGAAACUUUUGUAUUUGGCAUCUCAUGAACCUUCUUUAUAAAUUUUGCAAGCCUUGAAAAUGGAAUUAUCCGUUGAGGGACGCUUAUGUCGUGCCUUUAUUAUGUUGUUCUAGUUGUAAUUGGUGGUUUUCCCAACUUCAAUGGAGAAGUGUUCAGAAAAAAGUUGCUGAAUAACAUAAUUUGCAGUUUUGCUCCCAUUGACAAAUUUUCAUACGACCGCAGGCGUAAAAUACUACUACAAUAUGAGAACCCAUGUAACCCAGUGGGAGCGGCCUGUUGCAUCUCAUCAGACAACUUUGACACACUCGAAUGAUAAGUUUCCUGGGCCUUGGAACGACCAAACUUUGGAGCAAAGUAAAUGCAUCACAUGUGGAAGUGGAAUGACCCUCGUGCAGGGUUCAAGAUACUGCAACAGUUGUACAAGGUAAAUGAGAUAGUCUAUAUAUCUAUGCUAAGAAAAUGAAGGUCUUUUCAUUAAGAGACUGGAAAGUACAAGAGAGGAUGCAUACGAGUGAACAAACUUGAUUAAAAGAGAUAUUGCAAUACGUACGGAAAUUUGAGUCCCCCACUCUCCCCUCCCACUAGACUACUCUAAUCUAGUUGGAGGAGUUACAUUUUUGUUAGGCAAAUCGGUUUGCCAUUUUUAUGAUGAAGCCUCUGCAUUAUGUUGUAAGGCAGUUGUUAGUAUUCAGCAAAACCUGAAGCUGGGUUUUUCUUCUAAAGUCAUAUAACCUGCCUCUGUAAGGAUGCCUUGGUGAGCAUUAGUAAGCAUAAAGUUUUGUAGAUUCUUCUGCCUUCAAAUGAGGCUGCAGUAACAUAUCUAAUUUCUAGAAAAAUGUGGGCUCUUCUUCCUUGAUCGGAUUUCCUUCAAGUUUCAGAGUUGCUGUCCAAACAACUUGAUUUCUGAUUUGUGGGAAUAUUUGAGCCAUUCUUGGAAAAAUUACAUUGAGGAGACAUUUGAAGGAUAACGAGAUUAUGCAUUUUUAGUGACCUAAUUUUACUCUUGGAAGAGGUUCAUUUAGCCCGUGGGAUGAUAAAAGAAGUACUGCUGCUUGGUCAUAUGGAGUCCACAAUCAAAUCCCUAAUUAGUAAGCUGUUUGGAAAUCCCAAUGUCCUCUUCCUUGUUUAAAGCUUGUCGUAAAUCCAAAUUUUCAAAGAAAAUCAGCUUCUUUUGUGAUUUUUUAAUGGUCGGACAUCAGAGAAAGCUUGCUUUCAUUGUAUGAUCCCCCUGGCUUGCCCCUUUGUGGUUUCUGGACUUAGAAGACCAGAAGCACUUUUCAUUGUGGGUUUAUUGUUAAAAGGUGGGGGGAAAGCCUCUAUUUUAUUUUCAAUUUUAUCAUUAAAUAUUUUCCAUCUCUCUACUAAAUGCUAUACUACUCGUCAGCCUCUUUUAGAUUCUGACUAAGAGCCCACAGAUACAUCUUACUCAUCCAUCAAGAACAUCCUCCUCCCCUCACCUCACAUUUCCUCUCAUACAUGAUACUUGUUUAUUAGACACAAUUUACUGCUCAACAAGAUGGGCACCCACUAACUGUUUUCUUACUGCAAUUUUAUCUGGAUAAAUUCUCACACUUCGUUCUUCAUUGCAUUGGUUUUGUGUCUAAAUUGACUAGUGGGGUUUCUACAAGUUCAACCAAUGGGAUUUGGCAGGAUCAACCGUCUGAGCAAAAUAAAUGCAUGGGAUGUGGUGGCUGGGGACUAGGCCUUGUGCAAGCUUGGGGUUACUGUAUUCAUUGCACACGGUAUGUUGAUCACUCUUAUUAUUCAGCACUAUCAUGUAGCAUAUCAUUGUAUUUGGUAUGAUUGUUUGUGACUAUGUAUGAACUGAUGUGUGGAUGAAGGUAGUUAGGGUUAGAAGUUCAUUAGCUAGACUGCUUGAGUGAUGCAAUUAUUUUAAUUUAAAAUCCUAGUUGUUUCUAUGACACGUUUACAGUUUUUCAGCCAUUACUCUCGAUAAAUUCAUACAAAUAUUUUUUUUUCCUCAUGGAUUAUGUAUUCGCUUUUGUUUUACCCUCUUUUUAUUAUUAUUAAUAUUAUUUUUUAUUUAUUUAUUCACAACGACUUUCAGAAUUCUCGGUCUCCCCCAGUGCCAGUACUUGCCAACCAACAACAUUAGUAAUCAGCAGAAGAUAGAGAACGUCAAGCAUAGCGCUGAUCCCUCCAUUAAAAAAUCUGUGACAGAUAGGUAAAGAAACAGUCCUCUGACUUCGGACUUAGUUAAGUCGAGAAAUAGGGGAGGAUUAAGUUAUGAAGCUAAUGAGUAUCGGUUGUCAGGUCCAAAUGGAAACCUCCAAUAGGGAAAGGUGGAAAGCGAGAAAGUAGGAAGCGUUCCUACAGUGAGGAUGAUGAAUUAGAUCCAAUGGAUCCUAGCUCUUAUUCAGAUGCUCCUCGUGGUGGCUGGUAUGUCUUCAAAAAUUAGCUCUCUAGGUUGAAUACUAGUUGAUUAUUUAGGCCUCAUUUGACAAAGGUUUUAGUUUUAGUUUUUUGUGCCUAUUUUCUUCCAUUUGUUUAUAAUAGUUUUCAUCUUUCGUAAGAAAUUAUUUAAAUUGCUAUUCAAUUAAGCAAUUGAAAUCAUCGUAAGGAAAUAUCUAAAUUAGCUCUCUGGGUUUAAUUGCUAUUCAAGUUUUUUUAAUAACUAUAUUUUUAAAAUUUCAAGACUUGGCUUGGAUGUUGAAAUCAUCCUUAAAUAAUAGAUAACAAAACAAAGAAAUUCAUAGGAUAGUAGCUGCUUUUAUAAACUUAACAACUAAAAGUCGAAGGGUUAUCAAAUGGGUCUUAGAAAAUCUGUCCAAGAAGUAGAAUGAUAUUAAUUGUUUGUUUUGAUUACUUUUCAGGGUUGUGGGUCUAAAAGGUGUGCAGCCUCGGGCAGCAGAUACUACUGCUACAGUAAGUAGUAACUAAUCAUUUUAGAUUUUUAGCUGUUUGCUGUUGCAACCGUCUCACCUUAUAAUGGGCAAUUAUCAUUUCAUGUAUAGACAUGUUAUGUAGUUUCACAUAUACAAUUUAAAACAUUUCCUUCACAAUGGGCCUUGGUUUUAGUCUGUUUGAUGUAAUGUGCUGACUCUAGCGUCUGCAGUGAACUCUUGACACUGAUUAGAACAGGGGCUGUUCUCUUGUUCCUUAAUCCAAUCCUCAUUGUGUUGGAUCUCAUUUAAAAUAUUUUUUUUCUUAUUAAAUCGAAAUAACUUCUAAUUGGAUAAUAUAUACUUCCUCUCAUCGAUGGUGAAUGGCAGGGUCCUCUCUUUCAACAGCGGCCAUAUCCAUCACCUGGAGCUGUUCUGAGGAAGAAUGCUGAAAUUGCUUCACAGACCAAGAAGGGAAGCUCUCACUAUGCACCCAUUUCCAAGAGGGGAGAUGGAAGCGAUGGCCUUGGUGAUGCUGAUUGAUCUCUUCUAAUUUAUUCUGCUCCGACGAUACAGUGACCACUAUUUAUGUAGUGUAGAAGUACACUUUUCACUGGAGAUGCGACAUAUAUCUUUGACCGUAUAGCCUUACCUGAAGUUAUGGAUCAAAUGCACAUCUCACUUUCUGAAGGAGAGGAACGUGGCUGUACGAUGGUACGUUUCUUGUAUAUAUACUAAUUACUAUACUUCUAUAUGGAAAACUUGAGUCGUGGACAAAACGGUCAAUGAGGCAGAUUUUUAACCUUCACAUAUGUACCAGAAGAUUUGAAUUACUAGACAGGAGUAGAAAAUUCAAACUUAUUGUAUUUUGUUAAAAUGUUACAAUAAUUUAACUUAACGUCGACUAUACGAGACAAGCUUAGAAGUUUAUUAAUCCUACAAUUAUGCAAACUCUAAGUUUACCUUUCAUACUACUUCGAUAACUUUUGAUUUUAUAUUUCAUUUUUACUUUUGUACAUUAUAAUUUCACAAGUUAAACACUGUUAUUCAAACUUGAGGUUAUCGAUUCUGAAUUUUAUAAUUUAGAUGAAUUAAGUUGGUAAUAUGAAAAGAGAUCUCGGUGUUACACCGCCUUGUUGGGUUGCUUUUGGAUGGUUCCCUGGGAGUUCAGCCAAAGUGAGAUGGCAUUAGUUGUUUGUUGCUGAUGGAGAAUCAAUAUUUCAAAUAGAAAUAAGGAGUACAGUAUUUCUUUCUUUACUAUAUGAUAAUGGCAUGUGAUUACAUUGGUCUCAUCUGUUUGUUUACUUUCCAUAUUAGCUUAUUAUUGGGACCAGCUGUCUUACUAUAGAUUGAUCAUCAAUGUGAUGAUGUGUAUGUUGGUUACCUAUCUUUUCAAAUCCUCAAGUCAAUAUAGUAAAAUGACUUAUUACAUUACAUGAAUUGGAUUAUCAAUUUUAGCUGAUUACAUACCUCCUUAACACCAAUGAAGAUACUUAAACUAGAGAUUUCUAUGGGCCACGAUGGAAGACUUCCACAUUCUCGACCCCAUCAUAUUUCAAUCUUCAUCCUAUGAAUUGUUUUUCAAUAAUUUUGAGGAAAGUGAAGAUCUUUGCGAGGAAAUUAAACAUAUCAUCUUAUUUCUUUCUUUCUUUUACUUUCAAUCGAAAUAUAUAGUUUUUUUUUUUAAUUCUUUAAAUUGAGCAUUUUUAAUAUUAUUUCUAUUCAAAUAAUGCAAUAUAAACUUUUCUAAUAAAAACAAUAAUUAAAAUGUUAAAUUUCCAUAAUGUCAAAAAAGUUGAAUGCUGAAUUAUUACUACUUUACAGUUUUUCAACUUAAAUAUUACAAAAUUAUUGUUUUAGAGGUAAGUACGUUAUAAUUAUCCUAGAAAAUAUCUAUAUAAUUAAACAAAGGCAAAAACAUACAAUUAUCCUAGAAAAAAAAUAUAUAAACAAGGAAAAGGCAAAAUAAUUUGUUGUAAUUCAUAUCUCUUCCAUGAAAGGAAGAUAGAAGAAGUUGGUCGAUUAAAAAAAAAAAAGAAGAAGAAGAAGAAGAAAAGAAGAAAGAAAGAAGGGAACAAAUGUAAAAUAAGGUGAAUUUGAAUGAUAAUAAAAAAAUAAAAGAAGUUCAAAGAUAAGUAAAAAAUAAAAAUAAAAAAUUAAACUAUUAGUAAAAUAUAGACAACAAAAUAAGUUAUGUGAAAAUAAUAUCUAUUUAAACUGAAUUUUAAAAAACAAAAAUAGUAUUUGAGUGUAAAAAAGAUCAAAAUUUGAGUGAGAAAUGAGUAAAAAGUGAAAAUGAUAGCAUUAGAAAAAGAAGAAGAAGAAAUAAACAUAAAAAAUAGAAAAGUGAAAACAAAAAUGAUAUAGAAAACAUCCCAAAAACUUUUUGUAAUGGAAAAACGUGUCCUUCAAAUACCAAAGUGUUGGAUUUAUUGAAAGUCCAGCUUCGUGCUUCUUCUCUACACUCAAAAGGAUAGAGAAAACCCAAAAAAAAAAGAAAGAAAACUUUGGGAAUAAAUUCCAUUUUCUUCACUCUCCAUCUCCAUCUUCAUCAUCCCCCAUCUUUAGGGUUCCCUUCCCAUCUUCUUCCUUCUCUUUACCAUCACUUCACAUUCACAAAGGUGCGUUUUUUUUUUUUUCCCAUUUCAAUUUCUUGCUUUCUGUACUUCUCUAUUCCCUCUGUUUCUCCAUUCUUCACUGUGUUCCAUUGCCCGCUUUCCACUUUUUAUCUGAUGGGGCUCAUUCUGUUUUACAUUUUAAUUUAAUUGUUCUCAAGGUGUAGCCAAUGCUUGCAAAUUUAAGUUGAAUUUCCUGUUAAUUUCUGAUUUUGAUUCUCUUUUUUUUCUUUCUUUCUUUUGACUUGAUGUUGUUUCAACUAACUUCAUUGACUUAUUUAUUCGUUUGUUGAAGUGGGAAAAUUGAUUCCUGAAGUUGGUUUCACUUUUAUGGUUUGAUAGUGCUAUUUUUCAUACUUGAACAGUGUCACUGGAUCUAGGAUCGAUAUGUGUCUCAUAUGGUACAAACCCAUUUCUAUGCUAUUGUUGGAGUAUUGAUAUGAUUAAAUUUAACAUAAUCCAUUAGCUCUAGUGUUUGGAUUGAUGGAUGUCAUUUUUUCCUCAAUUAAUUCUGAUUUCUAUGUUGGAUCUAGUGAAGCAGUGUUGAAGUAUUGGUAUAAUUAAAUUUACUAUAACCCAUUAACUUAAGCUUUUGGAUUUAUUAGUGAUUUAAAAAUUAAGAUCUAAAAUGAUAAUGAUUCAUAUUGCUACUUUGGUGAUUAUCUUAGAGAAGUAUGCUUUGCUUAAGUUCUUGGACUGAUACUCCUUGGAAUUACCGAAUGGAAAAUCAGACAUUUUCUAGAGCUUGAUUUUAUUACGAACUAUUACUCCAAUGUUCCAAAGCAUUUUUGAGGUGAAGUUGUUCUUACACUAGCCUAUCCAACCAAUAGGAUGCUCUCUCGCACAUUGAACUUCCAAAUGCUUCUUCAAGCCCCAGAAAAUGUACUCUUACUGAUAUAUAUUCCUAGAUAUGUGGAUGUGCAUCAUCCAUUACAUAUUCAUGAUCGAAAUAGAAGCAAUUUGGGUUUGAAAUGUUUAAACUGCAGCUCUUUUGAAACCAUCAUUGGCGGCCUAGUGGUAAAUAAAAAUCUUGGGUUUGAUGAAUGACUUAAGAGGUUAAUUGAUCUAAUCUAGAAUCUGUUAUUUCAGAGCAGAGUUCUCAAACUUUUGCAUCUUGUGAUAAAUGAAACAUGCAUAUGAUGUGAAAGUACUUAUUUUGUGCUGAUUAAUUAAAUCCAGAAGUAAAAGGACAAAAGUCACCCAAGUGUUUUCUUUGUCAGCUGAGUACAUAACUCAGGCUUGAGAUUAUUAAACUUGAAAGUGACAAGAUUUAUAUGUAGCAAGCUAACAAUUCAAUACGUAAAGAAUGAGGUAUUUCACGGUUGAGACUUGCAGGGAAGAGAAGAAGGAUGUCGACUGCAAACACCCAUUGGUGUUACAGAUGCGAACAGCCAGUUCGACUUCGUGGGCGAGACAUGACUUGCCUUAGCUGUAAUGGAGGAUUUGUUCAAGAACUGGAUGAAAUGAUGGAAAGAAGUCCCCUUGAUUUAUUUGGAGCCAGUGGUAAUGAAUACCAAAACCGCAGGCUAGGACUCUUGGAGCUUUUCUCAAACUUUAUGAGGCAACGAUUGGUAGACAGAAAUGAUAUCAGGGGAAGGUUGGACUCAAUUCCAGAUCAUGGUCCAGGAUUUGGUCCUUGGUUGAUCUUUGGUGGCCAAAUUCCUGUUAGAUUGUCUGGACAUGGUGGAUUUGAAGCGUUUUUUAAUGGGGUACCUGGCAUUGGUGUGAGUAGGAGCAAUGGUGGUGAUUAUUUUAUUGGUCCUGGACUUGAAGAAUUGUUUGAGCAGCUUUCAGCAAACGAUCGACGAGGGCCACCACCGGCAUCAAGAUCUUCGAUUGAUGCAAUGCCUGUUGUUAAAAUUACACAAAGACACAUUCGUUCCAAUUCACACUGUCCUGUCUGCCAAGAUAAAUUUGAAUUAGGAUCUGAGGCUAGGCAAAUGCCAUGUGACCAUAUGUAUCAUUCAGAUUGUAUUGUUCCAUGGCUAGUCCAGCACAACUCCUGCCCUGUUUGCCGCCAAGAACUGCCUGCACAAGGGUCGGGUAGUAGCCAUAGCUCAUCUGGAAGCAACAAUUCUAGUCGAAACAGCCGAGAUAGGGAGAAUGGUAGAACGACUCAAGGAAGGAGGAAUCCAUUUACAAGUCUUUGGCCAUUCCGAGCAUCAAGCUCGAACUCUAACCAUAGUGCUACCACUGGAAGCAACUCACCAGCUCUACACGAGACUAACCAACACGAAACAGGGUACUACGGAUGGCCUUUCGACUAGCAUCAACACUGCGUUCCUAAACUUGUUUGCAGCAUUCAGUUUUUGUGAUUGUUAUUUAAGAUGAUGAAAAUAGUUCAAGCCCUGCAGUCCACUCUCUUGUAUAAUAAAUUGAUAAUAAUGGACUUCCUGUGUGAUGUAGACGACAUUUUUCUAUUCCUUAUCGAUGCUGCUGGAAUUUGUAUAUGCUUCAUGUAUAUUAGCAUGGCGUUUCUUUCUAGAGUUGCAGGUGGUCGGGAAAUCUGUCUGUUCAAGUGAGGAUUGCUGAAUCUUCUUCAACUGAAAGUUAAAACGUCCAAAUCAAGCUAUUCUAGUAUCUACUCAAAUUGACCAAUGUUUUCCUUAUGCAUCAUCAUUCAUACUAAAACUGUACAUGUUUUUCUAAAAGUAGAGGACAACAUAUUUUAGCAUUUAAGAAAUCUUUCAAGAUGGAUUGAGGAAAAAAGAAAAAAAAGGAAUGAGAUCUGAGAGUUACAGAUGCAAGAAAAAAAAGAUAAAAACGUGAUCCAAUAUUUGAGAUCAUGUGAGUUCUUAUACUUGAACAGUUUGGUUCUUGUACUUUGGAAAGUUACCAGGGUUCAAGGUUCAGCUUUUCAAAAAGUAUACAACAGUUCUUUAGAAUCUUUUUCUUUUGCCACGUACUAUUCCAAACAUAAUAAAAACGAGUUGCGAAUGGACAUGUAGUCCUCUCAAACUUAAAUUUAAAUUUAUUUAAAAAUUUAGAUCUUUGUUGUAUUUUGUUAUAUUAAAAAGGAAAAAAAGAGUGUUUUACAUAUAAAAAAUUAAAAGGCAAGCAUGGGCAAAUAUAACAAGUUUUGGUGUGAAAGUGUUGGAACUUUUAUCUCCUUAGUUUCAAGUUUGAAUUCUAGUAUGUUACAUUUCGAGUUUGGUUUUCAUUUAUUUUGCUUUUGAAGAUUUUAAAAUUAAUUAUAAUAGUAUUAGAAAAUUAGUGGAAAAAUAAUAAGUUGAGAGUGUAAAUCUUUUAAAACUUAAGCGUUGAAAGCAAACAAAAAAAAAGAGUAACUUUUUAAAAUGAAUAUAGAGAAAAUGAAGUAUAAAAAAUGUAUACAAAUUUAAAUUACAAAUUUGAUUAAUUUGAUUGCGAGACAGUUUUAACAUAUUUUAGUUAUAAAAGGUAACGAUUGUGUACUGCCAAUAGGAAUAAGGAGAGGGUGAGUUAGUUAAAAUAAUGAUUAUUGUUAUUGUUAUAACUUACAAGAAGAAAGAUAUUGAGAAUUCUUUACCAAUGAGCGAGAAUUGGAGUAAAAUUUCAUAUGAUUCUAGAAAACAAAGUUCAUAAACAAUUGCACAAACUGUGAAUACUGUCUUCUUUUUCAUUUAAGUUGGAUACAGAUCGCAGUUUUGGUGCCUCUUGAAAAAAGAACGAACAAAGCUUACUACAAACAACUUCAAAUCAGAACCAAUUUCAAAUGCAAAUCUUUUUGUAAGAAAAAAAAAUGCUCAAAAGAGGGAACUACAGCUACUAAAUAUGUCGGCUACUCGGUUAUUGGAGAACAAACAGACAUACUCUUCUUUCUGGAUAUCUGGAAUAAGGGAAUGAUAAAUGUUGCUUCAAUCUUCAUAAAACUCGGCCACUGAUUCAGUUGGCACUGGCGAGUUGAGUUCGGAGGAGCUUUGCGGCAGCAACCAUGUUCUUGAGAGCAGGAUUCACCUCGGCGUACUUGCGAGUUUUGAGACCACAGUCUGGAUUGACCCACAAGAUGUUGGUUUCGAGCACUGCAAGCAUCUUGUUGAUUCUGUCUGCGAUCUCUUCUGUUGAUGGUAUUCUAGGGGAGUGAAUGUCGUACACACCGGGGCCAAUUCCAGCACCAUACUUGACUCCCUCACGGAAAACUGACAAGAGCUUCUCGUCGGAGCGAGAGUUCUCAAUGGUGAUCACAUCAGCAUCCAUAUCGAUGAUGGAUUGGAUGAUGUCGUUGAAGUUAGAGUAGCACAUGUGAGUGUGAAUCUGUCAUGUAAUCAUUAGGUGAGUUUAACAUAUUAUGAACUUGUUGAAGGGGUAAUGAAAAUCCCAAUUGGUUAGUGAUGUAAACCUGAGUUGUGUCUUGGACACCACAGUUUGUGAUACGGAAAGAGUGAACAGACCAAUCCAAGUAGAAAGCAUGCUCAGACUUCCUUAGAGGUAAUCCUUCUCUUAAAGCAGCCUCAUCAAUUUGGAUGACAUUAAUGCCAGCCUUCUCGAGAUCCUCAACCUCGUCCUUGAUGGCCAAAGCGAUCUGAUAGCAUGUUUCGAAUCUAGAAGAUGAUAAUGUACACGAGAAGGAUUAGCCAUAAAGUCUGGUAUAAACUAUAAAGGGGAAAGAAAACAACUACAGUAGUUUCUUUCAGCUUGGAAACAUUAUCUUUCUUCUAUUACCUUGGCUGGUCGACUCUAACAAAAGACCAGUUGAGAAUGGUGACGGGGCCAGUGAGCAUUCCCUUCAUUGGGCGGGCUGUCAUGCUCUGAGCCAUGGUAGACCAGAAGACGGUCAUGGCUUUUGGGCGGCUCACGUCACCGUAGAUGAUUGGAGGCUUCACGCAACGAGAUCCGUAUGAUUGCACCCAACCAUUGACGGUGAAUGCAAAACCAGACAAUUGCUCCCCAAAGUAUUCAACCAUAUCGUUUCUCUGCAGUGAGGAUGAAAUUCAUAUUAGAAGAGCCAAAAUGAGGAGAAGGUACUACAACCUCCCUCGACAAAAACAGUGCUCUUGAUUUUCUGCUAAAUAGGCUCCAAAUAACUCACCUCGGGCUCUCCAUGAACCAGGACAUCAAUGUCGAGCUCUUCCUGGAGCUUGACAACCUUGCUAAUUUCUUCCUUGAUUGCCUUCACAUAUUCCUCCUCAGAGAUCCUAAAGAAUGGUAAAAAAAGAUGCAAACAUUAGAAACAGGGUUAAAGUAUUUAUGAACUUCAAGGAAAGCUGGUAUCAAUUUUUACUCACUUGUUAGCUUUGUAUUCACGACGAACCCUCCUGAGUUCAACAGUUUGAGGGAAAGAACCAAUGGUGGUGGUUGGAAGGAUUGGGAGAUUAAGCUUCUUCUGUUGAGCAUCGAGCCUUGCACUAACGUUUGUUGCACGGCGGUGAUCAGAGCCCUUCAAAGCAGCAGCCUGCACAAUCAAAAAGCAAUUAAUCAGUUAAUGAAAUCCCUGCAAACAGAUAGUUAAACACCUUAAAGAUAAGAAAUGAUUGUACGGACCGCUUUCUGAACAGCCUCAUUGGUCACCCUUGGGGAUGACUUCCUUGAAGCAUGAGCUUGAGCGUUAGAAGCAAAGAAUGCCUGAAAAGAAAAUUCCAAUAAGCUUAUGAGUUUGUGCCCAUCAAUUUCAAAAGGGUUAGUACCAAGGGAAGAACGUUCAAGAAAUAAUCUAAGUUACAACACAAAAGGUUAGAAAUCAAGGCCUAAAAACAUAGAAUACACCUUCAAUAGACAAAUGUCAUCCGAGUCAAGAAUAUACCUCAUCCUUUUGACCAGCCAAGGCCUUAGCCAAUGCAUUAACUUCAACAAUCUUUUGAGCAGCAAAAGCGAGCCAUGAUUUGAUUUCAUUGUCCAACUUGGUUUCAUUGACAAGGUCAACAGCAGUGUGAAGAAGUGAGCAGGAGGUGGAGACAACAAGAUGAUCUACAUAGUUUUUUUGGAUGAAGAAGGAAUGAGUAAAUAUGAACUCUCAAAUAAUAAUAAUUAAAUCAAGCAUCAUGAACCAACAUAGUAAUACAAAUGUAAGCAAAAGAAUAUCACCUUUACCCACAAGGGCAGUCAAUUCCUCCAAUGUGCUAACUGAAGCAGCAAGAUCAUUGGCCCAAAUGUUCCUUCCAUCAACUAGUCCAGCAAAAAGGUAUUUUCCCUUGGGGAAAUCACCCUUAAUCAAUUCAAGUGUCUUAGUUCCACGAACCAAAUCAAAUCCAUAGCCAGUGACACCCUUCAAAGAAGUAAGGGUCUUGUAUGCCUCAGCAGGGACAUCAGCGAAGUAUGUCUCAAUAAGAACAUUCAAGCCAGAGAGAGAUGAUUCUAGUUCAGCAUAUGCAUCGGAGAAGGCUUUCAAUUUGUGAGAAUCAAGGUCCAACACCAAUGUAGGCUCAUCAAACUGGAUCCAAGAAGCGCCAGCUGCUUUAAGAUCAGCAAUAACCUCCCUGAAAAGUUGGGCACCAUAUUAAUAUGUGAGAAAGAGAAUCAUUAUAGAAACACUAUGGAAAAUCUUGAUAGAGUGACGAAUUUUACUUGUAGACAGGAAGGAUCUUGUCAAGAAGGGAGAGGAGAGAGAAUGUCUUGUCAACACCCUUUGCAGGUUUGGAGAGCAACAAGUAUGACACGGGACCAACGAGAACUGGAACAGUGUCUACUCCAAGCUGCAUAAUCAAAAAAAUAUUUUUUACCUCAAUUCUUUGGUACUUGUAUACCCAAAUCAGAUUUCAUAGUCCUAAAAGGUAUACGCUCGUCUAAGUCAUUGAAGCAUGUCAACACAUUCAUAAUACAAUGCAAUCUGUUUUUUGCAAAUAUUAUACCGAAAUUCCACUCCAUGUGACACGGAUCUAUGGCCUAUUUCCAAUAACUUUAAUUAGGGACAGUGUUAAAUAUAGCAAUCAGACCCAAACUAUUAACAUAUAUAACACAAAGCAAAAUAAUUUAUCAAUACAACCAAAUUUAAAUCUAGCUCUCAGAAAUAGGAAGUCUAUUGGCGAUAUAGUUUAUUGAUAGAUUUUGCCAUACUUACAAUUCUUUAAAAAUGUUAUUAUAUACUUAACUAUUAACCCUAAAACUGCUACUCAAUGCAAUUAUCCCUUUAAAAUAAUUAAAUUCUCAAUUCUCAAUCAAAACUUCUGUUUCAAUUUUCCAAUGUAUUAUAUAUCUUAUUUUAUGAACAACCAACGCAAAUACCAGAUUCAACAACUUACAGCUUUGGCUUCUUUGUAUUCGUCCACUGCCUUAUGGGAAGCAUAAGAGAACUUCACCUCUGGUCCCAACUCAGGAACAAUGAAGUGGCUGCAUCAUUGAAUUGGCAACAUUAAUUAUACUGAUCUCAUUACACUGUCAUUGCAUACUAACAAAAGUAAAAGGCUAAGUGGGUUACUUACUAGUUUGUGUCAAACCACUUGGUCAUUUCCAUAGCUGGUACAGAUGCAUUUCCUCUAGCCAUGGAGAAGUAGGUAUCAAACCCAAUCUCACCACCAGUCCAGUUAUAUCUAGGAGGAACAGCCCCAAGCAAUGCAGUGGUGUCAAGCACCUGAUCAUAGCAUGAAAAAGUGUUGCUGGGAAUGUAUUUGAUCCCUGCAUCAGACAUCUGUUUCCAGAUGGACGACCUCAGAUCUGCAGCCACCUUCUUCAAAUCCUCUGCUGUGCUCUUCCCAUCCCAAAAUGAUUCAAGAGCAAACUUGAGCUCCCUCUUGGGACCCAUACGAGGAUAUCCAACGAUGUGAGAUGCCAUUGUUCUGCUCAAGAGAUCGCGGACGUAACGAAAUUCAAUUAGAUCCUCUCAACACUACUCUUAUCUCAAAUCCCAAAUCCAAUAGUCAACAAGUAACGGAAACAGCUAACACCAUGUUAAAUUAAAAACGCAAUACGAAAUUCAAGCCAGUGAAGAAGACUUAAGAACAAAGGGUUUGUAACACAUGCAGCAAAGAUCCAAUGAGUAAAGUUCACAUAAGCUAACAAUUCAGACCCAGAUAGAUCUAAUACUUAAAAUAGAAAACAACCCAUUAAAAUACAUCAGAUCUAGGAACACAAGUCUUCCAAGAAAACAAAAAUCCCACCAGAUCUACACGACAAUACUGUAAACACAAAAAACAGAGGAAGGAAGUAAAAUUCCGAACAAUCCUUAAGCAGCAGCAAUUAGAAGAUGAAAUCCAAAAUGGGUUCAGGGCAAAGUAUAAAAAAGAGUUCAUAACACAGUGGAUCUGAAUCCCAAAUUACAGGAAUGCCAGCAUACAUUGACAAAAAAAAAAAAAAAGAAAAAAAAAGUGAAAUUUAGAGAAACAGAGGAAUGGGAAAGCAUGGAAAAAACGGGUAAGGGAAAAGAGAGAAAACGGAGGUAACCUUGAGGAAGUGGAACACCGACAGAGGCUCCCCAAGGAGAAAAGAAAGAAAUGCGAGAGAGAUAAGAGAUAGGGAAAGAGACGAUGAUACUGGGGGAGCCACAAAUAAGAGAGAAGGCGCGAGUUGGAAGAAAUGGGAAUGAAGUUUAUUUAUAGAGAUCAGAGAUGAUGAGGUGGCAGAAGCAGAUCUGGGAUAUCGGAAAGUCACAGCCGGAGAUUGGAUGGUAGCCGGUGACAGACAACCAAAUGUGUAUUUCAUUUUGGUUUAAUUAUUUAUUUUGUUCUAGUGGUACACCGAUCAAUUCUCAUUUCCUAUACUCUAAAUUACUAUACAAUAUUUGACUUUCAACACCAAAUGUAAAUGAACACUUUUUUAAAAUUUGAUGAAUUUGUUCAUAACUCACAAUUAAACCAACAUAUAAUCAGCAAAAACUUUAGACUUAACCAUUACCUACUAAACUAUAAAUGUUAAUUAAAGAAAUGAAAGUAUUGAAAUAUGAGUUUUAAUCCUUCAAUGAUUUAUUAGACAAUAUAUAUAUAUAAUGUGUAAUAAAAAUGAAAAGAAAAAAAGAAAAGAGAGAGAAAGUUUUGAGUAGGAGAAGAUGGAAUGAGACGCGUGAAGUUGGGGGCGUGGGAGAGAGGGAUUUAAGGGAAAAGGCGUAAUGUGGAAGUGAGGAAGUAGUGAGGGAGUGAGGGAGUGAGUGGCCACCACCAUUUCUUUUUCUUUAUUUUGCGUCCGAGACAAAUGCUGUGCUUCUCCCUAAACUUUCACCUCACCAAUCUCAUUCUAAUUCAAAUUAACUCAAACAUUAUUCAUCUUUUAAAUUGAAAUGCUAAUCCAUUCAACUUUUAACAAAUCCUCAUUCAACAUUCAUUUUCAAUCAUCUUUCGACAGAGAAGAAAAAUAUAACAUAUUUAGAAUGGGAUGAAUCAAGAUUAAUCUUGAUCUAAUUUGUGUUUUGAUUUUUUUUUUAUUAUUAUUAUUAUUAUUGUCACUAUUAACGUUAAUAUUUUAUAGAAAAACUGCACAUUUUUAAUUAAUUGAUUGAAAAUCGACAACAAAAGUUAAACGAAAGUUUUUCUUACCUUAGAGGUAAAAAUGUAAUAUUUUAAAUGUUUGGGACCAAAUGGCAUACUCUACACUCAAUAUUAGAGAUGAGCAUAUGGUGGAGGAGUGGGGCUGAGGUGAGUUUCCUAUUCUUGUCCUGACAUCCUUUCUCCCUUUUUCAUUCACCAUUUAAGCAAAGUUUCUUAUCGUUUGACAUUUGUAGGAAACUCCAUUUUAAUCAAUUAACAUAAAGAACUACUAGAAAAGUUUUAAGUUAAACAACUCAAUUUCUCUCUAAACUUUUAAGUUUGGAUUUAAAGAGAAAUUACUCUAAUAUACUUGCAAAAUGGAAUCAUUAAUCGAUAAAAGUAUUCAAAUAUAAUGUAAAUUUGGUUAAUGCACAUUUAAUAUUUUGUUAGAAAUCGGAUGUAGAAAUUAAUUCUUACCAUCUAUUGCUAUAGUAAAUUAAGAUAAAACAAUUAUUAUUAAUCCUUAUCAUAAUUAAUUGUUCUAAAAUGAACUUUAGUAUAUAUAUUUAAAAGUGAAAUUACAAGUUUUUUUCUUCCAAACUUUUGUCAAAUAACAAUUCUUUAUACACUAAAAAAGGCCAAUACUAUUUGCAUCGGGAGAGAAUUAAUAAUAUGUAUCAACUACAAUACAUUUUACUAUUUACGUUACAAUAAGUUAGUAUUUUUCUUUUUUUAAAAAAAAAUGGUUAAAAAUAGAAAACUAUUUACCUUUAAAAGAAAAAUCAAGUAUGGUAGAUUUUAUAUUUUAGCGAUUUUAUUUAUAUAUAUAAAAAAAACAACAACAAUUAAAUAUAACUCAUGCCCUCCUCAUCAUAAAACCUUUUAGAAAAAAGGAAGACAAACAAAAGCUCAAAAAAGAACUCCAAGUAGGAAAAGAUGGCCAAUAUGAGGAGCAAGUGUGUAAAAAAAGAGACGGAUUCGAGUAUUCGUGAAAUGUUGAACAACAACGAAUUUUCAUAGUUAGAGGAAAGAUAGGGGAGAUUCGAAAUAUAUAAACAAAGCUCUCUUCCAUGUCCAAGCAUGGUUGAGGCAUAAUUUUAAUAUGUACAAUGAGUUGUCUCUCAAGUUUUUUUAAAAAAAGAAAGGUUAUAUGGAUGAAUUUAUAAACCCUAAAAUUGGGAAUGCAAGUGAUGUGCACACGCUUGUAGAACGCGUGGCAUGAGAGGAGAUUUUGCCAUUACAUGUUUUGUUGUAUAAAAUAAAUUGGAAUUUUUUUUUUUUUGUAAGACUUUUUAUUUACUUAUUUAUUUAUUUGCAAAAAUCAAUAUAAAAAAAGAAUGUCAUAUUCAGAAAAUUAGGAAAGCAAAGGAAAUUAGAAAAAGAAAUAAAGGAAAGCAAACGCAUUUGGUGGUUGAAAUUGAUUGGGGGAUUGGUGGUGGAUGUGACUCUAAACAACUCUUUUAUAUAUCUACCAGUUGGUUGCAGAUCUAUCUCUUCUUCUUUUUUUUUUCUCAAUUACCAAUUUUAUGAGUUAAUUAAAACACUUUCACAACUCUAUACUUAUUUAGAAGGAUUUAUUAAACACCAAAUUAAAAAUUCAAACACUUUUGAGAAAUAAGAUUGAGGAUAACAAUGCAAUCGCAUGAGUUGGUAGAACAAGUGUCAUCGUCUUGAUUAACUCCUUAUUGCCACUUUGUAGAUAUGAAUUUGUCUUUUCAUCUUCUUCUAAGUCAUUUUCUUAAUGUAAACAAAUUUAUUUUUAGCACACAUGCAUCAUGAAAUAACUUAGGUUUCGUUUUAUAACUAUUAUUAUAUUUUACAUAGUUUUGUGAAGUUAGAUAUGUUUUAGUUUUAAUUUGUAUUUUAAAUUUGUUUAUUUUCAAAGGUGAUGGAAUAUUUUAAACUUUACUAAACAAAAGAAAAAAGGUUAAGAAUGUUUAAUUUCCAACCAAACCUACCAAUCCUUACCCAAACUAGGUUGAUUAAUGUUAUAAAAUACUGAUACAAAAGUUAUAAUUAAUAUGGUAUUGUAAUAUAAUAGAUUUUUUAAUAGAAUUAAUUAGUAUUGUACACAAGCUAGAAAUGUCCUUACAAUGAAAAUUAGAAAAUGGGUCUCUUUUCUAUUGAAUAUUUAUAUUCCUUAUAUAUGUGUAUAGUCUUUUCUUAUUCUUAUUAGAAAUAUUGCAUUGAUGUAAGGUGUAAGUUGAAGCAGUAGAGAUGUAGGUCUUGGUUAAUUAAUGAACUAAAACUCAUAUUAAACCAAUAAAAUGAAAACAACAAUCAUUUACUCUGAUUGUGUAAUAGUUUAAUUAAAAAAUGACAUUUGAAUAAGAGACAAUAUUGAUAUUAUUGAUUCCAUCUAUGACUUAUAUAAGGUAGCAUAGAAAUUGAACUUUCAAUUUUGUGGUUUUGUUAGUUAAAUUUUAAAAUUUAACUUUAUGAUUAUACAAUAAAAUUUAUGGUAUUGUAUAAGACACUAAAUAUUAAGAUCUUUAAAUCGAGUGAUUUUCACUAUUAUAAUAAUUCUAUUCCAAGGAUGGUUUAAGAGAUUGUGUUUGUAUAUAUAUAUACUUUUGCUCAUGCACACCAUAGCUAUGCAAAUUAAAAACACUUAAAUUAUUAUUUUUUGGAUUACUAAGCACCUUAGGUCAUAAUUGGUGUAAUCAAAGUAAGUAUUUUAUUAAUGGGUGAAUUUGGAUGAUAGCAUUUACCUAGAAUUAUAAAUUUAUGGUUCUUACAUAUUAACUUUAAUAGUUAACCAAAUAGUAAAGGACAACAAUAAAUGCAACAAAUUAAUUGACGGACUUAAUUACAUACUUUGAGGCAGAUUUCAUCACACGAUGAUUAACAUUAACACAUAUGGAUUAGCUUUUGGGCUAAACGUAAUCUUAAUUUAUUAAUGAUGUUAAAAUUUAAUGGGACAUUCUCAUUAUAAUAAAUUCAUGAAAUGCACAAACAAAAAAGCCAAAAUAUUUAAUUUAUUGUUUUCACAAUAGAAGUAAAAUUGUUUUUAUUAACUAAUAAUUCAAAUAUUUCUUUUAUAGUUUAAUUGUUUUCUAAUAACUUCUUUUUUUUUUAAUAUCCAAACUCCACAUUUUAAAAAAACAACAAAAGGAAAAAGAGAUUAAAAACAAAAAACAAAAAUAAUAUAUAUAUAUAUAUAUAUAUGUUUAUACAAUUCGUACAUUGUACAGAGAGCAAAGCGUUGAGAUAAUCGUACUCUGUUUCACCAUUUUUCUUUACAAACCCAAUUCAAAUUUUGUUCCUCUCUCUUAAACUCGAAAUCUUCGAGCAUUACAACACAAACAAAAAACAAGAAAAGAUCAUAAACCGAAUUCCACUAACAAUUAAAAAUUGAAAUUGAAAUUAGGGCCAAAUCAAAUCAACACAAACCCUAGAUUCCUUGAGAAACUCAUCCAUUACAUUCUCAUCGGCACAGAUCCGGGUCUUGUAAUUAUUGGCGUAACAGCAGUCGGAUCUGGGCAACACCGAGUUCCCAUGGGCAGAAGAAGAAGAAGAAGAAGAGGGCAUGGUCGUUGGUGGAGAAGGGAGAGUGAGGGAGUAGUCGGGAUUGGUGUCGUGGUGACGGAGGAGUUGGGAGAGGAGGAGGAGAAGAGAAGCCAUGGAUGAUGAUGGGAGGGAAGUGAAGGAAAUUAGUUGGGAGGGGGAUUGAAUGAAUUGAAAAGAGUAGGGAGAUUUGUUAUUAAUAAUGAAGGGAAUUGAAUGAAUGGCAUUUAUGGGCUCUCUUCCCACCGUUUGUAAGAUUUUCCAAUGGGUAAUUUAAUUACAAUGAGUCCGUCUUUCCACUGUUUAAUGUUUAGUGUUCUUAGUUUUCUCCGCCGGUAUUCUUUGUUUUCUUUCACAACAAAUGAAUCCAACGCUUAACAAAACCAACGCCAAAAAUCAGUGGGUCUCCCUCUCUAUGUGUAAGAUUUGAAGUAUAAGAAAGAAGAAGAUGCCUAAACUGCUCUCAAACAUCACUAAUAACGCAUCACACUUCACACUUUCACUUGUGCUGUUUUUCUUUCUUUUUAUGCUCUUCUUAAUACUAACUUUAUUUAUUGUUUCUCACUUAAAGUCAUUUUCUUUCACUCAUAUAUUUUAACUUGCAUUUGGGUCAUUUUUUUAUUUUCUUCAAUCCUAGUUUUUCUCUCUCUUUUUUAUGGAGAGUGGUGAAUGCAUAUGAAAAAAAGACAAGGUUCAAAUUUAAAUUGAAACUUUAGUCUUUAUAGUUUUAUAAAUUAUAAUUUAAUUAGUGCGAUUAUAUAUGAAAUUUUGUAAACAAAUCUUAAAACCCUCCUAUCCACUAUUUAAAUUGAAGUUUAGCCUUUAUAGUUUUAUAAAUUUUGUAAACAAGGUUACACUUAUGAUGUGUAUACAAUCUUUGUACACAAUUAUGUACAAAGUAUAAAAGAUCUUGGUAUACAAUUGUGAACCAAGAUUGUUAAUAGAUUGUAUACUUGAUCGCUUUGCUAUUAGUAUGUGAUCGUGUACCGAUUCAAGAUCUUGUACCAAACCUAAAAAAUCUUGGUACACAAUCGUGAACCAAGAUCAUUUAGGUUUUAAACACGAUCGUUUAGUUCGUACUACGCGAUCAUAUACCAAUAUGUGAUACACACAUGUAUGAUCGGUGUUGAUACUACCUACACGAUUGUGUAUCAUUGCCUAUACGGUCAUGUGUCAUUUCUUAAAUGAUUACAUAUCAUGAUCAUUUAGAAGAAGAAUUACGUGUGCGUGUGUGACUGAUUAAUCGCGUGUUGACUAGAGCAUUUUUGGUAUUUCGCAUCAUGAGCUUGUGGACUUUUUCCGAUUUUGAAAUUGCCACUUUGUUAUACUUUUUUGAAGAGUUCUUUUAUUUAUUCAUUUGUUUGUUUUGAUUUGUUCAUCUAAUUGAUUUGGUAAGACUUGUGUAAUUUUUUUAAGAAUUGAUUUGGUAAGAGUAAUAUGAUUUUUUUACUCUCCUUCUCUUUGUUUCUUUCUUCAUGUUCUUAUUUAUCUUAUUUUCUCUAAUACUAUUAAUAUUUAAUUCUUCUUAUUAAUUUGACAUUUGUAAGUUUUAAGUGACAAAUUUAAGUUAAGUCUUUUCUUAACCUUUCUAAUUGUAUACAUUUCACCCUAUACCAAAUUUGGUUCCUUUUUUGUUUUUAUAUUUCGAUUACUUUACAUAUCAACUUUUUACAUUUUUUUUAAGUGAAAGGAUUGCCAAAUUAAAAAAAGAAUAAAAAAAUAAAAGAAUUCAAAUUUCAAAUGUACAAAAUAUAUGAGAAUUUAAUAUAUAAGAAAGUUAUACAACAACAAUUUAAUAUCUCAAAUUCCAAAUUAGAGUUUGGUUUAUUUGAAUGCCAAGUUUUCCCACCUACUCUUUCUUAAAUUAUAAGAAAGAAAAAAAGGAUUAAAGUUAUAGAAAGAUGAACUUGAAUAAAUAUUUGUAAUAAUAUGUGACGUUGGGUAUUGAGGAUUAAAAAUUGGUGAAGAACCAACUCCAAACCUCUUUAAAUUUCUAACACAAAAAUCCCAAUCUUGACUUUGUAAUACCAUCCUUCUCAUAUCAAAUAAUAAUAACAAUAAAUUAUUGGUUUUUCCAAACAAGACAAACACAAAUGGAUUACUUACAAAUAUAUUUUCAAAUAUAGCAAAUAAACCAAAAUAAUAAUCUAUUUAAAAAAUAUAACAAAAUUUCAUAUUCUAGUUUUAAUCUAUUUGUUGUUAUUCAAAAUAUUUUUUCAUAAUAAUAAUACAUAAAUAAAUAUUAGGAACAGAGAGAGAGAGAGGAAUAUAGUAUCUAGAAAAGUUUAAUUCCACAGCAUAGUAUAAAAUACAAAUCCAAGGAAAAAGGAGAAUUUGUGUUUGCACAAUGUUUUCUAUAUUUUAAGUUGUACCAUCUCUUUUUACAUUCAUCUCAACCACACAAUACAAUAAUAAAAGAAGUUUACAAUAUUUGAAAAAAAAAAAACAAGAAUUUGUCACAUCACAAGUGAUAGGAUGAUUACUUAGCAAAAUAGGAUGCAUAACAAUGUCUCUCUUUAUCUGUCACUAAAAAUCCUCCAUUUCUAGCAAACAUUUGGUAAUGUUUGUAUGAGUUGAAUUAUUGGGUUGUGUAAAAAAAAAAAAAGAAACCUAAAUUCUCAAAUCAUCACUAUCAAUAAAAACAAAAAAGGAUUAAAUUAAAAAAGAAAAUCCCACAAAGCUUCAUCCUUGUUUGUAAUGUGUAUCUUAUUAAACUAAAAAAACAAGGAAAGAGAGGGGUAAUAGAACAAGUCUCCCAUUGUUUUUCACAUCCCCACUUGUCGAUCCCUUACUCCUCUCUCGCCGGCCUUUCUCUGCUUUUAAACACUCUCUUUCUCAAACCCCCUGUUUCUCCCCCCAAAAAUAAUGGAUCGUCUCAUCACCCUCGAACCCUCCAACCUCAUUCCCAUCCGAAUCGACCCCCCCCACAAAUGCUCCGGCGACCUCACCCUCCGGAACGUCAUGUACACCAUGCCUGUCGCCUUCCGACUCCAGCCUCUCAUCAAAUCCCGCUACACUUUCAAGCCCCAAUCCGGAAUCAUUCCUCCACUCUCUACUUUAACAGUCGAAAUCCUUUACCAUCUUCCACACGGCGUCAGUCUCCCCGACUCCUACCCUUAUUCCGAUGACUCUUUUCUCCUCCACAGCGUCGUCGUCCCCGGCGCCGCUAUCAAAGACUCUUCCUCAAGCUUCGACUCUGUUCCUUCCGAUUGGUUCACUACCAGAAAGAAACAGGUGUUUAUCGACAGUGGGAUUAAAGUCAUGUUCGUGGGGUCGGCUGUGUUGGCGAGAUUAGUGGCGGAUGGGGCUAUGGAUGAGAUUAGAGAGGUGUUGGAGAGGAGUGAUCCGAGUUGGAGGGCGGUGGACUCUGUGGAUGAAAAGGGGAGGACUCUUCUUCACUUGGCGAUCGGGCAGGGGAGAGCGGAUUUGGUGCAGUUGCUGUUGGAGUUCAAUCCGGAUGUGGGGAAAGUGGGGGAGAGUGGGAUGACGGCGGUGGAGGCAGCGGCGGGGGCUGGGCAGGCGUUGAUUGUGGAGUUGUUAUUGGCGAGGAAGGCGAGUACAGAGCGGGGGGAAGGAUCUGUUUUUGGAGCGAUUCAUUUGGCAGCGGCGGGAGGGCAUGUGGAAGUGUUGAGGCUGCUAUUGGUGAAAGGAGCUUGUGUUGAUGCUCUGUCAAAGAGUGGAGAUACGGCACUGCAUCUGGCCGUUCAAGAGCGCCGCCGUGAUUGUGCUCGGUUGCUUCUCGCCAAUGGCUCUAAACCUGAUGUUCGUAGUGCUGAACAAGGUUACACUUUCUCACUUUUCACUCUAUUUUUUACAUCUAACUAUUUUUUCUUCUCUCUUUUAUUUUUUUUAAAAAAGGUUAAAUUGUUAAAAUAUAUAUAUAUAUAUGAAUUUUUUUAGUAUUUAUUUCAAUAUUAAUUGUGGUCAUUAUUUAUAAAUGGUUCAAAAUUGUUGUAAGUAAUGUUUGUUUGUUUGUUUUUUUUAUAAAAAAGUUCACAACCUUAUUUAAAUAUUGAAUGCUAAGAAAAUUGAAAUUAGAGACAAGAUAUUUAAUUUAAGCUUGGGAAGCUAUCUUAAACUAAUGCAAUUAAUUAAUCCAUAUGGUUACAAAACUUUCUUUAUCAAACCAUUUUUUAGUUGUUUAAUUCUCCGUGGUUUCUAUUUAAUUAAUCAUUAGUCUUAGGAAGUGUCAAUUACAAAUUUAAAUUUAUAAUUAUCCAUCCAUUAACGAGUUGACUAAGGGUAGACUAAAAAACAAAGCAUUGUUGGGCAAAAAUGACAUUUCAAUUGAUUAUUUGUUUGAUAAUUAUUUAGUUUUUAAAAUUUAUUUGUGUGUUCCAUUUUUCACCAUUUUUUAAAUGAAAAGGUUAAAUUUUGCAAUUUAAGUACAAAAAUCUGUAGUUAAUGUGAAAAGCAAAUAUUCCUUUGUAACUAAAAUGGUGGUUCUUAUUUACAACACAGGAGAUACGGCGCUGCACAUGGCCGCAAGAAUCGGUGAUGAGCAAAUCGUUAAGCUUUUAAUUCAAAAAGGAGCCAACAAAGACAUCCGAAACUGGGUUGGAAAGCGUCCAUACGACGUUGCAUUUGACCACUCCCACACCCGCCUCUUCGACGUCCUCCGCCUUGCCGACAAGCUUGCCACUGCAGCACGCAAGGGCGACGUUCGCUCAAUUCAACUCCUCGUCGACAGUGGUGCUGCUAUCAAUAGUCGCGAUCAAAACGGCUGGACAGCACUCCACAGAGCUGCCUUCAAGGGCCACACCGACGCCUCAAGAGCCCUCAUCGAUAUUGGUAUAGAUGUCAAUGCUAAGGACGACGACGGCUAUACUGCACUUCACUGUGCUGUUGAGGCUGCUCAUGAUAACGUUGUCCAAGUACUCGUCGAGAGAGGCGCCGACGUUGAGGCGGUGACGAAUAAAGGGUUGAGUGCAAUGCAAAUUGCUCAAUCAAUGCAGUAUACAAGGACUAUGAGGAUUUUGAUGCACAGUGGUGUGAGUAAAGAUCACAUCGACGUGCCACCGACGCGAACGACGUCGUGGCAGGGGUUGGCGAAGAAGAAACAACAGAGUAAAGGAAGAGGGAGAAUCAAGAGUUUGAGGAGUACGGACUUUGAUAAAUCAGUAGCACUGUCAGUGGUGUGAGAAAAUUUGUAAAGAAUUUGGAGGGAACAUGAUCACUAUAUUUAAUUAGUGUUUUAUAUAUAAAUGUGGGUGUGUAUUUUUUGUAUGUACGGGAAUGAGAAUGUGAUGAGAUGAAUUAUAUGUAUAUGUAUAUUUUCCAUCACUUGUUUGUUUAAAGUUGAAGCAACUUUUAUAAUAAUUAUUGGAAUUUUGUAAUUAAUUCAAACUUAAAUGGGAAGAAGUUUCUGAAUAUUGAUGUCUAAUUUUAAAAAUAUUGUAAACAUUAACAAAUAAUUUGACAAAUUUAUGAUUGUUUUCUAAAAAUAGAAUAUAAGAAUAGAUGAAAAGUAUAAUUGUUAAGAACUAGGGGCGGCCUUGGUUUUUCAAUAUAUAUAGUAGAGGUCAAUUUUUAAUGUUGUCACAAACUUCUUUGGGAUUCUCACACCACCCUUCAUCUCUUCCUAUCAAAUCAAUCCACCUUUUUAAAUUUUUUUUUUUAUUAUUCAUUAUAUAUAUACAUUUGGACAAAUAUAAAAAUUAUUUCAGUUAAUUUCGUUAUAAACCAAUCUUCUUUCUCACCAUGCAAAUAAUUGAUAAAUAAGUUAGCCUCCAUUUAAUUUAAUCACUAUUUUGUUUCUCGUUUUUACGUGAAAAUUUCUAUGCCCACUCGUAGUUGUUAUAUAUAAAAAAAAAGUUAAUAAAUAAUUGGAAGAAAAUGAUUAAAUAUAAGUUUAGGAAAUAUAAUGUUUUAAAUUUAUGAAUAUUAUUUAACAUUGAAAUGAAAUUUAUUUUAAGAGUGAUAAAUAGUCAACGGGAGCCAUGUGAUAGGUUUUUUCAAAAUGCCAACUUCACUUUACUUUACUUUUAUCUACAAUUAUGUUACAUAUAUUAAUUAGUAUCAUUAUUUAUCAUAGGGGUGUUGAUUUUUUAAUGGUACAUAUAAUUUUUAAAAAGUGAUGAUAUUGGGAUGGUUGACUUAGAAAAUGAUUAGUUUGGCAAGAUGAGUGAUGAGAUUGAUCCUGUAAGAUGUGUAGUCCAUAAAUAUGAUCACACACCUUGACACAAAGAAUAAUAAUUAAGUAGUCAUAUAAGCUCAAAAUUAUUUACAAACUUGAAAGAAGAAGAAGAAUAUGGCAGGAAUAAUGAAGAAGAUCCAGGAAACAGUGCAGAGCCAUAAGAAGCAACACGAUGGGGAGAAUGGAGCUCAUGAAGGAGUUGGGAUUGUGGAGAAGAUGAAAGAGAAGAUCCAUGGUUACAAAGAGAAAAACAAAGAGAAGAAGAAGCAAAGGAAGGAGAGGAAGGAGAAAAAAGAAAAAGAGAAGAAGGAGAAAAAAGCCAAACAAAAAGCAGAAGAAGCAGAAGAAGAAGAAGAUGGGGGUGAAAGCAGCGAUGGCGAUAGUGACGACAGUGGUGGCGGGAGCGACUAAUAAGUACUGUGUGUCUUAGCGUUUCGUCCUUUCUUCUUCUUCUCUUUUUCGAUUCCUUUUUAGCUUUCUAUUAGAAUAAUAUUGCAUGAUUAAAUAUGGAUCGGAGUUGAAAUUCAAACUUAUUUCUUUUGUGUUUCUUCAAAUUUGAAUGUGUCACAUUUUAUCAUACAACAACACCACACAAGAUCUUAGAUGGUCAUUAAUAUCUACAUGGAUGUUGUCCUUCAUCCAUGGUGCUCCUUCGACUUCUCGUGCGUCUCUUGUUUUUCUUCUUCCUCCUCUUUUUUUCUCUUUAAAAGUUGAAACAAAAUUUAGUUUUAUAAUAUAUAUAUAUAUAUAUGAAUCCAAAUGUAUUAAAAGAAAACUAUCAAAAGUUUACCGUAUCUAAUGCAACCUAAUUUCUGUGCAAAAUUCAUCUCAACAAUCAAAAUCUUUAUAUAUUUUAAAUGCUAUCAAAUUUUUUGAUCUACAAUGUGUGUAGGAGUGUUUUUCCAUUGAUCAAGAUUUUUAUCUUAAAUGAUGCUAACUCAAGUCAACCACGAUUAAAUUGCCGUAAAAAUGUUGUAUUAAGAAAAUAUUUAAACUUUAAAGUAAGUACACAUUACAUUAUUGAUAAAUUUCAUAUUCAAAACUAAAAGUUUAAAUUAGCAUAGUUUAACUAUGCCAUAGAAUUUGUGCUAUCGACUUAAAUGUGAGAAUUUCAAUUCUUCUUUGAUCUUCUAGUGUUAAAUAAAAUUUAAAACUAAAAAGAUUUAUAAAUACUCGACCAAAAUCUAGUAUUUGCCUCUCAAAGAAUACACAACCAUAAAUACACAUUUUGCAAAAAUAAAAAAAUGCAAAUAUAUACACAAUAAGGAUUGAAAUUUAAAAAAAACUAUGAUUGUUUUCAAAUAUAAUAAAAGAAAUAAAAAAUUUAUAUGAUAUAAUAAAAUUUUAUAUUUUAACGGUUUUAUCAUUUAAAACAAUUUUUCAAGUUCGAAAAAUAAAAUUAAAACAACGAGUAAAGAAUACAUUUUCGAAAAAGGAAACAUACAAUAGGUAAAGAAAUAAAUAAGAAACAAAGAAAAGGAAAAUGAUAGAUUAAAAAAACUACAAUUUUUUUUGUGGAGUUUCUCAAAUUUGAACCAGUUUUACGACUAUAUUUUCAAAUCUAAAAACAAGUUAUGAAAGUAUUUUUCAACAAAUUUGUUUCUUGAAAAUUGAAAAUAAAUAGAAAAGCAUGAAAAGAAAAAGGACUAUUCUAUUUUUAAAAUAUUAUUUAAAACUAUUUCUCUUAUAUCAACUUAGUCGUGGAGACCCACAAUUUUAGGUUUUGAAAUAUAGAGUUGCAAUCAUUUAAACUCUAAAUUAAUAAUGGAAGCAAUUGAAAUCUUUAGCUUUUGUAAAUAUAUCAAUCCAUGCCCUUUUUCAAAUAAAUUGUGAUGAGUACAUCAAUUUAGAUCCUUUAUACAUCAAAUCAUCCCUUCAAAUCUUAAAAUUGACCUUUUUUUUCCAUUUGUACUUAGUGCAAAAGUCAUAUUUGUACUAUGGAUUUUUUUUUUCUUUUCGUUUUAUAAAAUAUAGUAAAAUGUUUCAAACUUGUUAAAGUUAAUUUAAUGCUAUUAGUUUAAUUUUUGUUUGCUAUCUAUAAUCAUUUCCCCAUCCCUUUUAGUAUUCAACAAACAUAAUAGCAAAUUUCUUUUGGUACCCAAGCAUUUCACAUAAUAAAUAGAACACAAGAGUGAUUUUUCUUUGGUCCUCUAACCUUCAUUUUCAAUAUGUUUAGGAGACAGCUGUUUCAUAUAUGGCAGAUAUUUCAAAAUUUAAAGCUUCCAAAUAAAACUAAAUCUAAGGUUGUUUACUUCUUUUGGUACCCAGUAUUGAACCAACCCAUGUCACAAUGGAUCGUUGGGAAUCUACAAACUCACUCCAGAUUUUAUAUCAACAUUCAGAAUUUUCAUGGUGAAACUGUUUUGAAUUUUGAUAUCCUUUUUUUAGAGUCCCAACAAAUGACCUAUUAGUACUUGGAAGCAAUUUUUAUGCAUUUCUGUUGUUUCUCCAACUAAAGUGAGUUUCCCGUAAUUGAUGUCUCCGAUCUUCUUCCCUAAUUAAAAGUAAAAUGUUGGAUUUCCAGUCCGAAUAAUAAUAAUUAAAAAAAACCACCAUAGAGAUGUUAUGAACAUUAGUAAAGAUCAUAUAAAAUCUCUUAAUCUUUAUUAUACAUCACACAUACAGUACAUAACGUAGUCUUAGAUUAAAAACAAAAAGAAACAAAGAUAGAGAAACAGAGAUCGGAAACAGAGGGAUGAUUAAUUAAACCAAAAGGGAGUGAGAUUAUUCUUGAACACACCAGCACGCGAUCGGAACACAAUCUACCUCUUAAUAAUGAUUCCGAGAUCUGACCCAUCAAUCGCUAUCGCUAUCGCUGCUGCUAUCUCCACCUUCGUGUUUGUGGCCGUGCUCACCCUUCUUCUUCUUCUCCUUCUUCUUCUUCUCCCCUUUCUCCUCAUGAUGAUCACCCCCAUGGAUCUUAUCCUUGAUCUUGUCCAUUAUCCCUUCCUUGUGCGCCCCUUCUCCAUGGUGCUCCUCGUGCUUCUUGUGUUCAUCGUGAUGCUCACCCUUGUGCUCGCCCUUGUGAGCGUCGUGGUGCUCUCCCUUGUGAUCGCCUCCAAUGUGGAGCUUCUCGCCGAUUUUCUCAAUGAAUCCAGACAUGUUUUGAUGAUGAAUUUGGAAUGGGGUUUUGAAGAGGAUGCGUGUUUGUGGAAAAUGGGGAAGGAAAGAAGGGGAAUUUAUAGAUGGCGAGGGAGGAGGAAAGACGAAUUGAAACGAAUAAAUUCAGUUUAUCCACAAUGUAUCCGUUGAUUUUGAUUGACGUUAUCUUAUUGCUUUAAUAAUUGCGUUUUUUUUAUAUAUUAUUAUUAUCCUUUUUUUCUGAUUCGUUUACGCGGUAACGCCACGUGUCACACGCUCUUCACCACGUCUUUGUUUUUUCCCUUUCACUUUCUAUUUAAUUCUAUUUUUUUGCUUUCAAUCAUACUAAAAAUAAUAAUUAGAUAUCUAAUCAGAAAAGUUUGGAGAAUUUGUUAGAAUAAAUUGUGCCAUUUCUACAGGUUAGGUUCAAGAUUUUGAAUGGGUUUGCGUUCCACCAAGUAAAUAUGAAUAUUAAUUGUAAAGGAAACUAAGAAAUUGAAUCUGAGAUUUUUUUAAUCAAAGAAAUUUACUGUGUUGGAUUGAGAAAAUUUUAAGUGUAUAUCAUAGUGUGUAUAAGAUAUGAAGUAAACUAAGUAUUUAUAGACUUAUUAGGUACUUUUAUUAUAUUUUUUCUUUUUAUGUUUAAGUGAUUUAUUUGACAUUUUUUUAAAUUUUGAAUUAAUGGGUGUUUUUCUAAAGCAUUAAAGCAUUCACUCAGAUGAAAUCUACCAAAAUUAAUUCUGUGUAACUUUUCAUUUAAUAUAAUGGACCCAUGAUGCCAUAACUCAAUUAAUGUUUAAAAUAAUAAUAAAAUAAACGUGUGAAAUUAAAUGAAAAAAUAUUGUUUAAAAUGAAUUUGAUUUAGUGGUAUUUGUACGACGUUUGUUUUUAUUGUUAUCGAUAAAAUCUUACUUUGAUCUAUAUUGAUGAAUAUAUUUUUUAAAAAAAUCAUGAAAAAACUAUUAAAAAAAACGUUUUAACUCUAAAUAAAUCAAAAUACUUCAUUUUGAAGAAAAAUUUAAGUACUUACUAUUGAUAUUAUAUUUACAUUAGUAUGUUUAAGAGUUAUGUCCUUUAAUGCAUCUAAAUCAUGUCAAUAUCUACUACUUAAGUAUACAUCAUUAUAGCUUUAUGAAAACUAUAUCCGUUCUCCACUUUUGAAUUUUCUCAACUUAGUCCACUUAUUCGUUUUCUAAUGAAAACAUCAAAUAAUGUAUGACAAAAUUUCGAUGUUUCGUUUUAACUACGAAGAGAUAACAUUUCUCUUUUCAUUAUAUAACUCUCGACUAUAUUGGUUGGUGUUUGAAAAUUUAAUAUCUUUUAGUUGAAAAAUAAUUAUAUAUAUAUAGAUGUACUCAUUCAUCGAAUAUGAAAUUUGAUGUAUAGAGAUCCGAGUUUAGAAAAAAAUUACAAUAUUAUUAUUUAGUAUUGUUUCGAGUCACGAUAUAUAUAUAUUAUAUAUAUUUAUUUUAUAAACAUCCUUUGAAAUAUUAAUGUAAAUAUAAAAUAGAAGUCAUGGAUAGGCGUGCAGAUAUGAAAUAAAAUGAAAUAAUUAUUUACUAAUCCAACUUGUAAUAACAUAAUAAAUAGCAAUAAUAAUACAUAUGAAUCAAAAUUAAUUUACAUGUUGACAUUAAUUCGGUUAUAUAAAGAAAAGGUAAACCUAACAAUUUGAAACUAUGGAAAAUAAGAUGUUGAACUAGAAGAAUCCUAAAGUAAUGCUCACAUGUUGAAUUGAAGACUAUACAAUUACAUUAUUUCAUCAUCAUAGUGAACCACUAUAAGAUAGGAGAUUGAACCUCUCACAUUUAAAAUAGAAGAACAUAUCAAUUAUUAUUGAACCAAGUUCACUUUACAUUUAUAAGAAGUAGUAUGUAUUAAAAUUUUGUUUAAACUGAAUUGUAAUUAAAAUGAAAAUCCUAUCAUAAAAUUAUAUGGCGUGAAUAGGUUAUUUUGUUUAGUUUUACCUAUUUUUUUCACAUAUUCAAUAAUCAAACUAUCACAAAAGUGUGGGUCUAUAAAAAGAUAAUAGUGAAAAUGGAAGAUUAGUAGUUUUAAUUGAAUUUAAUACACAAAAGAGGAGAAAUAGGUAAUUAAGAAAAGUAAAUAUCAAUAUACUAAAAAGUAAAAGAAAUAUGGGCAAUGGAUUGUUUAUUCAAGCGGGAUUAAGAGAAGCCACUCAUGGGAUGCCACGUGUGAAAGAUCCAUUGCCGACAUUUUGGUGUUAUAUUUGUAGAGGUCUCCGCGUUGGCCGACAUUUCAAUCAAAAAAGUGGUCGGCAGAUAAAUACCACGUGUCGUUCAUCUAAGCAUCCACGUGAAGUUAUUCUUUUUUAUUUUUUGAUUUUUUGAUUUUUUGAUUUUUGUCGUGUAGUGGAAAAUGUGGGAUUUGAGUCCAAAUUUUGAUGCAUGACUUUAUGUAAUAUCUAAACUCAUAUGUGGUUAUAAUUGAUUUAGCCAUAAAUUAAGCCUUUCAAUUUGCACCAUCUAACCCAACUUUAAUUUACAUACUAAAUCUAAUAAAUCAUCUCUCCUUAUUUCAAUCUCAAUUCCCUUUAAUUGCCUCUAUUCUUUCUUUACCUAUAUUUGUUCAUCCUAAUUAAGGAAUUCUCUUAUGUAAGGUAACAAAUAAAAAAAGCAAUAAUCUAAAUCUAAUCAUUCCAUCAUAUAUUAUUUUAGUUUAAGAAUAAAAUAGUAAAAUAGUAAAAAAACUAUAGCAAAUAAUAGGGAGUUUGAAAUAAUAUUUGUAGUAGCUAAUUGAGAGUUUUAAAAUAGUAUUUAUUGUAACUAAAGAUUGUCAGUAUAGUUUUAUAUAAUCCUCGUCCCAAAUGACAUGUAACAUGUGAUUGAAGUAUAAUUAUACACAUUUUUUAAUUUUUUAAUUUUUGAAUAAGUAUUCAUUGAACGUGAUCUCAUCGAUAUUUUAAUUUGGUCGAAAUUUCCAUAGAAGAAAGAAUAUACGAUUAUAAACUUAAUCAAAUCAUUAAAAAAAUAUAGAGUACUAUCUCCAUGAAAAUUCAUGGAUAUCAAUGAUUACACCCACCAAAAGAAGUAUCUAUCUUUUUAUAAAGAGUGUUGUAUUCGUCAGAGUUGAGGUAUCCCGAGUUGUGUUACAAACAGUUUAAUAACACAGAAGAAAAAAAAGCAUAGAUAAAUAUUUAUUCAUGUAAUAAUUGAUCUCCAGAUAUGUGGAAAAAUGAAAGGCAGAUUGAGUUUUUAUGUUUUUGUUGUUUCGUAGUAUUUUUCUUUAAAACGUUAAGAGAAAAUCAAAUAUUGAGUAAAAAGAGGAAAGUAUUGUUUAAGAAUUUAUAUUUUGUUUUUCGUCAAGAGUAUAUAGUGAUAGAAAUGAGAAAAAAGAGAAUUAAAAGGAGGAAAAUUCUUCACGUGAUGAGCAUCGAAUUCCUGGUCCAUGAUAUAUUCUUCAACAUAUAGCCCUUUUACCCUCUCAUAAUUCACUCUUUCUUCAAACUCAAGAUUUCCAAUCUAAACCCUUUUGAUGACUUUAAGUAGUGCUGUGAUUUAUGCACUUACAAUGAUCGUCUUCUUUAUCUCGUAAACAUAGGGUUUUGGUUUUUCUUUUAACAAUAGGGUUUAGUUGGUCAAAUGAGGUUUUGUGUUCAAGUCCAUGCGGUGCGAUACUAUAUUAUUCCCUCUCCAAUUAAAAUUGAUUCACAUGUCGUGUGUCUUCUCACGUAUCGACAUAAUUUAACUUGCUUAAUGAAUAUUAAUUGAGAGAGCAAAUAACAAUGCAAGAAGUUAAACACAUAACUGCGUUUGGACCAUAUGUUGCUCUAACCAUUUUAAAUUGUUGAUUGAUUUAAAAACUUAAGUUAGAAUUAUGUGAAACUUAAACGAAUUUAAUCCUAUAUCAUCUAAACCAUACCGUGCAUUUAUUCAAAAGUGGUAAAGUAUAAAAAAGAGGUAGGGAUUUGAUGUUAGUCAUGCAUAUAUAUAACUUUAUUUUGCUUAGUUUUCACGAUAUUGCUUGAGGCUUCCUCUUCAAUCUUUUAGUCUCUCCCUCAUUAAUAUGUGUAUAUAUAUAUAUAUAUAGACACAACCAAACUUUUUUCUUUUCUUUUCCCUUCUUUUCUUUCAUUAUUAGUACUCUUUUCUUCUUUUGCUUUUUCCUUCUGCUUCUUCUUCUUUCUUUCUCUUCACUUUAUUAUGCUUAUAUGAAUAAAGAAAAAUUAGUGUAUGUGAUUUUUGUUUUUACAACAAAUUAUCUCAAUAUUUAAAUGAAUGAGUUUGACAAUUUUACUCUAGAUUUCUUUUAGGGCGUUUCUGUGUUUGGGUCGUUGGAAUGCUUUUAAUUAGGAUUGGUUGAAUAUAUGCUUGACCAUUCAAAAGUAAGAUUUAUUAUUAUCAACACAACCAACUUGCACCACACAAGGAGAUUGGAAUUUGCCAACACGGCAAACUGCCAGGAAUUUAGCUACAUGUGACGUCGGAAAGGUUAUCGCAACAUUGUUUUAAUCAUCAACAAUUUGGCCAAGGGAGGAGACCCGUCUAGCAGAGAACAAAUGUCGAUGCCUGCCACAUGGUGUUUGGGAGUAAUGCUCAUAAUACACUGACACAAUUAUAUCAUUGGAAGUUAUAUGUUCAGUCCCCUAAUGCCUCUAUGAAGGUAUCAAGAUCUAUUCUAAAUUGUCGACGCUUUAUUUAAUCGUUGAUAGAAGUUGUUUAUCUCAACAAUUUACUUUUGAUGUGUUUUAUGUAUGAUGACAAAUACGUUUUUCUUUUUUCUUUUUAGUAUUGUGCAAGUGUUCAAAACUUAAGUGAAAGAGUGUGUCAUCUCCCAACUCAGUAUCUUUCAUCAUCAACCUAUUUACCCAAUCCUUUUUCGGAACUUGAAUUUGAAUAUUUGGUUUUUACAAUCUGAAAAUGUCUGUUUGAAUCACUAAAAUCUCGUUUAGUAAUUAUUUUAUAUUUAGUAUUUUUUGUUUCGAUAAUUAAAUUUAUUUUUUCUUUUCUUCUUACAAUGAUUUACAACUUUUGAAUUUUUAAUCAAAUUUAAAAAACAAAAACAACUUUUUAAAAGUUACUUAUUUUAGAUUUCAAAAUUGAGCUUAGUUUUUUUAAAACAACUAGUAAAUAGUAUAUAACAAAUAAUGAAAUUUAGAUGUGGAAGUGAUGUAGAUAGACUUAAUUUUCAAAAAGAAAAAUCGAAAAAAUAAGAUGACUACCAAACGAGUCCACAAUUUUUUAUCAAUGUCAUAACCUAAGGGUUCAUAUAACAAAGUAUCUUGGUAUUGGUGAAUGAGUUAAUUUAACCAUAUAGUAACUAAAUCUCCAUCUUAUUUUGUCAAUAUUGGAGUAACUCCAAAUUUUUGUAAGAUUUUUAGUCAUUCAAAUAAUACAAAUACUAUGUAUGAAAAAAAUCAUUAACUCAAAUCACAUAAAUACUUUAUACUAAUACUUGGGUAUAUGAAUUAUUCUUCCAUACAUCAAUUAUCAUACAGUUUCUUUUCCAUAAAAGUACCAUUUAGAUAAUCCAAAAAUUACACCUAUAUAAGUUUGGAUGUAUUUUGGAAAAUCCAUCGGAGGAUGACACUCUGUUAGGGGGAAGGCCCAUUUGUACAAACCCCAAUUUAUUGGGCUUUUAAAUUUUCAACAUCGGCUCAUUUGAACAAGCCCAUCUUUAACUAUAAUUUGGGCUUUCGUAAAAUAAUAAAUAUUGAUAAAACUAAUUAAGGAAACCCAAAUUUUUUGUUAAAUAAUUGUUUGAUGCUAUAAUUGGAGGAGAUUGUGGUUAAAGCUUAUGUAAUUAAGGUAUUGGUAACAAUUGUUUUAUUAUUUAAUUGGUAAUAUUAUAUUAUCUCUUUACGAGAAAAAAUCAAGGUUGCUAGUGCACUAUUUGAAGCAUAUGUAGUCAACAUAUGUGAUGAUAUGUUCAACUAAUAACCUAAAUUUUCUAUAGCAUAUGACUAAAGUUGGAUGGAUUAUCGUAUCAAUACUAUUAUAUUGAUAUUGUCCAUUUUAUAAUAAUUACAAAUGAUUUGACCUAAACCGUUCAUAUGAAGACAUGUGAGUACCAAGGAUAUCUCUGCAGACACAAAUGUUAUAUCUCUCUUUGCAACUUUAUAAAGCGAGAAGAUAAAAAUUAAUAUUUCACAAGACGACAACCAUAAUCCUAAGACAACCAUAAUAUUUCACCCUAUCAUUAGUUCAAGAGAGACUUGAUUUAUAAUUGAAUCUAAAACGGUUGUUCAUAAAAGUCAAUAGAUCUUUUAAAGAUGCAAUAAUAGUAUUUAUAAUUGCAUAAUAAAGUGUUCAUUGUUAUUGAUCAAUAUAUGUAGACAUACCACAUGAACAUAUCUCUUGAAAAAGAACAAAUAUUGUUAAUCAGCGGGUCGCUAACGAGUGACUUGACUUUUUUGUAUCAAAUGCUAAGGAGUGUCCAAACAAUACAUUGAUGUGUCAAAAUAUUUUAACAAACUUUUAAAAAAUAAAACGCCGUAUUUAAAUAAUAGAAUUCAAAAGGGGUAAAAUAGAGAAUGUAAUUUAGUAUAUUUAGUCCUCUUUUUGUUUCUCUAUGAUUGUUAUUUGUAAAUAUAACUUUUCUCCCUCACUAUCUCUUCAAAUCUCUUGAGGAUAUUUCUUUACUUCCUUUCUAUUAGUUCAUAAAUAUGAAUAUAAUUAAAAGUUUGAAAACAGUACUUUUAAUUUAAAAUGAAAAAUAAAAACAAAAACUAUUCCUAUCACUAAAUGGAAAUAAAAAGUUUAUAAUGAUUUUAGUUUAUCAAAUUCCAAAUUCUAGAAUAUUAUUUUUCUAACAAUUUCUCCUUUUCUUUUUCAAUAAUGUAAAAUGAAUAUUUUAUUUUUUAAAAAUAAUUAUCAAGUAAACUUUUCAUCUUUUUAACCAACCCAUAUUAUACAUCAAUUUUACAAUAUAUAUUUUUAAUUUUGAGUGAAGAAGGUAAAAAAAAAAAGGUAAUUAAGAUAUAUUUAUUUUCCAAAAUAGAAAAAAAAAAAAGGAAAAACAAAAAAGAAGAAUGUGUACGGAUCUAAACUCUAUAAUUCAAACCUUUGCUCAAAUGGUGAACUUUUGAAAAAAGAAAAAGCAACAACAUUUACUUAAAAGGAUCCCCAGAUAUAAAGUUUAGAGUAUGAAGUGAUAAUUGAUUCAAUUAAUACUUUUUGUCCAAAGAAAAUAAAACAAAUUGAUUACUUACUUGUUUAAAUCUCCAUCAUUGAAGACUUGAGAAAGUGUUUUAAAAUUUAUAAUGGAAUUGAAAUAUUUUAUAAUGUAAUAGCAUUUUGAGUUUAAAUCGUAAUAUGAAACUCAUUUCAUUUUGACAGUAUGUAAUUAUUGUGUUAUCAACUCAACACACAUUCCAACGUUUAUCUAAUCUAAUUGUGUUGAUUAAUGGGUAUAUAAGAAUCCUUCCUCUCACUUUUACAAAGCAAAAUUAGAAAAAGAAAAAGGCAAAACUUUUGACCUAUUUUUUUUCUUUUUUUUCUAAGGUUUUAUCAAAGAUAAUGCAAUUACUUUUUGGGCCACUAAUUUAGAGGAGAUUUGAGUCACUUCUCAUUAAAAGUAUGUAUUCUCAUCAUGGAAAUUUUUGGGAAGGGUAACAAACUUUCAUUUAGCUUUUUGUUUCCCUUUUUUCUAUUGCUUCAAGGAAAAAGAAAAAGAAAAAGAAAAAAAAAGAUUAGCUUUUGGAUUUUUUUUCCCUUUUUUUCUUUUAAUCUUUCUUUUUAAUUACUUUUGUUUUCUUUUUCCCUUCCUUUUAAUAAAAACAAUGGGAAAAGGAAAAGGUGAAGUGGCUUUCCUAAUGAUUCUAUAUUUUUUAUGGUGUGUUUCUUUAUGUUAUAAUAUGAAAUUGGUUAAAAUAUGGCUUUUCUCUCCGUUUAGUUUUUAUGUUUUACAAGGAUUAAAAAUGAUAUUUUAACCAAUGAAAUUGAUGUUUUGUACUUAGUUCGACAACUCGAUUUUUAUUAUUUAAAUAUUUUUUAGUUCAUCACGGGAGGUAUAAAUUUGAAUAAGGGGUGAAAUUAACGCAAAUUACUCAUGAACUAAUUAAUAAAUUAAACUAGUAAAAACUUGAGCAAAUAGUCACAUAAUGUUACAAUGCAGCUCAUUAGAGAUUGUUCUCUAUUUUGACCAAAAUCUUUCGAAAAUGAAGUAGUUUUGUGUUGUGUUGGUGUUUCAUUGAAUUGAUGUUAAAUGGCCUUGAUUCUUGUGCUAUCUUCCCAACACCCCCACUUACAAAGGCUACUUGAAAAUUAAAUGAGUGAUAAGAUCUUCACAUCCUUUGCUUGGUUGGCAGCUCUUAUAAAUAUUUAAUGAUCCUUUUCCAAAGGGGACACCCACACCCCCCCUUUUCUUUUCUUUUUUUUUCUUUCUACUUUCUUUUCUAAUAAAUAAAUAAAACACACAGUCACUCUCUCACAAAGUCCUUUUCAUUUCAAUGUAAUGUCCCUUUCUCACAGAUAGUAUUUUAUCUCAAUUCUAUUAUCUCCCUCUCAUUUUCAUUUUUUUUUUUUUAUAUAUUUCUACCCUUUCUAUUUUCCCUUCUUUAUGUUUGCAUCUAAUUUAAAUUACUAUAAUGAUAUUUGCUAUGUUCUAUAAAUUAGAUGUUGAAGUUUUGAAUUGUCAUUCUCGCAGUUGGAUAUGCAUUACAUUUGGUUUUAAAAUAGUUAAAACUACUUUGGUUAUAAAGACUAAAACGGGUAUGGUUUUUAUAUGAAUUUUCUGGCAGAAAAAGGUAUGUUCUGAAAGCUCAAAAAGUUCAAAUAAAAUGCAUACAAAUAUUUUACAAAACUUCAUCAACAAAUAGAAUAAACCUAAAAGUUAUGUAAAACCUAGUUGAAAAUAGAAACCCCCAUCAAAGAUACAUUGCUGUUCUCAGUUAGUGGCAGAGGCAAUGGAAAGAAUAGAAAUGACAGAUACUAAACUGUGGAACAAAAAAACACAUCAUAAACCUUAUGUACCAAAUUUCUUCCGAGCUUUCAGAGAUUUAUAAACAGCUUUUAAGAUUAAAAACAAAAAAUACAUUUUUAUGUGCUCUGAUGGAAAAUCUAUAAAAGAGAAUAAAAGCUUCCAGUUUUUGCUUCCAAAAUUUGAGGAGUAUCCCUAAAAUGGCCUUUGCUAUCUGCAUUAGUUGUUUCUGAAGUUUCAAAAACACUACCUUUCGAAAUGUUUUCCUUUGGAUAUGGAUGAAUUCCAAAUGUGGUCCAUAUAGGACUCCUUGAAGCCUCGCUUGGGUUAUCCACUCGUAACGUCUUUGGAACCACCACGCAUUUCUCUGACUUCUCGUCCUCUGCUAGGCUGUUUGUAUCUCUCAAAUGCUUACCGAGUGUAGGCGAUGAGCUUGUGGGGCAGGUGGAUGUUUGAGAUGCACAGACAUCAGAAGGAACAACGGUUAAAUUCCCAGUACCGGUAGAAGUCCAUACGGGCGUACAACCCCAGCAUGAGGCUGGGACGAAUUGUAAUGGAAGGCUUGGAGUGCAAAACCCUGGAACUGCCAGCACUGUUGCUGGGAGCCAUUGAACUGGUGGAUUGGGAUGACUGCUAGUAUUUGGUACACUUGUGCUAUCUGAGCUUUGGGUCAUUGCUGAUGAAAUUAGGCUGCUUCCGCCCUGAUUCAAUGGAAAAACCAAUUGUGGAACGGGGUAACAAUGAACCGUAUUUGAUGCAGUGAUAUCACUACUAGAGUUGGACAAUCUAACUGCCUCUGGCCUCUCGAUGACACUUUUAGGCAAUUCGUUUCCACGAAUACUAGUAGUUGUCAUGGAAGAUCCGCAUGAGGAUGGUUCUUCAGGACUGUCUCCACAAUAUGCAGACCCAAUCUCAAUGGAUCUCUUCUGAUCUCCAAGACUCAGCACAGUCUCCAUCGAUUCACAAAGUGGUGCUUCGGGUCCAAACUUUAGGACAGUACUACUUCCAUUGGAAGGCCUCAAAGCAGAAGGAGACUCGAUAUUCGAGAGUAGAUGAUGGUGAUUUGUUGCAUCCGAAGUUUCCAAGCGGGUUGUAGCAACUCCCUCGGAGGAUACUAUUAUCUGUCGGUAUUGAGAUGCCAACUGCUUGUUUCUUCGUCGUCCAGCACCAAUAGGAACGUUUCUCAUCGUCCCACCAGCAGUCCAAUAUCUUUGGCAGUUCUUGCAGAAAUGCCUAGGUUGAUUGACAUUAUAGUUGUUGAAGUAACAAAAUUUUGUUUCCAAACUAUUACAUCUAGGACAAGGAAUGAUUUUGUCUGGCUUCUUAAAUGCUCUUUCUUGAUCCGUGCCAUUACCAUCCUCCUGCUCUUCUUUCAAAUGUAGUUCUGAUUCUCCCUUGUUUGACGUCACGUUCGAAGCUUGGUUUUCUUCAUUAUCCCCUACCAAUACCGAAGACCUCUCUGAUGGGCAAGAGUCUUCUGCACCUGAGACUGACUGCUCAGCUUUUUUCAAAUUGUUGCAAGCAUCCUGAAAACAGUAUUCAACAAAUUGACACUUAACAACAGUCAGAAAAGAGAAGCACACAAUCGACAUACGUCGAAAAAAAAGCCAAGAAGUGUAUCAAAAUCUACAAGGAGAUGGGAUUUUACAAAACAAGACCUCAGAGCCCUUCCCAAAUAAGGUAAAAAUUACAUUCAUUCAAGAAAGAUAGUACAAUAUGCAACACGAAUGAAAAGAUACAAGGAAACAUGAUAUAAAUGAACAGAACACUUCCAUUAAGGAAUCAAUCUUCAUCAAACAUUUUCAGCAGCUCCAGAUAUUCACAAGAGAACUUCAUUUAACCCUCAAUGGAUCCACUACAAACUGAACCAAAAAAACCAUCUGAAUUCCACAUUCAAAUUUGGCUAAAAACAGUUCUCCUAAUGAACUUCUUCCAAAACCACAAAGUUGGGAAAGGAACAGUAAAGUCAACCAAGGCCACAAAAACAUUACAAGAACAAAUCUAAACAAAAUCAUAUAUUGAAGUUAAAACCCAAUAAGGGCCCCAACCCAAAUGCUUAGAGAACCCAAAAAAACAUAUACACACAAUGAAAAGAAGAGUUGAAAUGAGAGUAGAAGAGGGGGAAAGAGACAACUCAAUAGAAGAAGAAGAAGAAGAAAAAGAAGAAGAAGAAGAAGAAGACCAAGAAUAUGAAUAAGACAGUUAAAUGAGCAUUUCAAUAAUCUUUUCCAUGUCCCACAAACACACACACACACACACACACACACAGUAAAGGCAUUUUUCAGAUUAAACCCAGAAAGCAAGAAGCCAUCAAAAUAAAGAGAGAAUGAAGGAAAGGGGAGGAAAUAAAAUAGGUACCGGAUUAUGAAGAGGGGCGGCGGAAAUCUGGGAUUCCGGCAAAGGGAUGGUCCGACCGAAGAGUUUAAUGGCGAGAUCCUUGAAAUGUGGGGGGGAAAUGACAUCCUGUGUAGUAGAACUGGACAUUUUGAAAAAUGGGUUGUUAAUGGAGAGUAGUUUGAUUGAGAAAGUGGGAAGGUUUGGAGGUGAAAAUCAAUGGAAGAAGACCCAUUCAAAUAUAGAGAGAGGUUAUGAAGGAGGGAGAAGGAGAAGGAGAAGAAGAAGAAGAAGAAGAA
rnacentral:lncRNA from 1 species